rnacentral:lncRNA from 1 species
GUCUGUAGUGAUUGGAGACAAGGUGAUGCAUGAAGGUGAGUGGCUAUCACUGAAUGGAUCUACUGGUGAAGUCAUCGUGGGGAAGCAGCCACUUUCCCCACCAGUCCUCAGUGGUGAUCUGGGAACCUUCAUGUCCUGGGUAGAUGAAGUUAGGCAACUGAAGGUAAAUUCCUAGAAAUAACAAAUAUGUAAUAUUAGUUAAAACAUGGAUACAAACUGUUGGAAGUAGAAACCAACAAAAAGGGCAUCAGAUUAUUUAUUCAGACAGGCCAAAGCUAGUCAACCCCACUACACAUUUUUCAACAGAAAUGCUUAUUCGUACAUAUGAUCCACCUUCCAGGUUUUGGCUAAUGCGGAUACCCCUGAGGAUGCACUGACAGCAAGAAACAAUGGGGCAGAAGGAAUUGGACUAUGCCGGACGGAGCACAUGGUAUGUAUUUUAGUUACUGUCCAAUAUCUUUUGGGUGGGAUCUUGGAAAACUUACUCUUUCUUGAAUUCCUUCGUCGAACAGUUGGGUAAACUUUAAGGACCUCCCGUUCUAGUCUCAUGUUCUCCUUUUCUGCACUUUGGCAGUUCUUUGCUUCGGAUGAGAGGAUUAAGGCUGUGAGGCAGAUGAUUAUGGCUCCCACACUUGAACUGAGGCAGAAGGCACUAGAUCGUCUUUUGCCUUAUCAGAGGUCUGACUUUGAAGGCAUUUUCCGUGCUAUGGAUGGUAUGUGAAAAUCACGAUGCAUUCAUUUACAUGCUCUCCAAUUGAACUGGAUGCACUAGUGUUACUGAACAUAACAAGAGUAAGCAACCUUCUUAAAUAGACAACAUUGACUACUAAUGUAAAGUGAAAAGGUAGACAAGUUUUAAACCUUAGGAUGCAAAAUACUUCAAAAAUAAGAACGAAAUUGGGCCAGUAACAUAUUGCAUCAAUUAUUUAACUUGGUAACAUAAAGUUCUGCUAUGAUUUAUCCAUUAGUUUUUUUUAAUCUUUUAUAGCGAGUGGUAUAUGUACAUGUUUCAUGGAAACAGAUAUAGAAUUAAACUACUAGAAUAAAUUUUAACAUGUAUUGUAGUUAGUUCCACAGUAUGUAUUUUAAAGUGCGGAAUGGAUUUGAACAUUAUUUUUUUUGCAUUUCAGGGCUUUCAGUGACUAUUCGGCUUCUGGACCCCCCACUUCAUGAGUUUCUUCCUGACGGGAAUGUUGAAGACAUUGUGCGUGAAUUAUGUUCUGAAACUGGAGCCAAUCAGGAGGAAGCCCUUGCAAGAAUUGAAAGUCUUUCAGAAGUAAAUCCAAUGCUUGGUUUCCGUGGGUGCAGGUUGGUUUUUGUGCUCCGUUUAAAUCAGUCACCCCCCCUCCUUGAUCCAUUUGGUUCCCUUGUUAGUGAAAUAUUAAAAAGAAUAAACUCUGUAUAUUUACCUCGACUAAUAUUGGAACUGCUAAAAUUCCAGGCUCGGUAUAUCAUAUCCUGAGCUAACAGAAAUGCAAGCCCGUGCCAUCUUUGAAGCUGCUAUAGCGAUGACCAACCAGGGUGUUCAAGUUUUCCCAGAGAUAAUGGUUCCUCUUGUUGGGACACCUCAGGCAUGCAUCUUUAUUUCCUUAUUUGUGCAUAUGGUAUCUCUGCAGUUCAUGGUGUUCAAAAUGACAAAAUCAAAAUUGAAUAAACAACCAAGUUCUGUACACAUGUAAUUUACGAUUUUAUGCAAACAUCAAGUUGACCUACACCCAAUUUCCCACCAAAUUCAUUUCUUGAAAUUUUCUCUCUCGAAUUCUAAGUUUAUUGCUUUCACUUGAUUUUUCCUUCAGACAUCUGACAUUUGACUUUUGCAGGAACUGGGGAAUCAAGUGGCCCUUAUCCGUGAAACUGCUAACAAAGUUUUCGCUGCUCUGGGUAAAACCAUUGACUACAAAAUUGGAACUAUGAUUGAAAUUCCGAGGGCAGCUCUAGUAGCUGAUGAGGUAGGAAGCAUCUAACUCCCUUCAGAAUAAUCUUAAAUAUUGCUGUUUAGGUUUAGCUUUUAGAUCAUAUUUUUCAUGAAUGGUUUAGUAAUAGAACCCCGGAUUUUUACUCUAAAACAUGUGAAUAGUAACUGAUGGUAUGAAUUUAUUAAGUGCAAAUAAUAAGUUUAUCCUCUAAUUUAAAAAAAAAACUGACAUUCUUGUUUUGGUUUCACAACCUGACAGAUAGCAGAGCAGGCUGAAUUCUUCUCUUUUGGAACGAACGACCUCACACAGAUGACAUUUGGCUACAGCAGGGAUGAUGUGGGGAAGUUUCUUCCCAUUUAUCUGUCUCAGGGUAUCCUCCAACAUGAUCCCUUUGAGGUAAAAUUUUAGCAGCUCUCACCCUUCAGUUUUAGAUGAUAUACCUGCAUUUUCAUCAUCCACUCUUGUUUUUCAAGGAAUAUUUCCAUCAUCCACAGAUGCGAGCAUCUCAUGUCCUCUAGGCAUUUUUCAUGUCCUUGACUUUUGGUUACGUGCAUGCUCUGGUAAAAUUCAACCUAGUAACUUGCCCAUUGAAUGUUGAUAAACAUAUCAGGUGCUGGAUCAGAGGGGAGUGGGCGAGCUGGUUAAGUUUGCUACAGAGAGGGGUCGCAAAGCUAGGCCUAACUUGAAGGUUAGUUUUUGGGACUUGUGGACAUUGGCUCUUUUCCUUAGAAAUCAUGGUUUCAUUGUUUGGUGCUGUCUGCAAACAGGUGGGCAUCUGUGGAGAACACGGUGGGGAGCCUUCGUCAGUUGCAUUCUUUGCAAAGUCGGGGCUGGAUUAUGUUUCUUGCUCGCCUUUCAGGUUGGUCAAGUGAUAAACUCAAGAUACAACUCCCAGAUUCAUAACUGUAGCAAAACCUUAACUACUUUUUAUGAAAUAUCUUGUGCAGGGUUCCCAUCGCCAGGCUAGCUGCAGCUCAGGUGCUCGUCUGAGGGCACCGCCUCAUCGGCAACCGGAUCACCUGCUGUUGGUGCGUCUGGUGAAGAAUACUAAUACAAAGCCAUGGAACGGUGGAACUCUGCUGCCUGGCAAAGGCCGUUGUAUCUUGUAUGAAGUCUCCGUGCGCGUGCGCAUGUAAGACUUAAUGUGUGGUUUUCUGCAUUUUCCCUUGAACUACCAUGGUAAUGUAGUACCAAACAGAGAUGAUGACGAAGAACAAUCGAAUAAAUUAAUUGGCGAUUACCUGUGCUGUCAAUUUUGCUUUCUUGUAUGAGUUGCUAGUGGAACUGAAGCAUUUCAGAUUUGUUGGCCAAGGUGGAUGGUAAGUAUGAAUGCAACACAUAGUACUGGUUCCUGAUGCCUGGGAUCACUAUUUUUCGGUCCUACUAGUGUACCCAAGUCACAUAGAGAUAAUAGAAGGUAAAAGAUAAUCUCUAUGAUGCAACAGGACUACAGGAGUGAUUAGCCUCUUUUGGCAUUAACCAGUACACACUACACAUCAAUCACCUUUUGCCGUUCCUCCUUAUCUAAGAUUUUCCACACUUCUGAUCGCAAGGAAAAUUAUUGGCAACCUUCACUACAAUGCAUUCUCUCGGUUUUUGUUUCACCUUCUUGUCACGACCCUAAUCGCGGUUUUGUUUCAUCUUCUUAUCACGACACCAAUCGUAGCUAACUCGUUAAGUAUCAUCUCAUGAGCAGAAUUAAUCAUUAGGAAUGGUUAGGGAACUAAAAUAAUGAAAUUAUAGAGCUACGCCAUGUUUUCCUUUUGCGCAGGGCUGGCGCUCUCGGGUCAACACGUCAGCACUGGUUACCACUUCAGUGAUUCAUCAAUUCACAAAAAACAGCAAGUUGCAUACAUCCAUUCCAAGUAUCACACUAGACUCAUAGGUUCCAAAAGAAACUUACAACCAAGUCGCAUACAUCCAAGCAAAAGUAUCACAAUAAACUAGUAUCAGGUCCAAGGUAGCAACAUAAAAUGCAUAGUCUCGGUCCAGCCAGCAACCAGGAAGCAAAUGAAAAUGCCAAGUCUUAAGUCCAGGUAGCAAAAUGAUCCAACCACAAGAAUCUGUUUGGAGUUUCCUAGGUAGCAAUGAUUCGGUCACAUUAAUCCGAGUUAAGAAAUCACAUACUCCUCGUUGAGGUGCAUCAAACGACGAAAAAGAGCAUUGGUCUCCGCUCUUUGCUUCUUCAGACUUCGUAUCUUUUCUAGCUGCUUUUGCUUUGAUGCUUGUAUCUUCAAUUUCAAGGCUUCCAAUUUGUGGUACGGAAAAUGGUACAAAGGUUAUAAGUCCCCGAACGUUUAUACCAUAACUUGUUGCUUGCCUAUGUUCAUUUGGUGCUGUGUAGGUCGCAAGUUAGAUUCCGGUGGAGGCUUCGUCAUUUUUUUUUGUUUCUUUUUGCUGCUGGGCGUGGACAAGUGGGGAUCCAGAGGUGUUGGGUCGUGUUGCUGCAGGGCGCUAGCGGACCGUAGACCACCUCGGUUUGCUACUGCUAUACAAGUAAAUGAAUCAGAUGACGUAUUACAAGCACGUUGCUAAGUUCCGGGAUCGAGUCUUGCAAGGGCUCUCCACAUUUUUUUGUUACUAUUUUGCUGCUGGGCGCUACACAUUCUGGUGCAGGCCUCUAACAGGCCAAUAGGCCAUGGUCCAUUUUGCAAGUCAAGGCUUGGCUCUAUUGUAGUGCUGAGCUGGGCUGGGCUGAUCAAGCCUGUGAAUACAAUGGAGGUUGGACUGAAAAAGAAGAAAAGGCAAAAGAUGAAAAAAAAAUGACGUGUGGGACCCACAAUAGACCUACUUGUCAAAGUGAUGCUAGGACCCACUAUAACAGGCCAACAAGAUCCUUUUUUGUUAGAAAAAUAUAUCUACGAUGAAUCAUCGUCAUAAAACUUGUGACAUUUAUCUACUGGCCUUUAUGACAAAAUAAUAAUGUUCGUCAUGACAUGACAUUAGACUAGCUUAAAACGAUUAAAACGAUUUCUAGUUGGUCUUAGCGAUGAAUACCUCAUUUUUGUCAUUGCAGUGCCUCAUAUAGAAUGUCAUAAAACAGAAUAUCAUAACGACGAAUAGUUCCAACCUCACGUGGUAUUUGUCCCGAAAGGUCAUAUUUUUUUUAACGAGGGUUGCGUGCAUGUAUCAUAGGAGUGAGUAUGCAUGUGUGUAUGUGAGCGUCUACUUGUGUUUCGAAAAAAAUGGAUAUGGAUGCGAGACAUAAAUUAGAUAAAUUAGAUAAGUGAAAUCUCGUAUGCUAGCCUACGUGGUCUUUGGACUUCGUUAGGCUUGAUGCAACCUAAGUGCCAGCAUGUCGCCCACUCACUCCUAUACUUACUGUGUAGCUCUCAGUUAGACAUUCUCCCUCUUCGACGUCACUGAGAGUCUAAGACUAGCCUCCACCUGUGUUGCCAUGUCCGGUGCAUUCCACGGUCUCUCUUUCAUACGCCGUGUUUCGUCAUCCUCCUUAGUAUCCUGUGCGCGCACCAACUAUUGAUAUCUUAUGCUCUCCUAAUACGAGGAUGCAAUCUUCAUCAUCAUCGACCCCAAUGCCCAUGGCCACCAGUGGCCUACCACCACGGUUGGUCAUCACACACCUUCCAUGCUCGUAUGUCAUUUCACAAUUAUAAACGUUGUUUAGAUAAAUGAUAAUUCUUCUCACAUCUAUAUUAUAUAUACGUUUUAAUGAAACACACGUGUCAUGUUUAGCAGAGAGUUUGCUGAUGUAUGUUUUUUUAACUUGUCCUUCUAAAUUUUAGGGUAGUGAGCUAUUUAAAGGUUUACUGGAGUUGCUUACCAUUGUGCUUGUGAACGUGCCAGCUGGCUUGUGGACGGGUGAUUCCGGCCGGGGAAAACCCUCUCGAAAACCCCAAAUCUGCUUCGUCACUUCCGGACUUCCGGUUCCGGCCCUCGUCAUAUGCCGGGGGCACCGACUGCCACGCGAUUUCUCGCUCUCCUGAUCCCCUCGCCCUCCCGUCCGUUGUUCCCCUCUCCCGCAUCGACGCCAAUCGCCAGUGGCCCCUUCAGGCACCGCGCCGCCGGCAUGACCUCAGGGUCCCCCCCGGGUUCGCCCCCCUCCCCUCCUGGGUCCCAGGUCCGCCCUCCCUCGCACCGAUAACUGGUACCCUUGUCACAUUGUGGAUUGGUAUUUGCCCUAGCUUUGGUUUCUCCCCCCAAUUCUACUUGGCCCGCAUGUCGAUUUGCGUGUUUCUUUGGUGCCGGCCGCAUCAUGAUCAGGCGUUGAUUCGGUUGGAUUUUGGGGGGCGACUCUUGUAAAUUGUAAUCAUCAGGUUGUAUCUGGUUGUUUUGUUUAGAGACCCAGUCGCUCACUAAGGUUUGGAUGGAUUGCGUGCUCGAGAUCGCAGUACGCGUGUUCGUUUCUUAUGCGAAAAAUGCUGGCCGCAAUUUUAGUUCCAAACGGACUGGAAGUUUGGAGUCGGCCGAUUCAAACACAGGUUUUUCCGCAAAGAUAACAUUUUGUGAGGUGAAUCGACGCAGACAAUAAGUCUGACUUUUAAGGUCGUCGCAUAUGUGUUACAUCUGUUCAUGUGUGCUGGUAUGCGUUGGUUCAUAUUUUAGGUGCAAAUGCCUAAUGCCAUAUGCCAGGGAGGUAGAAACUGAUGAGAACAACAGAGUAUUUGACCUUGCUCUUAGUAAUCCUCCUGGUAUAUAGAGUCUAAAUCAAUUUAGGCAACUUAUGAAGAUCCAUGUGUUUAUGUGACCCUGCCAUUGUGGGGAUAUUAGUAAUUUUGCAAUUCUUAGGAUUUCAUGAUAUAUGUUCUAUAACCAGCAACAAGCAGUAGAGUGUCUGAAUGGAAGAAGUGGCAUUAGUUUUGCCCAAAAAGUGCUUUUAGGUGCUGCUGGGUACAAACAACAGUGUGGGAUAUUGCUUCUUUUCCAACUGCAUAUCAGCUAAAGACAACUGUUUCCAUGGAAGAUAAACAUACUUCUGCAGCAGAUUCUUUCAUGUGCAUGAGCACCUUCUUGUUUGAUUGGAGUGGUAACUUUGUUGCAUGUAUUGUAUUUUACAUGCUUUGCAUAAUGCAUACACAUUUCUUGCCACUCAUGUACAAUUGGGAGAAGGCAGAGUGGAACAGAUUUUAGGGGGAUGAGAAUAACUGGGAGCCUUAGUACUUAUAUGUUAUUUAUACCAUAGCUUUUAGACCAAUGUUGUUUCUGAAUCUAUUUUAGUUUAUGUUCUAAGUGGACUUUGUACAAAUGAUUGUUGAAAAUUGGGAGAUUCAACCUUAUUUUAAUUUUAAGUUGGACCCACUUGUUCAUUUGCUGCAGUUAUUUCUGUGCAAUGGAAUAUGGCUUCUGUACAGCAGUACGCAAAAGUUGCUACAAACACUGUUUAACAUAAGGUUUGCCAUAAACAAAAGCCAUUUUGUGCAUAUAGUAGACAGAAUCAGUCGAAUCAUAUCGGCAGCUUUCUUUUUCUUUUCCAUUGUGCUUGCUGAAAAGCAAUAUUUUGUGCUUGCUGAAAAGCAAUGUUUUGUUAUUCUACUAGCAGUAAUGGUCUAUGCAGUAUUAUAUUAGCAUCUUCCAAUUUGCUGUUCUUGUUCAAAAGAUUUUUCACUUUUCUGCUCUACAGAAGCAUGAUACGUGAGGCUGUGACACAAAUUGUUUGCUUUACAUGCUCACUUGAGAUAGAUUUUAUUUUACCUUUGUGGAAAUGAGAUAAAGAAAAUAACGAAUACCUUUCUGGAUUUGACAGAGAAAACGCAGUGCAACCAAAGAUUCAGUUGGCUUGUAUGCGGCGCAAUGCUAUAUGUGCUACAAAUGGCGUAUGAUUCCAACUAAAGAAGAAUUUGAGACACUUCGUGAGAACUUCACUGAGGAUCCAUGGUUCUGCAGCAGAAGACCAGAUUGCUCUUGUGAAGAUCCUGCUGACAUUGAGUAUGACAGCAGCCGCAUCUGGGUCCUCGACAAGCCCAACAUACCAAAGCCCCCACCAGAGACAGAGAGGCUAGUGAUUAUGAGGCGUGAUUUCAGUAAAAUGGACACCUACUAUGUCAUGCCAAAUGGGAAGCGUGCACGGUGUGCCGGGGAUGUAGAUAAGUUUCUGGAGGCAAAUCCAGAGUACAAGAACCGCAUAUCCACUUCAGACUUCAACUUUGCACCACCCAAGGUUGUUGAGGAGACAGUUUCUCACAACUCUGCCUGGAAGGCUGCCAAGGCUAAGAAGCAGGACAAGGCAGACGCUUCUAGUGCACAGAAGUGAUAGAAGCUCUAAACGGUGCCUGUGCUAUGUUUAGGUGUUAGUCCUCUUAGGAUCAUGUCAUGUCUAAUGUAGGUUUUAUUGCUGUGAGCCUGUGACUUUGCUCUGAUGCAAGUGCAACUGAACCCUUGUGUUGAGCUUCCUGGGAAAUCUCUGAGAUCGUUAAUAAGUUCUGUUGGCCUCUUGCUCUUUUCCAAUAAGCUGCUUGCAUAUUGCCUUACUACAACAUCCUCAAGUUUUGCUUUUCAGUUCCCAAGUGCAUGCAUGGUGGUCUCAUUAUCUAGCACCAUAUGUAUGUAGCAGAUGAAUGCUGCCCAAGCUUGGGCAUUCCUACCAAAGCCAUUUGAGCUCGUCCAGUGCAACACUGAUUUAAUGUCACAAGACAUAUAGAUGAGCUGAUGAGAGUCCACAAGCUUGUGAAGAAACUAGAAAUGCUCAUAUAGGGUAGCACAUGGAAGAUGAGAAAACUAACGACAGAUCAGGAGCAUCCAGUAACAAUGUAGGACAUUAGGACCAACACUACAUGCAAAAUUAGCAGAGAUUCUUGGACUUGCUGCUGACAUGCCAUAGAGUCAGUCGUCUUGGCGACGUUGAUGGUGCACUGAUAGCCUUCUCUGACGUCAUUGUCCCUGCAGAACUCCUUCCACUCAUUGGCCAUCCUAAAGGUCGCCUUCCAUGAUCUCUUGCUCCUUGCCGAUGUUUUUCAGUGUGACUCUACAGCUUGUAGGGAGGCCAAUCGAAGCGCAUUUUGUCCGUCCAAUCAUCUGCAUUGUGAACUAGAAUUGCAUGAAGCCUUGGCGUACAAAUUCUGCAUGUCGAAUUCCCUCGGUGUGGUGAAAACAACUUCUGUGUGCAGGCGAAUGGAAGUAAACCAGUGCUCACGGAUUUCUGUUUAAGCGCGCAAUGCAUUGGCUUUUUAUGUCUCUUCUUAUUAUUCAAAGAAGUUGGGGAACGCUCUGGUUUCUCAUCUCCUGAAUGAAUUGAGCUUUUACACACGCAUUUCCUCUUUCUGACUGAUAGAUGAUGCUUCACGCCGCUGCUUCUUUGAACAAUCAAACAAACAGUGUGAAGGAAAUUGUGCAAUCAUGCAAAUGGUUUGAAAUAAUCUCCACAUAUUCAAAAUUCUGAUAAUAGAAAUCCCCUGAAAAUCUUGUGGUCGAUCAUCUGGGGUUUUCUCAUCAGCGAUAUCCCCUGAAAAUGCUGUGCCGUUGUAAUCUUUCUGCAACCCGCUUGCCUUGAACAUUUUGUUUUUCAUCGUGAACAGCAUGUUCCCUUCGUAAUUGAACAGGAAAAGGUGGCCACGAGAAAAGCCAUGAACUGUCAGAAACUCUGCCCAACCACACCUGAAGAAGACACCAUGGCCUCUUGACAGUCAUUGUCUUGGGCCAUAGAUUUCGCAUAAACAAUGGAGGGAUUGGCUGCAACAACAAUUUAUCAGAAUUCAGAACAUGCAGCACCAGCAAGCAAACAUACAGAGGCAUGGCAGCAAAAUACGAGAAAAUUUCUGCAGGGAAGAAUGUGGCUGGAACUUGGCAGACCAUCUUGUUGCAGAAUUCAGGGACAAGAAUUCCGGUGAAAUGCAGCCUCCCUACCAUGCUCUUGCCUGUCAAACCUGUGCAUGGAGUAUACAAGUUACUGCAGGAACUGCAAGAGUCUCAAGCCAGAACUCGGUGCUCUUAGCAGCUACAUUGACAUUCGGCACUAAUGAAUCACUACUUGAAUCUGUUGAUGCCAAUUUACUAGAAUUCGCUUCAUACUUGAACAGGUAGAAGGUGGCUUCAGAAAGACCAUUGAAAACCACUCCAAAGUAUGCUUUUUCUGAAGCCGCUCCCAAAAAGCCCGAUGCACUGAAAGCCUGAAGCACCAAACACGCCGAGGGGGCUGAAGACCGUGGCCUCUUGCCUCACAUCGCCUUGCGCCAUGUGAUUUCGUGCAAAGCUUGGAGGGAUCGGUUGCAAGAACACUGGAUCAUAACAUGCAGCAAGCAGACAUACUAGCCUGCAGAUACGGCGCUACACAGUAAGAGAAAGUCCGAGAAGGAAAGCAUGUGGCUGGCACUUGGCAAGACCAUCUUCCUGGAGAAUUCAUGGAGCAGAAAUCCGAAAUCCGAUGAACUGUACAAUAGCCACCUGAAUUAGUUGAUGCCAACAAGAUUGUGGCAUGCUUGAUACAACAGCCACGUACGAUGCUUGCUGAAACCUGAAACAGUGCCAAUACCUGAACAGAGCGCAGAAUUCAAGACGGAAGAACCACCCGCGGCGCUCGUGCCUGAACACCGCCAACCAACCACCCGACGCCACGCUCCAAGAACAUCAAUAUAAACCCCGAACCUUCGCGCCCUGCUGCCCACGAAAACAAGAAUCCCCUCGCCCUCCUCUGCCUUCUCCCUUCCACCACGUUCAUUGCCGAACAAGAAGCUUCGCCUUCCUCCUCACAACCUCCCCACCCCGCUUCCCCGCAGCAAUCGAGGCCAGCUCCCGUUCUUGAAUCAAGAACGUCCCUGCAGAGUUCUUGAAUCAAGAACGCCCCUGCUGGGUUGAUCAAGAACGCCCAUGGAGGAGGCUUGGGAGGAGGAGGGCCGAGCCCGAGCCGGUAAGCUCGCCGAGCCGUUGGGCGUCCGCCCCGCCGCCAGCGCAGGAGGCCACCACCGCGAGGAGCCUCCGCCGCGGCGCGCGCGUUGGUUGGACGUGCUCCGGUAUAUUUGGAUGUACGCGCGCGGCUUCGCGCACGGCGUCGGCCGCGUGCUCUUAUUGCUGAGGCGCCAAAGCAUCGGCGCCGCCGCCGGUGUCGUCGUCGCCAUGGAGCGCAGCGGACGGCACGAGGACAACGGGGGACAGCGCAAUUACGCCUUCAUGUACGGCAAGCUGCUCAAGGCACACCGCAGCGAUAAGCUGGCGCACCACAAUGAUCCGGCGCCGCAGGUACGCCGCAGCGAUGAGCCGGAGCACCACGAUGAUCCCGAGUCGCAGGAUUCCAACAACGCCACAGCCGCCGGCUCGGCCCCCACCCCGGCCCUCCCACUGUUAAUCCGACUCUUGCAUUUCUUAAUCUGAAAUUGUGCCGCGGUUGCAGUUCAGCUUUAGCAGCCUGCAAGUAAAUGAGCUUAGAUUGCAGAUUGCAUUUCUUGCUCUGAAAUUUGUCUUGGUCGCUGCUCUGGUAGCCAUUGAGAAAAUGUAUUUAGACUGCAUUUUGCAUUUUUUUUCCUCUGAAAUUAUGUCUUAGCUGUUGAUUCAACAUAUACUUCUGCAUUCCAUGGAUGUGCACAAGACGCCUGGAUUUCCGUGCAAGACUUGCAAGGUUCGAGUUGGAACGCCACAUGAGCUCCUGCUGCACGCUCACUUCUGCCGCGCGCUUCAGAUAGAUGAGUUCCUCUGUCAACCAUCGUAGGCCUAAAUUGACAACCGUCGUAUUAUUUCGGAAAAAAAACCCGUUGUAGGCCAAAUUGAUAUGGUUGCCUUUUCAAGUAACCUUUUUAUCUAACUUGAUGAUGGCUGCAUAUAGGUUGGUGGAAGCUGAUUGUACAGAAGAUGAAAGUCAUGAAGACAGAUUGAUUUUCGGAAGGCAAAGGAUAACUGUAGGAGAAGCUGCAAAAUUUUGGAUGUAGUUUACUGUGUCGUGUAUUAGACAUGAUGCCUUACAUCCCAGUCAAAAACUACAUAUAGUUGUUGGGGGCUACAUAUUAAAAAACUUAGAGAAGUUUGUUCAUAGCUCAUUUCAUUUUCAUUCAUCGUAUAAGGCGUUUGGAUACGAGGUACGGUCACAUUGGAUGUUCGGAUGCUAAUUAGGAGGACUAAACAUGAGCUAAUUAUAAAACUAACUACAGAACCCUUAUACUAAUUCACGAGACGAAUCUAUUAAGCCUAAUUAAUCCAUCAUUAGCAAAUGGUUACUGUAGCACCACAUUGUUAAAUCAUGGACUAAUUAGGCUUAAUAGAUUCGUCUCGCGAAUUAGACUCCAUCUGUGCAAUUAGUUUUAUAAUUAGACUAUAUUUAAUACUCCUAAUUAGUAUCCAAACAUCCGAUGUGACAGGUACUAAAGUUUAGGGGGUGUAUCCAAACACCCCCAUAGUCAAUCCCGUGACUAAAGAUACUGGCAGCCAGGAUCAUGUUGCUGAAUUAUUACUGCAUAAUGCACUAAACAGUUAAUAAUAUUGAUAUCUAUAAUCUAAUAAUGAACUUAUAUAGAGAUGGUGGUGAAUGUUGUUUAUCAUUCAAUUACUUAUGUUUCUUUUUUUAGUUACUUAUCAUUCCGUUUAUGAAAGCUUCCUAAGAUUUAAAUUGUGCAAACAAGCUUGAACUAAGUUUUGGUUGAAUUUUUUCAUUCCAUUACCCUUAUUUUUCCAAUUCGAAACAAACAAAGACCGCCGUAAAUAAACAAUGUAUUAUGUUGGGGAUUUGACUCCGGCAGAGUAGGAGAAUAUAGAGCUAAUGGAGAAGUCAUAGCUUAGGGAUAAGUGUGAGAGUGCUAAAGAAAUGAGUUCCCUCCUUAUGACCCCAUGAGAUCUUUAUAUAGAGGAGGAAGGAGGUGGCGAUUAGCCCCCAAGCCCCUGAUGCGUACAAGAUUUACAACUAGACCUUUUGAUCUUUACAUUGGCUGCCCUUUUACUCAUGGGCUGGACCAUUUCCCAACGGUAGCCCCUCAACUACUUUGGUUCGGCUGGCACAACGAAGCGAAGUAGCUGAAUUCAUGGAAAGGCCUAGCUACAACUUUAACUUCGGCCAUAAGGAAAAGCCCUCACUACCGCAUCCGCUUCACCGCUAGACUUUGCUUCACUAAUCACCUUCUAUUUCUUGAGUUUAGCUUCACAACUUCACCUUUUAGCUUCAACUUUAACAAUGUAAUCAAAGUAGCAAAUUCCGUCGAAGUAGCAGAAGUAGAUGGAGUAGAAACACGCUCUUCCGCGUAGUUAAUGUAGUCGAAGUAGACAGUCCGUCUCUUACAUAUUCGAAGAAGAAAGUCCAUCUUUUAAUGUGGUUGAUGUAGUCGAAGUAGAGGAAGCAAAGAGCUGUUGCCUUUGUCCUAUCGAAGCUAGCAACACCUUUGAAUCUUCACUCACAUGCGUCGGGCAAGAUUUGAAUCCCGUGGUGAAUUGGUUCUCUAUGAUCCCGCCAUAGCCCCUCUUGGCCGAUGCAUGUAGUGAAGAUGGUAGUGGUACUUUGUACGUAAUUGAAGCAGUAGUGAAGGUGCAAUAGACGAAGCGCCCCUCUCCCCGAAACAGUGGUUUAGACAUAGUCGAUGAUGAGCACAUCAAGUUUAAUAUUGCCAUCGAAGAUAAAGGUGAAGUAGUAUAGACGUCUCCGAAGUUGUUGGAAAGCCCCUCGAGCCGAAUGAUGUUGCGAGGUUGAAGUCAAGUAGUAGACGAUGACGAACUUGCUAGCGGACCCCACGAGAUGAAGUAGUGGUGGAGGCGAAGUUGAUGUUGACGCUAAUGAUGACAGCGAGCCCCUUGAUGGAAGCACAGUAGCAUGCAAUGCCGAAGUUGGCCCUCGGUGACUUUCUUCAUGUCGGCAAGGCUAAGCUGGAAAAAAAAACAAUUCAACUUGCAUUUUUUUUCAAUAUCAGCUUUCCACUGAACAAGUGUGCCUGCAUAAGAGUGUCUAUCAUCCCACAUAAAGAUAAUACAAAAUACAAGCAGUAACAAAUGUGCCCAAACAAGGCUUUAACAGCAUUACGGCUCUAUGGAUUUCUGCACAAUAGAUGUAACAUCCCAAAAUUUGAAAUUCAAAUUUGAAAAUAGGGACCCAAAUUUUUUUUCUAAAAUUUGCAUAGCAAAUUUAAACCUAGAAUCCUACACUUUAAAUUUAUGCUCAAAAAUAAUUUCUACAAAUGCAUAUGCGUAUGCCUGAGCUAACUACGUACCUUUACUCCAAAAAUAUUAUAUCUUUGAAGCCUACACUACAGACCCUAAUCAAAUUUGAACUCCAUUUCAAAUUUGAAUCCAAAAGUAACUUUGAAUAAUGAAAAAUCUGUGAAACUUAACCAUGCCGACACCCCUUCACUUCCGGGCCAUUCUCCCUUCUAGCCCGGCCUGCCUCCACUCUCCAUUCCGCUCGCACGCGCGCGCUCGAGGCCCAGCUCACGGCCCAGCAGCAGCUCGUCCCAUGACCUAGAACCAACUGCUAUGUGACUGGAGUUGGUGGAUAACACUGUUCGCUAGCCUGAAGGCAUCGCUGAAGACGUAUCUAUGAAGACCGGAAAUUACUUUGUCCUUGUUGACUUCGUAAUACUCGAGAUGGGUGAAGGAGCAAAAUCCGCACUGAUACAGGGAAGGCCUUUCCUGAAGACAUCAAGAACAAAUAUAGAUGUUGGAAAGCGAGAGAUCAAGUUCGAUAUUAAUGGCACACUGAGCGCAUUCAAGUUUCAUCCACGUUUUGAGGUAUGCAACAUGAUUUCUAGCAAGUAUAUACUGCCGCAUGCCAUGUCAAGUAGGAGAAGAAGAACAAGAAGGUAGAAGAGAAGAAGCCAGCGCAAGUUGCUAUCAUCCAGAAAAAGGAAGAACACCAGUCUGUAAAGACCAAAAAGAUAGCCAAGCCUAUGCAUGUAUCGAAUCCCAAGAUGGUGCAGAAGUGGGUGCUGAAGACUGCAGUGCUGACACCGAGCGCUGGUCCAAAGUGAAGAAUUGAAGGGUCUAGCUAUAGACUAUAAACGAAGCGCUUUGCGGGAGGCAACCUGAUCAUUGAGUCAAGAAUAAGCUACUGGGAGGACAACCCUGGAGUCAUUUGAAUUUUCAAGUAAGUGAGUCGCAGAUUUUGCUAUUGGGAUUUAAUAAGUGGAACCUUUGAUCAAGAUAAUUUUUGAAGAUUUAUUCGCUCAGUCAUUUUUGUUCCUCUCUUUUUAAUAAACCAAUGACAUGAGUCAUCCCAAGCUUUACUUAAUUUUUCUUGGAAAACAGAAUCAAAUAUCCAGACCCUAUAAGACUUUUUAUCCUGACCAUGAUAAUUAGCCAGACCUGUUUCUCAUGAUAAACACACGAGUAGAGCCCGCGUUGUUCUUACAUUGCAAAUUUUGGCUAGGACUCAUGUAACCCUAGGAUUUUUGUUUGCUUAAACUUGAAAAAUUUACCUGUUUUCCUAGAAUUAUAAUUUUUCUCAUCCAUCUUUGAUUUAUUUCAUUCAAAAUUGCUCUCUCAUUUUUAGCCAAAAUUAGAACCUAAACCUACUACCCCACGGUUGAAAUCGAAAUUGCUUCAUCUCAAUUCAUGAGAAUGAACGAUACCGGUGCAACCAAAAUUAAUAUAGUCGGAAAUAUUUUUGACUUACAUUUUUUUUUGAUGCUUCAAAACCCCUCUAACAUAUAUUUGAACUCAUUGCUAGCUCUGAGUUAUUUUCUUAAUUUUUAAGAUUAGAGGAGGAUUAAGCAUCUAAACAUAAUUUGGAGGGUUCAUGAGCUUCAUUAACACUAAUGGUUUGAUUUGAGAUCACGGGAAUCAUUAUGGAGGCACUCCCGACUACCACACAUGCAUAAAAAAUAAAGAUUGGCCUGCCAUGUUUGUUUGUUGCAGAUCAAAGGACAAAACAUUGAGUAUGAUUGAAGAAAAAAAUAAGUCUAUGACACAUAAGUGCAUGAUUUUGAGCAAAGUGGCCACACAAAGGACAUGUGGAGGUUGUUUUGACGGUGCCCUUCACGUGAAGACCUUAAAUUUGGAUACACUAAUGAGCAAAUUGCCAUGUGAAGAAAGAUGGAAACUAGAGGAGGCAGAAACACACUAGGCCGAUCGGCCUGGGAUCUUUUUAAGCCCUCUCGUGGUGCCCUUUGCUAGGUAAGUCACUUAGCUCAUUGUUCAUCUAUUUCCACACAAAGAACACCUCAAGUUAGCCUCUGAAAAAUUUAAAACUCCAUGGUGGUGUCGUGCGCAUAUCCAGUGCUGGGAGAAGAUGGUCGACGUGUGGUUGGAGCCCGGGUGGUUGGAGAACCACCUUGCUUGCCGGCAGCGGCGUUUGCAGAUGCCGACUGCACCACACCAUCAAGGUAGCCUAAGCCUUGAUGAAUAUAGAGAAAAAUGGGUAUGCAACUUCAAUUUUUUAUUCUAACAUUCAAUUCUACAUAAUUCCUAAUCAUUUUGUAGUUUUUGCCGCAGUCAUCGUCACAUGAUGGCCGACCUUGCUCCUAGCUCAAGGCAUGGGUCCUCUCCAAAAAGGGCAAGGCAACGGCCGAUAUCAAUUUCAACCCGGAUGACCCGUCCGAGGCGUACAACCAUCCUAGCAUACACAGUCGCGUCAACAAGUAUACAACGAUGGCUAGGGAGGUUCACGGGCCAGACUUCGAUCCGAGCUCCGAGGACAUUGAUGGAGAAAUCGUGAUGAGGGUGGGAGGAGGCAAGAAGCAUGGCCGAUAUUGGGUUGGCGACGGUGUAAUCGACACGGCCUCUACUCCCACUCUCUCCUAGAUUCGAGCAAGGAGCACGGACUCGAGCCCGGCGAUACGGCCAUGACCCACCACUGCACAGUUACAGAUGGAGGCUCUCCAGGUUCUUUCUCUUCCAUUCAUCGUUCGUUUGUUGUUAUACUUUAGCUUUGCAUUAUAACAUUGCAAUGAAAUAUUGUAGGCCCAGGUGGAAGCAGCAAGGAAAAAACAAGAGGAGAUGGCGGCGCAGAUGGAGGACAUGCGGCGGAGGAUGGAGGAAGAAAAUCGGAUGAGGAUGGACCAGAUGUUCCAGUACAUGCAGAAUUUUGCUUCAAGCAUGGGUCAAUCUUUGCCUCCGCCACCGCCGAUGUUGUUCCCUCCGCCUCAGCCACCCACAACUACUCCUGUGAGUCCUUUGACACAUUGUGCUUAAGAUUGAAUACUUUAAUUUUGACAACUUUAGUUGUUAGCUCAGAAUGUCCUAUCCUAUGUGCAGAAUCAAUCGGCGGCUUCAAAUAAUGAAGAUCAAGAUUUGUCGCAGUGGUCUCCUUGGCCUCCACGGAACUAGACUUGGUUGUGAACUUGGUUGAAACUAAAUUGUGACUUGAACUUGGAUUUAUGGAUUGUUUCGUGCUUAUGUUGGAUUAUGCCUGUGAUGUUUAUGAAUAAUGCUUCUAAUGGUGGUUGUGAAUUAUGCCUGUGAUUGUUUAUUACAAAUGCAUGUGAUGAUGUGUAUUGUGAAUUGAGAGGGAUCUGUUAUACGUGACAAAACGGGUAAAAAAGGGGGUACUGACCACUUUGCCGAGUGUUACACUCGGCAAAGAGGGGCUUUGCCGAGUGUUUUUGCCUUAACACUUGGCAAAGUGGGCUGUUCCACCACCUGGUGCCACCUGUUUGCCGAGUGUUUUUGCCUUAACACUCGGCAAAGGGCACUUAUUUGCCGAGUGUUUUUUCCUUAACACUCGGCAAAGGGCACUGAUUUGCCGAGUGUCAGAACCACGACACUCGGCAAACAGGCUGUAGUUGCCGUGUGCUGCCACUCGGCAAAUAGCCUGUAGUUGCCGUGUGCUGGCCGUUGGCAAAGUUUUCGAGUUUGCCGAGUGCCUGCCGUCUAGCACUCGGCAAAGCUGCCGUUAGCCUCGACGCCGUCAAAGCCAAUGUCGCCGAGUGUGUUUUUUCGCCGAGUGUUUUUUGGCCGUCGGCAAAAUGUUUGCCGAGUGCACGAGUUUUGACACUCGGCAAAGCAGUGUUUGCCGGUACAAUAUUUGCCGUGUGCUAUAUGCCGAGUGUAACACUCAGCAAAGCCUUUGCCGAGUGUUUUUGGGUCUUCGCUGAGUGCCUGUGGCAGUCGGCAAAUUCAGUGUUUCCCGUAGUGUAGGAACUGUUGUCUAGAGAUACAUGCCGGUGGGCACGAGUCUCGUAGAUCAAUAUCACCUCCGUACAAGGUAUGGGUUGAUCGACGAUGCGGGUAAAGUGCGCAACCUCUGUAGAGUUACAAUCUAUCUGCUAGCCGAGGCUCACGGUUAUGAUCCCACCUGAUCAAAGCUCCCAUUGAUUAGUCAAGAUUAUAUUUUUUUUUAUAUAAAAACCCUAUGUCUCAGGUUUAAGCUUGAGUAACUACUUUGGAAUAAGGCAAGGUGCCAGCUCAGAGAAUCCCUGACGGAUCCUGAUGCUUUUAAAAUAUAGGGGCUGGUAGGGAGGUGGAUUCCCCUCCAGGACCAACAACUUAUAAUAUUCUCCCUGUCCUUCAAAAGCUAUAACUACACACGAGUGCAUAAAAUUGGCUUUGAGGCAAAAUCCUAAAGUAGAAGCCAACCCUUGAAAAACCAACAUGAAAUAAUUGGACAAUUGUGGGAUUUGUUGAGUGCUCAUUUAGAGUACUCACUCUUUCUUUAUUACUUUCUUUCUACAGAAGAAGAAUAGUCGUUGAAGACAACGAAGAACUUAGAGAUCAACCUUAGGAGCCAAGUUGUCUGCGGACUUGGGAAUACUGCAUAGACCUCUGCUGUAUAUCUACUCUGGGGCUCCAACCACCUUUGUUCAAAUAAGUAGUAUGCCUCUUUUGUAACAAUAUGCAAAUUAUCAAUAAAAGAUGUACGAAAUAUGGUUGUGAUACUUCUUGUGAGAAUUGCCCUUAUCAUCUACUGAUCCAGGGAAUGAUACGAAUGACAUUCGGGGUAAAGGAGCAGCCCCCACAAUAGACUUUUACUCUAUGGCAUUUCCGCACGAUAGAGUUGCUGAAGGUAUUUCACCUUUGACUCUUUGGUGUUUUCAUUUUGGUUCCACACCACAAGAGACGUGAUCACUCAUUGUGUCACGAUUUCUUAUUAUGGCAUUUCAUCCAUGCAACGCAAUGCAAUGUUUGCACCUUGUCUCAUGAUUUUUAUUAUUGCAUUUCAGCCAUGCAACGCAAUGGAAUGUUUGCAGCUUGCAUAACGAUUUUUAUUAUGGCAUUUCGGCGUGCAAUGCAAUGCAGGAAUACAUGUAUGACAUGGAUGGAUAAAUGCAUGAGUGAAUGAAUGCUCUUGAGCUGAACCACUCUUUUUCAGUUAAAAUUAGCUCAUGUCGAAGACCAAUGGACCACGAAAGACAAAUCAUAUCGGAGUCCCACUUUUGAUAACCCCCAAAUGGUGAAGACCAAGUUAGAGAAAACCGUUUAUAUGGCGAUACCAUUUCCAAUCAAUAUGUGAUAGCCGAAGAGCCAUACGAUAACCCAUACGAAAACCGUUUGUCAUGGUGUCAACUUUAUAUGUUUUAAUCUCCUGAGUAUCCCGCACAAAUGUUGCAGGGUCAGUAUCUGGGUUCCAAUCAUCCUUUUCCUCUUCUGUUCUCCAGACAUUUAGUAGGUCACCCCAGGGAGCCAUAAUACGGUACGUGUUGUCACACAGUACAUUCUGUGCCAUUUCCAUAAUUGCUUUCAUUGUAACCACAUGGCCACUGAGAUCGAAAGCAUGAACUUCUCCGAUUUUAGUGAUCGCAUAACAAAUACCUACUGCGGAUGGGUUGCGCCGGGAGAGUUAACUUGUAGAUCCUCUUUCUCAGCAAGGCUGUACAGGCAUGCAACAUUCUCACCAGCAGAUUCAGAGGUGUAGAGCAAGCGUCUGUGACAGCUUAUACUUCCCAAGGUGGUGUAGGCGGAGCGCCAUGAGGAGCAGACAGAUCCUGCACGCACCAGGUCAGGGAUCUCAAGGGUGGCAAAUAUGCUUAUCAAGCCAUCAAGGUAUCCUGUGGCAGCUCCGGCAAUGGGCGCAGCACAGUCCCCUUCUGCGGUGGGUGGACAUGGACAUGUUGUCGGAAUUUCUUCAGUAGUAAGUUGGGACCGAUGCUUAACAAUCUGGGCAAAACUCUGAUUAUGAAACAGAAAAAAUCUCAUGUGCGAAUAGCUAGACUGGAUAGGUUCAGAAUCCCUGCUCUACUACAUGACUUCAUUGGAGUAAAAGCCCCUCUUGGAAGAUGAAAGUAGCUUCUCUGCAUGAAAUUUCUUACACUCAAUAGCGAAGUUGCCGCCUUGGAUGGAGCAGGCACACAGGCAUCAUGAUACAAAACCUUGAGUCAUCGGAUCCAUCUGUUGCCCAAAACUCGAGAGGGUUCGGACUUCAGGACUCGAAUCAAACUGGUUUGCUGCAGAAAUUCAAACGGAUUCCGUUUCCAGCCCCGAUUCCACGGAAAAAAAAUUAGGUGAGGACCGUCCACAUACUUCUCCCGUGCGGCCCCCUCCUGAUUUCUGCCGCGUGGGCGUCCAGCGCGAUCGUGCGAGGGAACUCCGCUGGGAACGGAAGCACGCGCUUGGCUCGGUCGCGCGGGAACGCCUGGGCUGCUGGCUCGCUCGGCUCGCUCGUUCGAUCGCUAGCUCCGUCGCUAGCUCACUCGCUCGGCUCAUCGUCAAAACUAGAUGGGAAAUAGAAACUAGCGCUAGACGAGGAACAGAAACCGUCGUCCGCCUGCGUUAAAACCUCCGCUAGAUGAGAACUGCGCCGCCUCUCGUCAAAACCUCCGCGUGAGAAUCCGUUCGUUGUCUGCCACUGCAUCCCUUGCGUGCCGCCGACGAUGCCACCGUUUUCCGGCGCCAUAGCCUAGGUCAGGAGAAGACAUCCUUGUACGAUCUUAGAUCGUGGCAUAGGAGGACAACCGCCAUAGAAAUCUUCGACAAGCAUCACAGCCGUAGCAGCCGUCAUGGGAGAAGGAGGUCAGGAGGAUACCAGUCUGCAUUCCACGAUAGGAGAAGCCUCCCCACAUAUCGCAGCUGCAAUGGCGGUAGGAAGCCAGGAGAAGGACAACGUUCUCGACUCAUCGCUUAUGGUGUCGUUUGUGCCUGCCCUAACACACAACGGAAUGCAGCCAACGCAGGUACAUAUUUUUUCACAUUUUUUGGUCAUCAUGACUUUUCACGUGUGUGCUUGACCGUGUUACAUGACCUCCAGCUCCACUAAUUUGUAUAUGCUAGAUUUCCUUUAAUUAAACUAAGUUAGCAAAUGUGUAUAAACGUUAAAUUCAGAAAGAAAAGGGGAAAACCUUUAACAUCUGCGUCUUCUGAAGCAACAUGGUGAGUGUUCUGCGGUGUCAAUUCAGUUAUAUCUAGAUCAGUCGCUGACACACUUCUCUGGAGAAACUCACCACUUGAUCUAGCAGUAUUUUCUGGCCCAUGAACUAGUUCCAGAUUAUCUAAUAAAUUUGUUGUUUUGGGAUUAGAGGGAGGGAUGCAAAAUAGCAUUCUCAUUCGUACAGUCAAAAAUCAAGAAAGCAUACCGUUUAUAUUUCUUUCUCCUGAAACAGCAUAGUGCUCUUCUAGUAUUGUGAACUGAGAUCUGAAUGGGUUAGUGUUGCCUUCAUUUGCUCGAGGGCGGUGGGGGUGGUCGGCGGCGGACGAAGGAGGAAGAUGGCGGCGGAUGACGGAGGACAACGGGGCCGGCCAGCGGAGGACGACGGAGGAAGACGCGCCGGCGGACGAGGGAGACGGUGGCCGGGGCGGCCGCCGGGCUCGAGGGCGGUGGGGGUGGCCGGCGGCGGACGACGGAGGAAGACGCCGGCGGACGAGGGAGACGGUGGCGGGGGUGGCCGCCGGGCUCGAGGGCGGCGGGGGUGGCCGGCGGUGGACGGAGGAGGAGGACGGUUGCGAGAUCUAGCAACUGGGCGGUACGCUUGCGAGAACCAGACGAACGAGCGAGCCGGGCGAGCUAGCGAUCGAGCAGGCGCGGAACCAGAGGAGCGAGCGAGCCAUGCGAGCGAGCUAGCCCCUGCGGAAAGGAGCCGAGCGAGCGAGGCGCGCGCGGAGGCGUCGAUCCGCCAGCGGACGAAAUCGAGACGGGGCCGCACAGCGAUGAAUUUGCGGACGGUCCUCACCUAUUUUUUUUCCGAUUCCGCGGGCACCGAGGAGACGGCAGCACGGCACUAACCGAUCGCUGGUUGAAAGAUUUGGCUGGCGAUGAGGAUCAAUCGCCGGCUUUUAGCUACAGCGUGGCUGGAGGCAAUCGAAUCGCCUAGUAUACAAAAUGAUUAUGUGGCGGGGGCUGAACGGGUUGGUUAAUAGCUCAGGAGAUUCAGGUUCCAUGGGUUGCUGCUGGGUCCGACUCCAUCAAAAAAACAGGGACGGGACCAAAACAUCUCAAAUCGUUCCCCAAUCCAAACACAUGCUAGACGAACGGCUGCUGGCUCAGCUAUGGUUACUGUGGAGAAAAGAGAAGGGGUUGCUGCAACCUUCAACGGUCGCGCGUCUGGGCAGAUAUCCUGCAAGUGCUGACUGUGAAGGGCAUCAGGGCCGGUCUGGAAUCUGUCGCAGUUGUAGUUGUAGCCAAACUUUUUGCUUUCCUAGGAGCCACUAGCAAAACAGAAUGAAACUGACAUAGUGAACACUCCAGCAUCAACCUUUCAGCUCAUACUCGAAGGCUCGUUGUUCCUUAUUUUGAAAAAAAAAAAACGGAAAUCGGGUCUAUUCUGUCAAGAAUAUGGUAUGUCUAUUCUGUCAAGAAAUCUGAAACCAUUAAUCUUACAGCAAGAAAUCGGGUAAUAUGGUAUCAAUUUCUAUUGUCGUUCACUACGCUUAUGGGGUACAAUGCAGCAAUGAAACAUCAUGGCCAUCAGAGCUGUUUGAGAUGGUCUUCAUGCCCAUCCGUUGCUAAUGAAUAUCUGCCACAUUUGCUUCCUGCCUCCUGAAAACUGACAGACAAGAGCAAAUAUACAAUUUCAGUCCACAGAAAUAGCAACUUUGAAAAAAAAUUCUCAUUAUUAGUCAUACGUGAAAUGACUGUUUACCUGACAUCCAUGCUGACAAUUUUAUGAUAUCAGCUACUUGCAGAUGUAAAGAGUUAGGUCUGAUCACUUUUGUUUCUUUUAGCCUGGCAGGCUUUCAAGGCUUGGACCUCUGUUAUGAAAAGGAAGUGACAUGUAUCUUGUUAGUGAAGAUAAUAUAAUGGUCUAGACUAUAUUAAGACUAUUACUAACAUCCAGAAUCUGCUAAACGUUUCUGUUCAAAAAAGCCAUGUCAACUGUCACAGGGCCACCAAUGCGACCAAAAUAAGAUUAGAUUCUGGUAGUGAUCUGAUAGUCAAGGCAAGCUGUUAAGGUCUGUUCUCCAUGCCCACUCAUUGAGAAUAAAUGCACUGCUCCAGAAUAUACAGUAGUACUGGAGCACCAUUUUGUGGUUUGUUUGAGGGCAGUCAAGCAGGGACAGUAGGAAGUUAGUCUGGCAAGAUUUACUAGACUAAGCCUUGAAUCCUAGAAUUGUCCACUUGAAGCCAGCUGCUGCACCCAUGUAAAUGCAUGAGCCAGGAUUUCGACAUUUAUGGAUUUCCCAUUAAAAAACGAUAUGGAAAAUAAGAGAAAGCCCAAGUACAAGAUAAAUGCACUUUAAUAGCAUAAAUCGAAACAAUGCUUUUAUUUUGCUCCCAAAACCCAAUGAAAAUGCUAAAUGUUAAUGACCAGUAGGAAUCAUGAUAUUCCUGGCACCUGUUAUAUGCAUCAUUUAUUAGCUUAUGUCACUGCCUUGGAUUAGAGUAGAUCUGGAAUGCGGUCUAAAGGACUAGAGGCAGAUAACAUGCAACCAUCCUUGGCAAUUAGGUCUUGAACUCUGUUCAGACAGAAUAUUAGGACCCAUUUAUUGUAUAAAUGUGGUCCAGACAACUUAUAUGGAUGCUUGAUGACCGUUACUCUCACCCUAUAGCAUAUAUCCUGAUGCAUGUCAGGGCAAAUCAUCACAAGGAAAAUGUAGUAAAAACUGAAGCAUAUGCAUAUCCUAAUUCUAAUACAAUGUAGUUCUUUUGCUCCAAACUUGUUUGUUCUCACUUUCACCUGGUAGGCCUUAUCCUGAACAUACUUUUUUUACUUUUCAUGCUCCCAAAAUGAACUCAAAGCACCCCUCAAACUUCAUGCUCGACCAGUUCAUCAGGGUUCAUUCCUCUAGCCAAGACAAAUUAGCCAACUCAAUCCUAAACUAUAUAACUAUAAUUACUGCGCUCUCAACUCAGUUCAUGAGGGACUUGCAAAUCAUGCACAUGUCAAUUAGCUGAAAGCAACCUUCUUAAAGACAUUUGGAUUUCCUUCACAGUACACAAUUCCUCGAAACUAACAAAUCUUGCUUCAGAAAAGAUAAAUCUGUGCUAAUAAAUUAGAGGGCUUACGUGCUUGGCAGGCCUUCCAGUUGCGGUUUGACUCCACAAGGCAGUCCUGCAAACAAAUAAUGGGAUCAAAAUCUGAGAGGCCUAAGAUUAGUAUAAGGAAACAAGCUACUUGUGAAUGGAGAAGGCCCAGGGGUGGGGAGAGGCCAGUGCCUGCAGAGAGAGAUAGAUCGUGGCGCACUCAUUAAGCUGCUUAACACUCUCGUCCUCCUCAUCCGCAUCUGUCACAUGUAAGGGCCGUUGGGACACUGACAGUGGCACAUUCCUAGUGUUGCUUGAGGAAGAUUCCAUUGCAAGCUUUGGUUUGGUUCAGUGGUGCCACCUCGAUGAGUCAGUUUUGGCCUUUCAAUUGCAGUCAAAUGGGUUGGACCUGUAAAAAUGCGCUAAAAUCUGUAAAGUUUAUUUAUGGCACCAUUUUAUCAAACAUUUAAAAAAGACUGAAAAGGAACUGCAAGAUGUUAGAGCAUUUUCUACAAACUACAGCUUUGCAAUAUUAAGAUACAACUUGAAUCAGACUUCUAAGGGGGGAAACAACUAUUUACACUGCUCUGCACUAUAUCAGCCAUUAGGGCGUGUUCAGGAGGGCUCCACUCUAGAAAUUUCACUGAUACUAUUAGGAUGCACUCCUCAGCGAGAAAUUGUAGAGAAGCUACAGUCCAUCACUCGUUCCAGCAGCGAGAAAUUGUAGAGAAGCUACAGUCCAUCACUCGUUCCAGACUUCCAACAGAGAGGAAAAAUAUUAUAGCUGGCUCAACUAGCGGGAUCCAUAUACUCUCAAUUCUAGAUCGAUUCCUAAGCACUACAAUGGAGAAGAAAAUCUAGAACCAUGAAAAUAAGGGGGGAAGAAGAGGAAGCAGGAGACAUACUGUGGAGGGGAGGGUCGAGGAGGCCACCGCCGCCUGGGAGUCGCGUAGGCCGCCGCCGCCGGAAAGGUCGCGGGCGUGGGGGGUGGGGCGCCGCUGGGGAGUCGCGUGGGCGGGGACGCCGCCAGGGAGUCACGCGGACGUGUUCCGCGUAGUUUUGGCCGGAGGGGCAAAAGGAUACUAGAUGCAUAAUAAUCUUUUGAUACUAAAUAUUUGACUCUUUUAAUGAUAAAUAUCUAAACAUUGAUUCUUUUGGUGGUAUGGAUCUAAUUUUUCCUAUAUUAACAGAUGUUGGUGCUGACACAAAAAUUAUAAUUUUUUUUCUCAGAACAGCGCAGACAAAAUUACAAACCGGCUACAAUAGUGUAAUUGCAAAAUUGGGAUCUUCGAGUAUUUCCCUAGGUAAAUCGACGGCAUGUAUACAGGAAAAUGACAAUCUCUUUUUUUUCUAGAAUACACAGGAGAACUGCACAUCAUUCCAUUAAGAAGAGAUAAAGUAUUAAUACAACGCGGGCCUAGUCCGGCCACACGCACACGGUAGAUAGACUGAGGGCCGAUUACACGGAGCUGGGGCUACAAAAAUGAGACCUUAAGAACUAACGUCACUGACUCACAAAACGCCAGCCUACGCUAAAAAGGAGAGCGUAAUUGGCAUGGGAGCAAAAAUUGUUGCUUCUGUCAUAAUCUUUUCUUUUCUUUGAAUGUUGUUUUGCUGGUGUUGUGUGGUUUGUUAUAUAUGCAGCGUCAGUUUUAUCUCAGCCUCAGUAGUGUUUCUAACAUGUUUGGAAGUUGGCUACGGGGUAUUGGAAAAGAUCAAAAGGUGCUAGUUCUGCUAGGAGCGGCUGCUACAUGUCGGUCGUUAUGGCUAUGAAAAAUGAUAUAAUCUUUGGGGAAAAAUAUAACUCUUCUCCCUGUUAUUUUCUGGAUUAUACACUGGCUUCGCAUGGUUAUAUUAUAGAAGCCGGCUUCACAUGAUUUGGUUGUUGCGGCAUCAUCGUAAUUGGAGCAGGUGGUCAAAAGAGUUUUUUUACCCGGACACAUGGGUGGCGGUUUAGUUUGAGGAUUGACCGUUAAUAGAGUGUUUGGGUUAUAUUCUGUAUUUUCUUUUUUUAGGCUGUGUGCAUCCUGCUAUACAGAGAUCAGAAGUGUUUUAAGGCAUUGUAUCCACUCGAUGCAAUGUUCUUAAAAUUAAUAAACGAUAAUGCUAUAGAGUAGAUAUCCGGAAUCAUUAAAAAAUCGGACGGCUCGACAUAUCGAUGUUGCAAUUAUUGUUUUCCGCAUGUUUCACAGUGAAUGUUGUAUGAAACAUAGUACUCAUGUUGCGGUGAGAAUUUUCUAUCCCAUGUCAAAUGACAUAGUCAUUUUUUCGCAUAUUUUUCAAUAUUACGACUAUAAAUUUUUAAUGUUGCCGAUGUUUUUUUACGUUGCAACGGAACGUCCCAUUAGAAAUUCCCAUCGGACGUCACGGCAUUAGCAGUGCCGAUUAAUAAAACUUCGUGCGGUGGACCGAGGCGGUGAAACUGGUUCCGAGCCCCCUUCUCCGCGCUUGCCUCGGACCUCAGCAGCUGCGCUUGAUGGCCGCCGAGGGUGUGAGUGAAUUAAGCUGAAUUUCAGCCACCCAGUUUCCAAUCUGUGAUGUACAUAAAUACAAUCUGCUCUGAUACAGCUUUUAUUGGAACAAGGGGGCGAGGGCAGUUUUCACUGAACGCCACAUUAGAACAGAAGCAACUCCUGGAACUUCGUUCACGUUAGAAUACAAGCUAUGGGCAACAUGAUAUUCUUUCAUGAUAAUAUGGAUAAAAAAAUCUCACAUCUGACAACUAUACAAAUGUUUUGAAGCCGCGCUUGUUGCUUCAUCUGACUUGAUUUGGUACUUUCUUUUUUCUUCAGAACAAGCACAGCUUUUAUCCAGGAGAACAUCUGUUGGGAUAUCGAAACCCAUCUAGACUGCCUAGCUUAGUCAACAAAAAUUUUCAGACUUCAGGUACAUCUAUUCAUCACUUAAAUGUGAAAGCCUUUGUCUUUUCAUACCCCCUUGGCCCCUGCAUAUACACAAGAUAUAAAAGGCUAUAUGCACUACCUUGGAACAUAUCUGUAAACUUGUUUGAAGUUAAUCAACAAAAUCUCAGGCAACCCCAGGGUUGCCGUUGUUUCCCUAAAAAAAACUACCUUGGAACAAACUAACCAAACAGUUCCCUCCAAAAGACUAGAAAAUUCUGAGGACCAAUGCUUCUCCCUUAGCAAAAGCUCUUCAAUCCGCCCUCUGCAGCCAGCCAUCCAAGCUGCACAGAAAGAAUAUGAUUAAACAUAUGUUAAGAUCUGAAUCCUGAAGGAGCAGACAACAAUAACAUGAUAAAGUACCUUCCACGCAUACAUCAGAAGAAAAGCAUGCCAUAAAUCUUUACUCCGACCUUUGCAGCCAUCCAAGCUGUGCAGAAAGCAUAUGAUUAAAGAUAUUUUAAAUACUGAAUCUGAAGGAGCAGAAAACAUUAGCAUGAGAAGUUACCUUCCAGGCAUACAUCACAAAGAAAGCAACUGUAUCUGCUGACCAGACAACUGCGAAGGAUUUCACAAAGAAUGGAAUUGUAACAUUGAUCAGGGGGAUCAGGAGAAAUAAGUAGUUGAGAGCCUCUUUCUCCUUGUUUGAGCAGUCACGGGCCCGAAGUGAAGGUAUAGCUGCAGAAGUAGAUAGCGCUCAGUUAAUAUACCGAGGAAAAGGCUCCUAUGCAAUAUGCAAUAAGUAACAAAUAUGAGUCAAAGCAUUUUGUAGAACAUGCCCACAAAGUUCUAAAUUCUUUUAACUCCAACAUCAACUGGAGGAAUUUUUGAUUGAAUGAUAGUGCUCAAAUAUUGUUUCCACCUUUCCUCAGUAGCUUCAAAUUGUAAGUGAACUGUCUAGUGCAUUUAACUCAAAUAAUGUAUCAGACUAUCAGAGCCUAGUCGCCUUAACUCUGAGACCUCGCUAAUGCAACUGUGGCCAAAUCUAGUCCAUUCCGUAGGCCUAAGGGCUUUCAAGCUUGAACCUGUUAGUGCAUCUAAUUCUAUGGAUAGCACAAAAGACUCUCCAGAACAGACCACAGCCAUGGAUCUUUCAAAUGGGUGGUAUUCCAUAUAUUACUAAAUCAAAUAGAAAUAAUUAUAUCUCAGAUUCUGAACAAUGGGUUGGCUUUCAGUUUCAUUGUCUACAAAUCAUAUCCAACCGUUCAAGUAAGGUAAUGGUUUGGCAAGAGAGAAAGAUCACAACAGGAAGAGAAGAUACUUCAAUCUGAGUUUCAGUGACCUUAUUUGUUUGUGUAGAAUGAAAUCAAACAUAUAUAAACCAUGGUAGUAAGCAAAAAUAAUGAUUUGGUGCUUUUUGAAGCAUUUAAUAUUACUUUCUUAGAAGAAAUGUUUUUUUGCUAUAGUAUGCAACACUAGGUACGCCCAAUUACCGAAUGCAAACACAGGCUGCAAUGGAUGUACUGCAAGACUGCAUCAUAAUGUUUCUAGCUAGUUAAACACUAUUUUCCCAUGUUUCGGAACAGGAAAUGUAAGGUCGGGACUAGUCAUUGUCAGUAAAAUGCUAAUCCUUACAGCUGAUAAAAACAGGGUUAUUAUUGAAUUCAAUACAAAUGGUAGUUAAAAUUAAUCCAGAGAAGCGUGGUAGAUAGGUCAUAUGUAUCGGCAAUUCAUUUAGCAGAAUUUAGCACUGCAGUGCAAUAAAGACAACAUAGGUUGAUGCGACACAAUAAAUCCAUCACUUUCUUAGGUUCUAGUAGACCGUAUCAAUGAAGUGAAAAACCAUGCUCUUACUAGGAACAUAACUUGCAAAAUCCUUACUUACUGAACAUCCAAAUGGACCACAUUCCCAUUAACCUCCAGAUGUCAGGCUCAUUUGAUGGGAAUACAAGAUUGAAGGAAAGGGCUCCGCCCAACAGCAUGGAGACAUAUCCCUGGACUUCAAAGACACUGUACAGAGUAGUUCCAGGAACAGCAGGGUUCUUUGUUUUUGUAGACGCCCUCGGUGCAAAGGUUGCCGCAGUCUUCUGAACUGCCUGUUGUUCAGCAACGUAUCACAAUUACAACCAGAAAUUAAUCAGCAAUUACACUGUGUUACACAAGCUGGAGGGUCACAAUUCACACACAUGUAAAAUUAGUUGAUUCAAUACUGAAUUAUGUUAACUGCAUCAGCAAAAGAUUGACCAAUUCUUUUAUGCAAAUCUUCUUAACUAUACUGUGCCGUAGAAAAUAAAAUAAAAUCUAGAUUGAUGGUAAAGCAUCUACAGCAACUACUCCUUCCUAGUACAAAAAUUGCAAGGCAGCUCUUGUGGCAUAACCGCAUAAGUGUCAAACAAACCUUCUUGAGCUCCUUUUCGAUCUUGGGAUCGACAGGAGGCGGCUGCUUCCCUGCCGAUGAGUCAGCCGAAGCAACCCCCUCCCCGCCGCCGCCUUCCUCCCGUUCCAAGCUGUCUCCCACGGUAGACGCCUGAGCCGCCGCAGCACCGGAUCCCGAACCAUCGGUGCUUGCGCGCGCUAAAGUGAGCUUCCUCCGCCUCCAGCCCGCCCUUCUCCAGGAGAGCGUGGCCGACGGUGGCCGCAGUGCGGCUGCCACUGGCAGAAACGCGCAGCCGCCGCGGCCGCUGACCGGGUUGCUUACCAACAGUUGCAUUGCUCCGGAGGAUUAUGUGGAAGAGGAGGGAGAGGGGAAGGGAUGGUGAACCGUUGGUUCUCCCGCCUUCACCCAGCGGAUGGCAGUGGAGCCCGCUUCCGAUAUUUCUAUCCCGGCCCAUCAUUUGUUUUUGUUUUUUUGCAAGACGGGAGAAGAAUAACCGCAAAAUCUAGCUGCCGUCUUAUCCGAGCUCCAGCGCCUCCUCCCACCACAGAUCUAGCGCAGCGAGCAGGACGGGCAGCGCAGCGCGGCAGGCUCGCGACCAGGAAGGGCGCGCGGCAGGUGCGGAUGGCGGCGAGCAGGAAGGGGCGCGGGAGGCGACGAGCAAGAAGGGGGCGUGGCAGGCGCGGUAGGCGGCGAGCAGGAAGGGGGGCCUUCCACUCGUGAACAGGUCAAUGAUAAAACGUGGCCCAACUCCCCAACAUCCAAUCUAGAAACCACCACCGACCCACCAAAACACAGUCCAGCGGAGCCCCGUGCCGCCCUCGGCCCAAGCCCACGGACCGGGCCCACGCUCACGCUCACUGAGUCUCCGACGCCGCCGCCGACGUGGAGGUGGCGCACCUCCCGUCUCUCCGUCCGUCCCUUGCCGUAUUCGGCGGUUCGAUUGCCUGCAGCCGUGCAAUCACAGCACUGGCUGGAUGCGAGGCGCGCGGUGGUCCGGCGGUUGCUCCUCCUCACCUCCAGCUCCAGCUUGCUGACUGUUAGUGCCCCGUCUCUUCUUCGGUCUUUGCGGAAUCGGGGUCGGAAGCCAACAGAAGUUCAAGUCGGAAUAACCUUUUUGCCUCGGAGUGAAACGGAUUCCGGUUAAGCUGUUCUUGGCUUCCGGUAGCCGUGCGGUUCCGGCCUGGAUUCGGAUGCCCUCUUCGUCUGCUCCGACAAGGAGACUUCGGAGGGCGGAAGCUUCCCUGUGCCUGUUCCAUCAAAGCCUGCAACUUUGCAAGUGUUCCUGCGGAGAAGCAUUCAACCUUCCAAUGGAGACAUGUAGCAAAGCUAGGAUUGUGAGCCUUUGGAGUCUAGCUAUACACCCAAGAAAUAUGUUCUCUCUGAUCUUCAGAGUUUUGCCUAAGUUGCUUCGUCAUUCUACCGGUAUAUUGCUGAAGAAAUUCCGAGAAGAUGGGCACGUGCUGAUGAUAGAUCAGAGAUGCACCUCGUCAAUCUGAUCACCAGUGAACAGAUCACUCUCCCUUCAGUGGUCACUAUCGAGCAUGUGAAGCCCAUCUUCGAUAAGUAUGGAGUUGUUGAAAAGUAUGAAUACUCACGCCACACUGCAAGGAAACUUUCGCAUCCAGAUCGCACCUUCGAUAAGUUUUGAAGUGGUCCGAAAGUAUGAACCCACUGAAAGGGAGGUUUAUUACGAACCGUCAAUCUAUGCUCUUGCCAAGCUGCGGGAAUUUCUCCGGUGUAAGGCUUUUGUGUACCCUGAGACUUCCAAAGGAAGCUAUAUUGUUGCGCUCAUCCAUAAUCCGAUGAAGCAGCUCUCAUUUGCAAGGCCCGGAGAUGGGAAGUGGACUUGGCUUCCACCAUACAUUUACUAUCAGGAUUGCAGUUACAAGAAUGGCUUAUUGUAUGCAAUCAAUAUAGUGGGAGAAAUCCAUGCCUUUGAUCUCAGUAGCUCUGUGGUCAUGAGGAAGAUGAUUAUGGGAAUGACGGAGAAGGUAAUGUGGGACUGCUUAUACAUCGUUCACGCUCCGUGGGGUGAUCUGUUGAAUGUUUCGAGAGUGAUAGACCAUGAGGAUGAAACUGUUGACCCCGCAGUUCAUUUGCUGACUACUACUGAGAUUAAAAUAAAUAAGGUUAAUAUUACGGCAAAAAAAAACUUGAGGAAGUUAAAUGCCUGCAUGAUCGUGGGUUGUUUCUUGGGCAUAACCAAUCUCUUUGCCUCAGCGCCAAAGAUCAUCCUCAUCUGAAGGCAAACCAUGCCUACUUUACGGGCAAUUAUGACUUGUAUAUUAAUGGAUUCAAGAAUGGUCGUCGUGACAUAGGAGUAUUCAACUUGGAGAGCAGCAACUGGCACUACCGGAAACAGUUAUUUUGCCGAGUGCCCCAGGCACUCGGCGAAGGCCCCAUGCCGAGUGUAACACUCGGCGAAGUCUACUCGGCAAAGUUUUCCUCGGCAAACAGGCUGUUUGCCGAGUGUCAAUCGUCAGGCACUCGGCAAACCUUUUGCCGAGUGCCAAAAUACACUCGGCAAAAUUAAACACUCGGCACAAAGAUGUUAACGGUCUGUCACGGCAACGGAAGCUUUGCCGAGUGUCUGACGGCCGACACUCGGUGAAGAUGUUAGGUUUGCCGAGUGUAUUCUUAAAGGCACUCGGCGAAGUCUACUCGUUUGCCGAGUGUAUUUUGGCCAAACACUCGGUGAAAAUCCAUGGAUCGCCCUCGGCGAAGAAGCCCCACCCGCCAUUUUUAUUUUAUCAUUUGCCGAGUGCAUUUUUUGCCAGACACUCGGCAAAAUGGAUAAUUUCACCGAGUGCCACGGGGUAGGCACUCGGCGAAGAAGCCCGGCCCGCUAUUUUUUUAUGACCCCUUUGCCGAGAGCUUUUUUUCAAAACACUCGGCAAAAUGACCCUGUUUGCCGAGUGCCCCUGUGGCACUCGGCAAACAAGCCCUCCCGCCAAAAUGUAUGACCCCUUUGCCGAGUGUUUGGCGAAUACACUCGGCAAACCCGUCUACUAGUACCAGAAAUGGCCUCUUUGCCGAGUGCCUACUACAAAAUAGAAAUGUUAGGUAUAAAGGACCCCUCUCAAAAAACAACCACAGAAGCACAGGCAUAUUAAUUGCACCACAAGCAUAUAAAUUGCACCACAGGAUUCACAAGCACACAAAUAGCAUUCAUAAGUUCUCGUCUAAAGAAGUAAUUCACAAGUUUUGCAUCACAAACACAGAAAUGACAAGUCACUGAGGAGGAUGAGGAGGACGUGCAGGUGGCCACUGCCCCCAGGAAGAUUCUGCAUUGGACGUCGCCAAUUGAUUCUGCAGAAAUUUAGUUAAAGAGAUUUCAUAGUCUAAACAAGUAAUUCUAGUGGAAGUUUGUAGUGCCUGUAGUUUCUAGUUUAAGUCUAGAUUGAUUGUAAGGUUGAGAUUGACUCACAGGAGUAGCUGCAGGAGGUGGUGGAGGUGGCGGGAAGAGGUUCGGUGGCAUAGGUGGUGGAGUUUGACCUAAACUGUGGAAAAUACUCUGCAUGUAUUGGAACAUCUGCUCCGUCCUCUGCCUUUCAAGCUGCCGAUCCGCCUCGAUCCUCGCCUCUAGUUCCUCCCGGCGCUUCCGUUCUACCUCCACAUGGGCCUACAAUAUUUCAUCCCAACCACUUAUUGUCAAGCAAAAGGUAAGUACAAAAUGAAUGAAAAAUUAAAGAAACAGAAAUAACCUGCAGAGCCUGCAUCUGUAGCUGUGCAGCGGUAGGCCGUGGCCGUAUCGCGGGGCUCGAGUCCGUGCUCCUUGCUCGGAUCUGGGAGAGAGUGGGAGUACUGGCAGUAUCGAUCACGCUAUCUCCAAUCCAAUACCUGCCAUGCUUCUUCCCUCCUCCUACCCUCAUCACUAUUUCAGCAUCGAUAUCCUGAGAGCUCGGAUCGAACUCUGGCCCGUGAACCUCCCUCGCCAUGGCUGUGUACUCGGUGACGCGGCUGUGGAUGCUGGGAUGGCUGUACGCCUCGGUCGGGUCCCCCGGGUUGAAGUCGAUGUCUGUCCGGUAGUGUGGGACAAACUUGUCUCUCCUGAGCCUUGGUCCAACUGGCCUCCUCUCAUGUGCAUUACACUCAGUCUUGUAAAGAUGAAGAUGAAAUGAGCUAUGAACAGAUUGCUCUAAGUUUUUUAAUAUGUAGCCCCCAACAACUAUAUGUAGUUUUUGACUGGGAUGUAAGGCAUCAUGUCUAUUAUGUCAUGUAUGGCCGUACGUAUGCCAGGCGUAGACGCGCCCGCGACGUACGCCGGGCAGCUGAGCACGCUGGGCAGGCUCUGCCAGGAUCCAACUCUAGCGACUAAAGAUAGAAAGUUAGACUAGGAAACUUUCAAUUAAGGAGAAUCUUCUCCAUUUAGUUGGGCCAUUGGCCAUAUAUAUACUCAUGUAAUCGCUGGGCAAUGGGCAAGCAAGAAUUAUAUCUCUAAUCUUCCUUUCUCUGUUAAAGCCUACGGCCGAGGGGAAUAACCUCGCCGGAGAAGAUGGCCCACGGCUACGAGCUACGUAGCCGCGGUCCGGCCAGUCGGGGCCUCGACGCCCUUGACAACCUGGUAUCACGGUCACGACGGUCCUCUCCCACCCGCUCCACCCCGUCUUCCACAGCCGCCGGCCUCUACACUAACCCCCCACCAUCUCCGCACUCCUCCAUUGCCUCCGCGCCGCCGCCGUCAGCCAUGGGCGAUCCCACCCUCGCUGAUGUGAUGGAGUUGUUGAAGUCCCUCACCACGGAGGUGACAACCCUGAAGGCUGACAUGGCGGCUAUCAAGGAGAAGCCCUCCUCGUCAUCGACCAGUGCCGCCGGGGGCCGUCCGGACGGGCCGCGCGAUCCUGAGCGCCCCCCCCCCCAAGUUCCACAAAUUAGAUUUUCCCCGCUACGACGGCAAGACCGAUCCGCUGCUCUUCAUAAACAGGUGUGAAUCCUACUUUCGUCAACAGCGCACCAUGGCGGAAGAGCGCGUAUGGCUGGCCUCGUAUCAUCUGGAGGACGUCGCGCAACUCUGGUACACCCAACUCCAGGAGGACGAGGGCCCACCGCCGUGGGGGCGAUACAAGGAGCUCCUGCACCUGCGCUUGGGGCCUCCCCUCCGCUCGGCUCCGCUGUUCGAGCUCGCUGAGUGCCGGCGUACAGGGACGGUGGAAGACUACUCCAAUCAUUUUUAGGCCCUCCUGCCUCGCGCCGGCCGACUGGAUGAGGCUCAGCGCGUCCAGCUCUUCACGGGGGGUCUCCUGCCGCCGCUCAGCCACGCCGUCCGCCUCCACAACCCGGUGACGCUCGCGGCCGCCAUGAGUCUGGCACGCCAAGUCGAGCUAAUGGAGAGUGACCGCUCGGCGCCGCCUCUCCCUCGGGCGCCUCCGCGCAGCCUCCUUCCUGCUCCCGCGCCCAGGCCGGCGCUUCCAGCGCCCCAGCAGCCGCUGGCGCUCCCUGCCCCUCCGAUGGCCGCCCAGCAGGGCCGCGGCGACGGAAACCAGAGGCGCCUCACCCCCGACGAAAUGGCGGAACGGCGCCGUCUGGGCCUCUGUUUUAACUGCAAUGAAAAAUACACACGGGGCCACAACCGGUUUUGCCGGCGCCUCUUCUUCAUUAAAGGCGUGGAGCUCGAGGACACCGGGGACGCCGCUGAUGAUGAGGAGCAUGACGCCGAGGCGCCGUGUUUUUCCCUGCAGGCUGUGGCUGGGGUGCCCAUGGCGAGCACUAUGCAGAUCGCCGUGGUCCUCGGCACCGCGUCCUUCGUCGCCCUUCUCGACUCUAGCAGCACGCACAACUUCAUCUCGGAGGAGGCGACGCGGCGCUCGGGUCUGUCCCCCCACCCACGUCCCCGCCUCACAGCCUUGGUCACCAAUGGCGAGCGGGUGACCUGCGCCGGCGUCAUCCGCAACGCGCCCCUACUCAUCGACGGCGAAUCAUUCCUGGCCGACCUCUACGUUAUGCCACUGGCUGGGUACGACGUCGUCCUUGGCACCAAGUGGCUCGGCGAGUUAGGACCCAUUGUCUGGGACCUCGGCCACCGGCGCAUGUACUUCCUGCUCCAGGGGCGCCUUGUCUCCUGGACCGGUGUGGCCAGCUCGUCUGUGCCGACCCUGAACGCUACAACAGAGGCAUGUUCUCUCUUGGAGGCGCUGUUGCUCUCCUUUGAGGGGCUCUUCGCGGAUCCCGUCGGUCUUCCUCCCAAGCGCACGCACGACCACCGCAUCCUUCUCAAGGCCGACGCCCAGUCGGUCGCCGUCCGCCCUUAUCGGUACCCUGCGGCGCACAAGGACGAGUUGGAGCGGCAGUGUGCCGCCAUGCUGGAUCAAGCAAUCGUCCGCCGCAGCGACUCACCAUUCUCGUCCCCCGUCCUCCUCGUCAAGAAGCCCGAUGGUUCAUGGCGCUUUUGCGUCGACUACCGCGCGUUAAACGCGCUCACCGUCAAGGACGCUUUUCCGAUCCCGGUGGUUGACGAGCUCCUCGACGAACUCCAUGGCGCCAAGUUCUUCUCCAAGCUGGACCUCCGAUCCGGGUACCACCAGGUGCGCAUGCGCCCAGAGGACGUACACAAGACGGCGUUCCGCACCCAUGAUGGCCUGUACGAGUUCCUUGUGAUGGCGUUUGGGCUGUGCAACGCCCCGGUGACGUUCCAGGCCCUGAUGAACGAUGUGCUCCGCCCAUUCCUUCGCCGCUUCGUCCUGGUAUUUUUUGACGAUAUUCUGAUUUAUAGCAGGACGUGGGCUGAUCAUCUUCGCUACCUCUGGGCCGUCCUCGACGAACUACGCCGCCACCACCUGUUCGUGAAGCGCACCAAGUGCUCCUUUGGGGCCUCAUCCGUCGCUUACCUCGGCCAUGUCAUAUCCGCGCCCGGUGUGGCCAUGGACCCGGCCAAGGUGCAGGCAAUACACGAUUGCCCCCCCCCCACGUUCGCCCCGGGCGGUGCGUGGUUUCCUCGGCCUCGCCGGCUACUACCGCAAGUUCGUCCACAACUACGGGGCGAUCGCUGCUCCUCUGAUGGCCCUACUUAAGAAGGAGGGUUUCUCCUGGGACGACGCGGCGGCUGCGGCAUUCACAGCGCUCAAGGCCGCCGUCACGUCCGCCCCAGUCCUUGACAUGCUCGACUUCGCCAAGAUGUUCACCGUUGAGUGCGACGCGUCGACGGUGGGCUUCGGCGCAGUCCUGGUCCAGGAGGGUCAUCCGGUCGCCUUCUUCAGCUGGCCCGUGGCUCCUCGCCACCGCUCGUUGGCCGCAUAUGAGCGCGAGCUCAUCGGACUUGUCCAGGCGGUCAGGCACUGGCGUUCGUAUCUCUGGGGGCGGCGUUUCAUCAUCAAGACCGACCACUACAGCCUGAAGUACCUCCUUGACCAGCGCCUCGCCACGAUCCCUCAGCACCACUGGGUAGGCAAGCUGUUGGGCUUCGAUUUCUCGGUGGAAUAUCGUUCGGGCGCCACGAACAUCGUCGCCGACGCCCUCUCCCAUCGCGACAAUGACGACGGCGCACUGAUGGCUAUUUCGGCACCCCGUUUUGACUUCAUCGAGUGCCUCCGUCACGCCCAGGCCAGUGAUCCGGCCUUGGUCACCAUCCACAACAAGGUCCGGGCUGGCACCCGCACCACGCCGUGGGCGCUGCUGGACGGCAUGGUCGCCUUCGAUGGCCGCUUGUACAUCCCCUCGGCUUCCCCGUUGUUGCAGGAGAUCAUGGCAGCGGUCCAUAACGAUGGCCAUGAGGGCGUCCACCGUACCCUCCACAGGCUCCGGAGGGAUUUUCAUUUUCCAUCCAUGCGUCGAUUGGUGCAGGAUUUUGUGAAGGCCUGCGUCAUAUGUCAGCAGUACAAAUCCGACCACCUUUGGCCGGCCGGUCUGCUGCAGCCUCUGCCGGUCCCAUUUGCUGUGUGGGCUGACAUUGGCAUCGACUUCAUCGAGGCGCUGCCCAAGGUACAAGGCAAUACGGUCAUCCUCUCCGUCGUGGAUCGCUUCAGCAAGUAUUGCCAUUUCAUCCCCCUAGCGCACCCCUACACUGCCGAGUCUAUCGCCUACGUAUUCUUCGCCGACAUCGUGCGGCUCCAUGGCGUUCCGCAGUCCAUCGUCUCAGACCGCGAUCCCAUGUUCACCUCGGCGUUUUGGCGGGAGCUCAUGCGGCUCACAGGGACGAAGCUCUACAUGUCGUCCGCCUUUCACCCACAGACGGACGGCCAGACCGAGGCUGCCAACCGGGUCAUCGUAAUGUACUUGCACUGCUUCACCGGCGACCGUCCCCGGCAGUGGCUCCGUUGGCUGCCAUGGGCUGAGUACACGUACAACACCGCCUAUCAGUCCUCGCUCCGCGACACUCCGUUUCGUGUGGUCUAUGGCCGGGACCCCCCGACCAUCCGCUCCUAUGAGACCGGCGAAACCCGCGUCGCCGCAGUCGCCCAAGAGAUGGAGGAGCGCGCUACCUUUCCUCGACGACGUCCGCUAUCGCCUUGAACAGGCUCAGGUGGCCCAGAAGCGCGUAUACGACCAGCACCACCGGCCGGUCUCAUUCCAGGUCGGCGAUUGGGCUCUCCUUCGUCUACGGCAGCGAGCAGCAGCGUCCCUCCCACGCUCGGCCAAAGGGAAGCUCAAGCCGCGCUAUGUCGGGCCGUACCAGGUGACGGAGCUCAUCAAUGAAGUGGCUGUGCGGCUCCUGCUUCCUCCCGGUGCUCGUCUUCAUGAUGUAUUUCACGUCGGCGUCCUCAAGAAAUUCGUAGGCUCCCCACUGGCGGUUCCUCCGCUCAUGCCUCCGCUCCUACACGGUGCUGUGGUGCCUACCCCAGCUCGGGUGACUAGUGCUCGACUGGCCCGUGGCGUCCGCCAGGUGCUCGUGGAAUGGCAGGGAGAACCUACUGCUUCGGCUACAUGGGAGGAUCUGGACGACUUCCGGGCUCGGUUCCCUUCCUUUCAGCUCGAGGACGAGCUGGACUUCGAGGCGGGGGAGAUGUCAUGUACGGCCGUACGUACGCCAGGCGUAGACGCGCCCGCGACGUACGCCGGGCAGCUGAGCACGCCGGGCAGGCUCUGCUAGGAUCCAACUCUAGCGACUAAAGAUAGAAAGUUAGACUAGGAAACUUUCAAUUAAGGAGAACCUUCUCCAUUUAGUUGGGCCAUUGGCCAUAUAUAUACUCAUGUAAUCGCUGGACAAUGGGCAAGCAAGAAUUAUAUCUCUAAUCUUCCUUUCUCUGUUAAAGCCUACGGCCGAGGGGAAUAACCUCGUCGGAGAAGAUGGCCCACGGCUACGAGCUACGUAGCCGCGGUCCGGCCAGUCGGGGCCUCGACGCCCUUGACAUAAUACAUGACACACAGUAAACUGCAUCCAAAAUUUUGCAGCUUCUCCUACAGUCGUUCUCUACCUUCCGAAAAUCAAUCUGUCUUCAUUACUUUCAUCUUCUCCUUGUACAGUUCAGCUUCCACCAACCUAUAUGCAGUCAUCAUCAAGUUAGAUAAAAAGGUUAAUUGAAAAGACAACCAUAUCAAUUUGGCCUACAAUGGUUGUUUUUUUAUAAAAAAUAAUAUGACGGUUGUCAAUUUGGGCCUACGACGGUUGGCAAAUGAACUCACCUGUCUGAAGCGCGUGGCAGAAGUGAGCGUGCAGCAAGAGCUCACGUGGCGUUCCAACUCGAACCUUGCAAGUCUCGCACGGAAAUCCAGGUGUCUUGUGCACAUCCACGAAAUGCAGAAGUAUAUUUUGAGGAAAUGCAAGCCGAUCAAUGCUAUGAAUCUAUCUGCAGAACUAGCUAGUUUCAGAACACAAUAAACACCUCUAAAUACUCACAACAGAGAGGGGGAACUAGACUGUUUUCGACAGUAGUCGUGCGGCUCAAAAAUACACCUGUGCCACAGGAUUCUCUUGCCACAAGUUAAGCUUUCCUGACAGUAGCUGGCAAACAAACAAAACUCCUGACCCCAAACAGGCUCGUCACCGGCCACUUAGAAAUAAAUGAAAAAUACCUGACAAAUUAGUCAUCAUAGAGCUUGGCAAUGCACUAGAAAGCACAAAAACUACAAUUUGAACACAUUUUUUUGAGUGAUGUCAGAUUAGCAACCAUGAUACGAUUUUAAGGAUAGAAAUGCAAACUUGAAUUUGAACAAUAUUUGCUAGUUUCUUGGAUCAUCAACCAAGACAUAAUUUCAGGGUAAGAAAUGCAAACUGCAAUACUGCAAAAUUUCAAAGAAAGAAAUUUAAACUACAAUCUAUACCCAUUUUCUUAUAGGCUAUUUGAUCAGCAACCAAAGCAUGAUUUCAGUGGAACAAUUGCAAACUGCAACCCAAACCCAUUUACUCGCAGGUUAUUGGAUCAACAUCCAAGACAUAAUUGCAGGGAAAGAAAUGCAAAGUAGAAUCUGAACACAUUUUCUUGCAGGUUACUGGAUCAAGAACCUGGGCAUGAUUUCAGAGAAAGAGAUGCAUACUUGAAUCGAAACACAAUUCCUUGCAGGUUAUUGAAUCAACAGCCAAAACAUAAUUUCAGAGGAAAAAAAUGCAAAAUGCUGUCUAAAUACAUUUUCUCACUGGCUACCAGAGCAGCGACCAAGACAAAUUUCAGAGCAAGAAAUGCAAUCUGCAAUCUAAGCGCAUUUACUUCAGGCUGUUAAAGCUGAACAGCAACCGCGGCACAAUUUCAGAUUAAGAAAUGCAAGAGUCGGAUUACCGGUGGGAGGGCCGGGGUGGGGGCCGAGCCGGCGGCUGUGGCGUUGUUGGAAUCCUGCGACUCGGGCUCAUCGCUGCGGCGUACCUGCGGCGCCGGAUCAUUGUGGCGCGCCAGCUUGUCGCUGCGGUGUGCCUUGGGCAGCUUGCCGUACAUGAAGGCGUAAUUGCGCUGUCCCCCGUUGUCCUCGUGCCGUCCGCUGCGCUCCAUGGCGACGACGACACCGGCGGCGGCGCCGUUGCUUUGGCGCCUCAGCAAGAAGAGCACGCGGCCGACGCCGUACACGAAGCCGCACGCGUACAUCCAAAUAUACCGGACCACGUCCAACCAACGCGCGCGCCGCGGCGGAGGCUCCUCGGCGGUGGUGGCCUCCUGCGCCGGCGGCGGGUCGGACGCCCAACGGCUCGGCGAGCUUAUCGGCUCGGGCUCGGCCCUCCUCCUCCCAAGCCUGCUCCAUGGGCGUUCUUGAUCAACCCUGCAGGGGCGUUCUUGAUUCAAGAACUCUGCAGGGGAGUUCUUGAUUCAAGAAAGGCAGCGAGCCUCGAUUGCUGCAGGGAAGCGGGGUGGGGAGGUUGCGAGGAGGAAGGCGAAGCUUCUUGUUCGGCAAUGGACGUGGUGGAAGGGAGAAGGCAGAGGAGGGCGAGGGGAUUCUUGUUUUCGUGGGGAGCAGGGCGCGGAGGUUCGGGGUUUAUAUUGAUGUUCUUGGAGCGUGGCGUCGGGUGGUUGGUUGGCGGUGUUCAGGCACGAGGGGCGGAGGGAGUGCGAGAGGCGGCGAGGUUGUUUCGUUUCUUGAAUCGGUGAGGGAUGCGGCGAGGGCCGGCCGGCUGCAGCUUUUGAAGAGGAGGGAGGGAUGGAGGGAAGAAGGGGAGGAUCGAAUUCGGAUGAAGGGGGGAAGAGUCGGUUCCUGUUGUUGGCCGUUAGCUCUGACAGCUAUGGCCGUUCCCACAUAAUUUGGCCAAGGUAAAUGUCCAGACAGUAUUUUUUUUUUUACAUUUGACGUGCCAGCGAACAGGUAUACUUGAAAGAAAAAUGUACUUUUCAGUAAUGUUAAUAUUGUUUGUGAAUUGAGAUUCUCAAUCCCAUGUUGCUACUUGCCUUCGCCAUUUCCCAACACUUUGCAUGAUAUUUGCAUUUUAUCCCCAUCAAAGGCUUAAAGCUUCUUAACGUGCGAAUAAGUGUGCUCACAGUUCCUAGAUAAAACAGUAGGACAGGAGUUGCGCAUAUAAUCAUUUACAGCAGAAACUUUAUUGAUUUGUCGACAAGAUCACCACUUGCGACUAAAAAUUACUGAUAAAGCAUUACAGUUACAGGCACAUUCAGACGUGCGAAUAAGUGUGACAUGUACUGUUGUUUGCACCUCCUAGAUAAAGCAGUAAGACUGGAGUUGCACAUGUAAUCAUUUACAGUAGAAGCUUUAUUGAUUUGUCGACAAGAUCACCAUUUGCAAGUGAAAAGCAUCACAAUUACAGGCAUAUUCAGAUAUUAUCAGAAGAAUUACAACUUUCAUCUGGCUACAUUGUCAAAGCAACCAACAAAGGCCAAGCUCCCAUUCUGCCGUUGGUGUUCAUCUGCCGUCAGGCUUCCUCUGAGGCUGGAAUGAACUUGAGUGAAAUGCUGUUAACACAGUGUCGCUCAUUGGUAGGCGUUUUAAACCCUUCCCCUUUGAAUAUAUGCCCCAAAUGUCCUCCACAGGCAGCACACGUGAUCUCUGUCCGCCUCCCAUCAGGGUCCGGCUAGUGUUGAAAAACAAGAUUGGUUAAUUAGAGGAGGUCAGAGAUCAAUGAUCAUUCCUCAUCCUGUGUGAAACAGAGAAUAGUACAUACCGUCUGUCUUAUGGCCCCAGGAAGUCCCUCAUAGAAUGCCGGCCAGCCACACCCUGAGUUGAACUUUGUAGAUGAUUUGUAUAAGGGAGUUCCACAUCCAGCACAUUCAUAAAUGCCCUCAUCAAAGAACUUGUCAUAUUCACCUGUUCCAGGGUACCUGGGAUCAGAUGAUCAAAUGGAUUCAGAACAGUUACGGCACCUGUUAAUAGUUUAGCAGAGAAACAUCUUUACCACACCAUAUACCAAACAUCAGUCAGAAACUAAUAGUUCUACCAUGCUCCCAUGCUAUAACAAUUUGGCACGUAACAACGACUUGCAUGCUACAGACACAAAUGCAUGCUUGCCUUUUGAAACAAACUAAUGGAUUGCCCUACAUUUUAGCAAUUCAUAUUUUAUAACAGCAGAAAAUGGUGGUGAUGUCAAUAGGUCAGAUACCAGAUACAGAUAUUUAGGAUUGCAGCAACACUCACAAAAAAUAACUCGGGAGUAGUUAGUUUAUCAAAUAGUUCACAACUUUUCUCAAGCUCCACACUCAAAAUAUACACCAGAAAUCUUAACAAUUUAUGAAUUCUAAGGUACUUGCUAUUAUUAGUUUGCAUCCAUAGCCGCUAAUUGGCUACUGACUUACUGAGAUGUUAAAAGCUGCAAUUGGACUACAAAGGAAAUGAUUUUUCUCCAUCUUGGUUUAUUGCAAUGACAAGACAACAUUUUUUUUCUAUAUUAUAACACCCACAGUUAUCCAGGCUAGCCUAAAUUAUAGAAUCUCUCUGGAUUUGUAAAAUAACCUUCACAAGAUGGUAAUAACCAACACCUUUUGUGAUGAACUUUAAUGUGCAGCACCAGUUGCUACGGAGUACCAUUAUGUAAAAUGUUAAAUGUGGCUAGCUUGUUAGUUGAAGUAGAUGCUUUUGUUAGCAGUCUGGUAAAUUGCUAGCCACACAGUCCUUCUUUGAACAACUUCAUCAGCAUUUUCCAGCUAAUUACAAAUUUUCUUCAACAUUUUACAAGCCAGCUACCAAUGUACUAUGCAAAUACUAGUAGAAAAUCAGAAUCAGGUUCUGCAGUUAAAUGCACGACGCUGACAUGCAGGCGGCUAGCUAUCGAUUCAGUGAUAUGUUAUAACACCAAAGCAUGGUGCUGUGCAUUUCUAGGAGAUCUUUCUUGAUGCUUAUGCAAUUGAAUUCAACUUGGGGUUGAUCAGUAUCCAGGGAUUAUCCGAUUUGGUCACUACAGUCAACAACACAUUACCCAAGUUCAGUAACAACAGUGAAGGACAAGAGAUGUGACCGUAUGCCGUCCAAAUCUUACUCUGUGCCCUUGCGGCGGAGGAUGUUGAACUGCUCCGGCGUGAGGAUGGCCUGCCACUCCUCCUCCGACUUCUGCACGGGCGCCGGCGGCGGGGUCGACGACGACAUCGCCGCCACGCCCGGGAACCGCCGUCCCGCCGCGUGGCCCCGGCACGGCCGCGCCGCGCACGAGAGGGGCGCGGGCCGAGGGCGCGCGGCGGCCGGCGAGGGGGCGAGGAGGAAGGAGGAGAGCGGGCGCGCGGCGCGCGGCGCCACGGCGGCGGGGUGGGGGCACGAGUGCGACGCCAUCCUCAGCCUCAGCAGACGCUGCACGCCCAUGUCUCGCGGCAGCAGUGCGCGGCGCAAGUGUGACGUGUCGCGUUCGUUGCCUGAUAAGGUUCUGGUCUUCCGGACUCGUCCUCUGGUUUCCGAUGGAAUGGAGGCACGACGCUGCAGCUGGCCAGCUACAAUAUUUCCUUGAAAUUAUUUUUUCCCCUUGUUCCUUUAUUCUUUUUAGUUGUUUGACUGAUCAGCCUUGAGAAAUCUGGAAAGAAACUAAGGGCAUAUUUGGACGCGACGUUAUCAACUUUAGGACAUGUCACAUCGGAUGUUUAGAUACUAAUUAGAAGUAUUAAAUAUAAUUUAAUUACAAAACUAAUUACACAGAUGGAGUCUAAUUUGCGAGACGAAUCUAUUAAGUCUAAUUAGUCCAUGAUUUGAUAAUGUGGUGCUACAGUAACCAUUUGCUAAUGAUGGAUUAAUUAGGCUUAAUAGAUUCGUCUCGCGAAUUAGUAUAGGGUUCUGCAGUUAGUUUUAUAAUUAGCUCAUGUUUAGUCCUCCUAAUUAGCAUCCGAACAUCUGAUGUGACCCUUCUAAACUAGUAUCUGAUGGCUGAUGUCAGGAUCUCUGUCGGACUGAAUAGUGAAUACUGACAUGUCAACCUUCGGGGGGGAGACAAUCCUGAAGACUGAUGCACAGCUCUGAACAAAAAUGCCUCGCUUCUCAUGCUGGCUAGUAAUAUCUUCUCAGGUUUUAACAAAAUGCAUAAAGCAAAAACCAUUGGAAUAUUCUUUUCGAAAAAAAAUCAUUGGAAUUGCUGGACAAGGAAUUUCAAGUUUCACAUUCUAACAUGUGAAAUAGUUUAUAUGAUACUGAUGAAGUUCGAUGGAGCGAGAGGGUGAAAGUUCAGUGUCCUGUGAUCAUUGGAUUCAUUGCCAGGACUCAACCGUCAGAGCAGUGAUUUGAAGUUGCAAACAUUGCUCACACAGAGUACCACAUCCAGAACCUCACAUAGCCGAGACACAUAGCGUGAUUCCCGGACUGCUGAGGUAACUGAAACAUUUUAGGAGCCGACAACCCAAAAUACAUAGCGUGACUCCCGGACUGAAGCUGAAGUAACUGAAUAUUUGAGAUGCUGACAACCCAAAAAUCGUUUCAUCAGCAAAGAUUUUUCAAUAAUAUAUGAAAACCCAUUAACACUAUUCUCUAUCUUCAGUCCUCCGCUCUUGUUAUUAACCCAUGAGCAUACAUGAGAAAGAUGGUUCUACAUAUGUUUGGCAUAGAAAUGCCAAGUACAUCAGUAUGAAAGUUUAGAAAUACAUCAUUAUGCAGUUAAAAGUACAACAUUUAAGGAUAUCUGAACAAAAAUGCCUGGCUUCUCAUGCUGUCUAGCAUUAUUUUCUCAGGUCUUAACAAAUGCACAAAGCAAGUUCUACUGGAAGAGCUGAACAAGGAGUUUGAAGUUUCAGAUUCUAACACGUGAAUCGUUUACAUGAUACUGAUGCAGUUCGGUUGAGCCCUAUGCAUACAUUUUUUUUUGAAACAGAGGGAAAAAAAUAUUCAACCCAAAUUUAAUAUAAUUGAGGAAAAAAUGGAACAAAUUUGCAGUGUCCAGCAUAGAUCACUGUCAGGACUCAACAAAAAUCAGGGCAACGAUUCGAAGUUGAAAACAAUGGUCACACUGCACCACAUCCAGAACCUCACAUAACUGAGAUACACAAUGCAACUCCCGGACUUAAGUAACUGAACAUUAGUUAAUGAGCGGACAACCCAGAAAUAGGAACCUGGAACCUAUCUUUCAUCAGUCAAGAUUUUCCAAUAUUACAUGAAACCAAUCGGCACUCCUCUCUAUCUUCAAACUUCAGUCCUCUGCUCUUGUUAUUAACCCCUGCGCACACAUGAGAAAUAUGGUCCGAUAUAUGUUUGGCAGAGAAACACCAAGUAUGUCAGUAAGAAUGAUGACAAAUACAUCAUUAUUCAGUUAAACAUACAACGUUGAAGGAUAUCUGAAUAUACUACUGGAACUCUAAUCUACAGUUUGAAUGUAUCCAGCACUAGGUUUACCAAGCGCGCAUGCUUCAAAAUUGAUAGUCUAAUGACUGCAUCAUAUACAAAAGAGCAUCAAGCUUAAGGCCUACAUGCAAGCUCGUCAGAUAGCAAUUGAUACAAUGCAACCAAUUAUCGAACAAAUUCAUCAUCAGAGUCAUCAUAAUCGCUGUACUCUUCCUCCUCACUUUCUACCUCCUCCAGAAAUGCAUUCAUGUCAGAAGAUUCUUCAGCCUCCAUUUCCUCAACUCCGAUUGUAUCAUACUUCAUGCGCUCAUCAAAUCUGGCAUCGGAACAGUUAAGAAGCCAUGCAAGGGAGCAAGUGAACCCCUUCCUGGACACCAUCUCAUGCCGAGGCCUCACAGUCGACUCAAGGCCAUAUGUGAAGAACGCAGGGAACUCAACCAGCUCCUCCAAAUCCCUCUCCAUCUCAUUCUUGAAGUACUCGAAGUUCAUCCUCAUAAUAUCCAUGUUCAGCGCGAGCAAUUGGGGGCACGCCACAACCAUCUUGCUCACUUGCGAGAGCAUAAAACCACAGGCUGUGAGAAAAUUGACAUGCUUCAGAACCGCAGUUCGUCCAAGGUUAAUGGCCUGUGGCAUCCUCUCGAUCACUCUCCCAAAAUCAUCAUGGCUGACCAAAAUGCUUGACUCGAACAAGCUCUGCUGUGUAACAAGCUUGUCCCUCAGCUCAAGUCCGAGAACAUCAGGGUACUGCAUCACAAUGGACGCUAGUGCCUCCUUCCUCACUCCAAACUCCAUCAGCGCCUCAAUGUUAGGCUUAACCUUAUCCUCUAAUCCAAACCCAAGGACAUAGGGCUUCUUCUCAAUUAUCCUUGCAGCAGAUAACCUCUGGACCCCAAUGCCCUCAAGGUAUUCGAUGAAAGGCUUUAUAAUCUUCCCCACCCGCAUGCCAAGCACCUCGGGAAAACGGGUUAUGACGCUGCCGAUCUGGCGCCUCGCGACGCCAAUGCCAACGAGGUAUGCGAUGGAAGUGCUCAUGGUUCCCUCGAGCUUGAAGCCGAGGAGCUCUGGGUAGCGCUCGAGCACGCGCGGCACGUCAUUGGGCCUGACGUCCAUCCCCUGGAGGUACUUGACGACGGGGGCGAGAUCGACGACGACGCUGGCGUGCAGCACCUGCGGGUAGCGACGGAGCAGGUCCGGGAGCGCGUCGCGGCGGACGCCGAGCUUGCCGAGGUAGUCGAGGACGGGGACCAUGUUCUUGCGCACGCUGCAGCCGAGCGCGAGCGGGUAGGCGGCGAGGUCCUCGCGGGUGAGGCCGAGGGAGGCGAGGAACUCGGCGCGUUCCCGCAUGACGUCGACGGUGACCGGUAGCUCGAAGCCCGCGAGCUCGCCCGGGUCCACGCCGAGGGAGGCGAGGAAGGCGUCGACGUCGGCGCGGCGGGCGGCGCGCUCGCGCUCCAUGUCGAGAAGGCUGGGGCGGGCGUAGAGGGAGGACGAGGGCGGGCGGCGCGACGGCGCGGGGCGGGGGGAGCGGCGGGCUGCGCGGGGCGGGGCGGAGGCGGAGGCGGAGGAGGAGGAGGCGCGGAGGCGGAGGAGGCUGCGGAGGCGCGGGGCGGGGAGGAGCGGCGGCGUGGGGUGGGUGGAGAAGAGGAGGGACUUCAUCAUUGGGACUUGGGAGUGGCAAGAGGUGAGCGAGGAGAAGAGGUUUGGGGGGACGAUGAGAUGGAGCCGCAGAGGAAGACAGGCAGCCAGAGGUGCGGCUGAGACCGCGAGUGCGAGACGGGUUGAAGAACGGGAGAUGACGCCCCGGGUGAUUUUUUUUUUUAGUAAAGUCCGUUAGCUUGUGUCAUUCUUGUUUCCGAACUCGCAAAUUGCAGAUUAACUUCCUAAACUUAUAGGUAUCAUCCCAAUCUCUAAACUCGAAAACUGCUGAUUUAGACUUCUAAAUUUAGUUUAAGGUGUUAUCUCGAUUUCAGAACUCGCAAACAUGAACAACAAAGCUAUGAACUUAGCUUUGGCAUCCAUGCAUAAAUGGAUCCGAGUGAAAGUAUGAAGCCACAAAACAUUCAGAUUGAGCUCUGCUAGUUGUGUAUGCAAUAUCAUAAGCUAUGGAUGCAGUUUUGGCAAGUAUAAAUGGACGGAACGGGUGAAAGCAUUCUAGAACCAAGGAUGAUCUUGGCAACUUAAUCUUUUUUUCACCGUGCUUUUUAGAUUUAGGGCGAAACUCAUGUUCUCGCCCUUUUGAUUAGGUACACAACAAGUGACAUAUUACUGUAGAAAUUUAUGUAUGGACUAUGGAUGGAAGAGAUAAGAUGGACUAAGUUUGUUCGGUCAUUUAUGGAAAAACUUGUAGGUGCAUAGCAUGCAUUUUGCCUCACUUAGUAAUCAGCAUAGACACAAUUACACGAGGGUUUUUUUAUUGAACAAAUAUAGAAGUUAAAUAUGUAUCAAUACACUUCGAAAAGUGCCUGCUUGCGAGUUUGAGAUCAAAAUGACACCAGAAACUAUGCUUGAGAGUUUGAGAUCAAAAUGACACUAGAAACUAAGUUUAUGAGGCUAAAUCUGCAAUUUGCAAGUUUAGGCACCGGAAUGACACCCGAAGCUAAAUUUAGGGAGCUAAAUAUGCAAUUUGCGAGUUUAGGGAUGAGGAUGACACGACGUGACAAGUUUGAGGAUCGUUUAUGGAAUUUACUCAUUUUUAUAUAUAAACUUUAAAAAAUUGCUUUUGCUAGAUAAUCAUAAUCAAUCAUAUUCUAAUGACUAAAAAGAUUGCACGGAGUCUUAUAUUAUGCGUUUGUAGGAAGUAAAUAUUUUACGGUAAUGGGCGUCCGAUGUCUAUAAAAAAAAUCGGACAUCCCAUUAUUACUAUGGAUGUUGCUGUAGAAAUUUUUAGAUGUGUCUUUGUUGCGAUAGGUAUGAGAUGAUGUUGCAGUGGAAAUUGCACUCCAACCUCAGCGAUAAAUGUUACGUGAAAAUUCUUUACACAUAUCUUAUUACGAUAGGCAUGCAAUAAUGUUCUAAAGAGAUUUUCAUCCAAAUUGUGUUGUGGUGACAAAUAUUGAAUGUUGCAAUAUCGCAUAUUGAAUGUUGCAAUGUUAUAUAUUGUGUCUUUCCGUUACAUGCCGCCAAAAAAUGUAAAUUUUGUUUAAAUUUUUAAUAUGAUUUUAGUGUGUUGCAACUGUAGUUGGAAAUGUUCCAAUUAUAAUUUUUAAAUGUUGCAAAAGGUAUGCGUCGAUGUUGAAAACUUUAUUUCUACGUGACGUCACUCAUUAUGGAUGUUGCAUGAAACAAUAUGUCAUGUUGCGGCGAAAAUUUUCUAUACUAGGUUGGAUGACCAAGUCAUUUUUAUACAUAGUUUUUAAUGUUGCCAACGGUGAUUUCUAGUGUUGUAGCAAUUCAUUUUUAUUUUUGCAAUGUAGCGUCCGAUGAGAAACAUCUAACCGGAGCGCUAAUAUCUCCGAAUAUUUUAAGUACAUGUAUGUUUAGCUACAAACCAGCGACUUCUUUUUUCCUUGCCAACACUAACAGAAAUAAACACCCCAAAAAGUAUAUAAAUUUUUUAACCAGCCAUAUAUUUUGGGUGUGGGUAUUAACCUUGUGACCUUAGCUCAAAUUGAAGUGUCAAAAUAGGUUCCUCGUAAUCCCAUCCCUCCUAUUUCUCUAUUCCCCUAUGUUCCUUGCAUGUACGAGGACAUUAAGGGCUAGUUUGGCCACGCUCCUUAGGGCUCCGGCUCCUGCACCAUAGUGUGUCAGGAGGCCUCAGGAGCCGGAGCUGAAGGAGCCAUAAUUUGUGGCUCUUCCGGUGGCUGUGGGAGGGAGGAAGACUCGGGUAAACAGUAUCACUACAGUAGAUGAACAAUGAUACAUCAGAAGGAGCCGGAGUUCGAAGGAGUUGUGCCAAACUGUCCCUAAAUGAUGGGCAGCUUUGGUGUUCCAUGUACGAUGACAGUUUACAUUAUUGAGCGGAGGUGCAAGUAGCGGAGGCCGGCAUAAGACAGGCGCGAGGAAGGGAAGCAAACUAGUACAUAUUGUAUUUAUAAUUAUAAUUACACAAUGGGUAAAUAUACAUCAUGGUAGUUUGAAAUUGCUGGAAGGUUGAUUGUUAGAUUGUGGAAUAUUGGAGGGACACAUUGUAGAAUUAGAGAAAAAAGGUUGCACUCUAGGAAAUUAGAAAGUGUGGUAAGAAAGAGAAGUGACACCAGCUCAGUUUAGUCGGGAGAUGUGCAAAGGCUUUUCAAACCACUACCUACGGAUCAGACCUGAGCAAACCUUGGACCGGACUGGGCUAGCAAAAAGGCCGGUUUUAUUUGAGCCUAAAAUCUUCACCCAAACUUGCCCAUUAACUCCACCGGGCCCAAUUCAGGCUGGGCUCGGGCUAGGGUCGAGCCGUCCAUCAUUUGUUAGUGUAAAUUUAAUUUAUUUUAUUAUUUGGGUUGGGCUCAGGUCCACCCAUUUUUUCGGGCCACGAAAAUUAGCGCCACGUCUGGUCCUAAAUGAGCACGGAUCGGGCUUAGCCCGUCGGGCUCAGGCUGGGCCUAUUUUGCUCAUGUCUACUCUGGACAUUAAAACCUACCAAAGGGAGGGCAUGCAAAGAGGCGCGGAAGGUCGUGCAGACACUCCUGUCAAAUUCGCUAAUAGCUUGAUCGACAAUGCUCUGUGUACAUCCGUCAUGUAGGCAACGCUCUGCAUGGUGAAGUUUUGAUCUUUACGACGAAGCCUUUGUACAUGGCACUCUCUCAUUUUUUGAACACCCUUUUACGCAAGCAAUCCAGUUGUUAUCAUUCCCUCUUCUUGGUACCCGUCACCAUAGUCCACAAGAGGCAUAUUUGGUCUAACGAUUCAUUAGUAAUGAUCAUCCAAUCCAAAUAAAUUGUGGUUUUUGUGAGCAACAAAAGGAAGUAAAAAAAGAGCAUAAUUUUAGUAUGACUCACGAGCCCUACCAAAGGUGUCAUCUACAAUAUCAAUUUUUUCACUGAAUUCACUAUGUGAUAUAUUUUGAUAGUGCAUAUAUUUGGUAGUAUAGCUGUUGUUAUUUUUUUUAUAAAUUUGAUCAAGUUUGAGUUAAGACAAAUCUAACGUGACAUGUAAAAAACCUUGAGGGAGUAUAUAGAAUAGACAUUGUCAACCUUUUACUACUCUAACCAUUGAAAGAACAUCACAAUGAUAAAUUAAGCAUAUAGUGUAACAAAAACACACAUAUUAUUACAAUUUUAUAGUGAGUAAAACUUUAUAGCAAUGGUGAACAUAUAUACAUAUAACACUCUUGAGUUUAUUCCUAGGUCAAUUUAUUGGGCCGCCGGACCCGAGCUGAACUCGGGCAUUUUUUUGAACUGGGCAAUUUUUGGCCCAUUUGCGGCGGCAGUGUGAUUUCAGAAAUGCGAAAUCCCCGACCGCCACCGUGCUCCAGCCUCCACUCCGGACCAGCAGGCCGCACCUGACAUGUUCGCCUCCAUCUGCCGGCGGCGGCUCCUCCGCCUCCGGCAAAUUCCCUCCGCCGCCGGCACAAACCCCAGCUGGCCCAACCCCAUCGACGCCCCCCUCUCCCACGGCCACUCCGCAGCUGCCCUCGCGGGCGCCACCGUCUCCGAGCCCUGCCCCAUCACCGUCUCCUACCUGAUCUCCUGCGGACUCUCCCCCGCCGCCGCGGCCGCCCACAAGCUCCGCAUCCGCUCCACAGACAGGGCUGACACCGUCCGCGCCCUCUUCCGCAGCUAUGGCUUCACCGACGCGGAUAUCACCGAGAUGGUCCGCCGAGACCCGCGGAUUCUCACCCUCGACCCCGACCGGAUCCUCCGCCCUAAGCUCGAUUUCUACGCCUCCCUCGGGGUCCAGCCCCGAAAGCUCGCCACCACGCCGCUAUUUGUCACGCGCAGCCUCAACAAGCAUCUCGUCCCCUGCAUCCAGUUCCUCCGCGGCAUCCUCGGCACCGACGGCAAGGUCUGCCGAGCGAUCUCCCGCAAUCCAAGCGGCCUCACUCAGGCUGACCUGGAUAAGAACAUGCGCCCCGCCGUAGACACGCUCCGCCGCCUCGGGCUCCCCGAGGAGUCCAUCUCGAAGCUCCUCACCAUUGAACUGGGUGUGCUCAGGCUUUCUCCCGACCGGAUGAGCCAGAUUUUCGAGGACCUCAAGUCGCUUGGCCUGGGCGUGACGGACACGGGCUUGCUCUACGGCAUCCGCGCACUCUCCUGCAUCAGUAGGGAGACGUGGCUGCGAAAGGUGUCCCUGUACAAGAGCUUCGGGGUGUCUGAGGGUGAGCUGCUGAAGGCGUUCAAGACACAGCCCACGAUGCUUCUCUUCUCCGAUGAGAGCAUUAAGAAGAAGCUCCGCUUCUUGCUGGAUGAGCUGAAGCUUGAACUAAGUGAAGUAAUGAGGCUACCUGUGGUAAUAAGUUAUAGCGUGGAGAAGUGCAUCAUACCAAGGUGCGCAGUGCUGAGGGUGUUGAUGAGGGAGGGGAAGAUUGAGCCCAACAUCAAUUUACUUUCAGCAUUGAUUGGUAGUGCCAAGAUUUUCUCCAAAAGGUAUGUAUUGAGGUAUGCUCACGAUGUGCCGGAUGUUGUCAAGGCAUAUGAGGGUAAGAUUGCAUUUGAAGGAUUCAGGGAUCGGGAUGUUUUAGUUCCACUGAAGCCUUCAGGCUAAUCUCAGUAGGGUUAAAUCAAAUGGUCAGGCAGCAUGUUUCCAAUGCCAUUGAGAUCAAGGCAUGCUAUAUCAAUGGCACUGUUUCGUUGUGCGAUGUUAUUUCUGGCUAUUUUUAACUCAACCAUCUUCAUAGUCUUCAUAGCAUCUGCCAUUUUGUAGCCUCUGGCCUAACAAAUCUAGAAACAUAGAUCUUAUGUUAUCGAAGUAACUUAAUCUGGUAAGUUGAAUUGGUGCAUUCUGGUUGUUUAUGCCUUUUGAAGCUCUUUCAAUAAAAUUAUGAUUUUGAAAUAUGUCGCUGGAAUGACUUUAGUGCUUCUUUUACUAUCUGGAUGAAGACUCUGUGUUCCUUUCUAAUAUGUAAAUUUUUCAUCUAUUAACAUCUGAGAAGAUCCCAAUUUUGUUGAUCCUUGUGAUGCAAAGUGUUCAUGUACAGAAUUGUUGAGCAUUUAGAAGUGAAAGCUUUUAUGCUUUGUUUAAACUUUACAAAAGGGUUCUUGUGGGUUUGAUCCACUUGAGCCGCCGUUAUACUUGUGUAGUUUGUGUUUAUAUUGGUGAUAUUAUAUACAAAAAUGCCUGUUAUAGAUGAGGCUCUUAUCAUUGUGAGUUACGGUGCCACGAACUUAAUUGUAAGCUGGAUAGAUGACCAUUCUGGAGAUAAAACUGAUGGAUUUGCUUUUGGUUGCAUGCUUUCAUUACAUCAACAACAUCAGAAAACACUUGUAUUGGGAAAUACAGAAUGGUAACAAACAUCUAUUGACAUAAGGACCUCUUUUAUAUAACCUUGCUUAUGAUGAAUUUUAAGAGUGCAGACUUAAUGGUUCUUAUUAUGGAUUUGAUGUACUUGUUGAAUUGUUAUGAAAUGCUUAUUCCAGAAUGAGACCCACUUCUUGGAUUUUACAGUACCACCUGCCCUGGGAGCUGACCAAUUUCCUUAAGGUUGCAUUAUAUCAACUAUUUAGGGACAAGUUCAUUGGGAAAUACAAAAUGAUCACAGAGUGCUAUCGACAUUAGGACCUAAAGAAUGCCUAUGAGUCACAGCUCUCAGUUUUUUUUUUGAACCACCAAAUGACUUGAGUAGCUUCCAAAUUUUUAGUGUUGAGACAUUGCUGGAAUUCUGAUAUCUAUGAGUGAAUGCUAUCGUUGAGGUUGGGAGAAAAAAGGUUCUACUGCCGUGUCUUAGCCUCCUGUGAAUCAAUGGGAGGUGAAAAGAAGGGUUGAAGGAUUGACACAGGAUUACCCAACUAUUUGUUUUCUCCAAGCGCCCACCAGAUUUUGCUUCUAGGAUGGAGCUUGUGGUUCAGAGUCUGCCAAUCUAUAUUCCUUUGAGUUGUUUUGGAAAUUACUUAGUGACUUGUCAACCAGUUCUUAAGAAACUUGCUCAAAGUUUGGAAAUUUCCUUAUUCAUAAGAAGUUCGGUUGGCCAAAUUAGAUGAAAUGCCCAUUUGGUUUGGAGUCUGAUGGGGCAAUCUAUAUUCCAUUUUUUGUGGGUGUCAGUUAUUCGUGUUGUUACUGUAAGUGUUACCUGGUCUUGUUACAGAAAGUAAUGCUGAUUCUUUUUACUGGAAGUCUGCACUUUCUUUACCUGGAGCUCAUUGAUGCAGCCUGCAAGGAACUUGAGGCACUUGUCGUGCCCAUCACAGACUGUUUGGUUUACAGGAAGGUGGCACUGUACCAGAGCUUCGGGGUGCUGAGGACUGAGGGUGAGCUGUUUAAGGAGUUCAAGAUGCAGCUAAUGGUACUGCUCAUCUCUCAAGAAACAUAGAAAAGUUCUGAUUGUUCUUUGAGGUGAUGACUCUUGAAGUUUGCGAGGUUACAGGGCGAACUGUGAUUAUAGUGAAUAGCUUGCAGAAGAACACCAUGCCAAGGUGCUCUGUCUUGAGCAUGUAGAUGGAGUGGAAGAUUAAGCAAAAUACAAUGUUGCUUCAUGCAUUGAUCUGGGCUUGUAAGAUCUCUGAGAGGUAUGUGUUGAGGUAUGCCCGUGAUGUGCCACAUGUUGUCAAGGCAUAUGAGGGUAAACUUAAAUUCGAAGGAUUCAGAAAUUCGGAUGUUUUGAGUUUCAGAUCUUCUAGAAUGAAAUCACUAUUUGUUUGGUGUUUAGCCUCUAAUACAAAUACUACAUUAGUCAUAUUGUUAAUCUAACACUGUUAAUUUUGAUAUUUUACUUAAUUUGUUGGAUCAUCAACAUUCGCAGUUCAGCUCUUUUGCCAUUGUUGGAUCAUCAACAUGUCUUGUACAAAUCUAGGAAUGCAGGCACUGUGAUCUUGCCAGAACUCUGCUUUGUCUAGUAUGUUGAACCGGUUCAUUCAGUCAUUCUAGUAUUGUUAGGACAGUUCUUUGAUAUGCAAUGAUUCUGUGAUAUCCUCGCUAAAAAAAGACCGAGUUUGUGAUGUAUUGAUUUUUAAAACGUUCUUCUACUGCUUAGCUGAUAAAUCCCCAUUUCGUUGGGAAUUGUCACUUUUGAUCUGUUCCAAAAGGUAUUGUGCACUCUUUAAGUCUGGAUAUAAAUUAUUGACGUGCCCGUCUCCAAGAUGUAAUGUUCAGAGUUGAGGAUUUAAAGUUGUCUGUUCAAUCAAACUCUGAUGUUAGUACUUACGCACAGAAUAUUGUCCACCUCCAUCCAGUUUUUAUUUUAGGACUCGUAAGAUUUCAUAUCUGCCAGCUGUACUCAGUCCACCAGGAUGGUAGAUUUGUAGGUGGGGAAGAUUGUGGUAGAUUUGUAGGUGGGGAGGAUUGUAAGAUUAAAAACCUGAAUGGUAAUACAGAGACGCAACGAAUGGUAAUACAGAGAUGAAAGGUUUAGAUAGGUUCGGGUCUCUGAAGAGUAAUACCUGUUCUGGUGGACUGUAUCGCUGGUAUGGGAUGCGAAGAAUUCAGAUGGGAUGAGUUGAAGUGAGUUACCCUCAGGGGUGUUCUUGGUCGCUUUAUAUAGACUGACGACCUAGGGUUACAAGUCGGAUAGGAUCUAAUUCGCGCUGUGCUAAAAAAAGGAAAAAAAUUGAAGCUUCCAUAGGCGUAUGACCAAAUGCACAUGGCUAUGCGACUGCCGAGCUUCGAGAUGUCUGGCAUCUUGUAGAUCGAAGGGAAGCACAUGGAGGGUGUUGCAAGACGCACUCCAUACGGAGUAGCCCCCGAGCGUUGAAGUGAUUAAAGUAAUCGGUCCAAUGGUCAAGAAAAUGAUAUAUUGUUUCCAUAGCAAAACGAAUCUCAAUACAGCGCCCAACCCCUCGAGUGCGCAGACUAGCGGAGCCACGGAGGUACGCCGACCUGAGAUAGCCAUCUCGCCCCGAGCGUGAGGACUGGUGGAGCCACGCCGACAUGAAAUAGGCGCCCAGCCCCCGAGCACGAGGACUGGCGGAGCCACGCCGACCUGAAGUCUGUGGCGCUCAACCCCCAAGCUUGAGAGUCGGACGAGCCGCGAAAGCACGCCAAGUCACCUCCCGCACCCAGCCCUCGAGCCUGGGAGGUCGCUGGGUGGCAUGAGGCAUGCCGAGUCAUCCGUAGCGUCCAGCCCCCGAGCUUGGGAGCCGGCCGAGUCGUCUCCAGCGCCCAACCCCCGAGCCUGGGAGCCGUCCGAGCGGUGAAAGCACGCCAAGUCAUCUCCCGCCCCGAGCCUGAGAGGUCGGCUGAGCUGUAGGAGGCACGUCGAGUCGCCUUCCGCACCCAGCCCCCGAGCUUGGGAGGUCGGCCGAAUGGCAGGAGGCUCGGUCGCCUCCUACGCCCAGCCCCUGAGAUUGGGAGGUCGGCUGAGGGCCAGGAGGCAGGUCGAGUCGUCUGUGGCGCUCAGCCCUCGAACCCGGGAGUCGAACGAGCUAUGGAAGCACACCAAGUCACCUCCCGCACCCAGCCCCCAAGCCCGGGAGCCGGACGAGCCAUGAAAGCACGCCAAGUCACCUCCCACACCCAGCCCCCGAGCCCGGGAGCUGAACAAGCCACGGAAGCACGUCAAGUUGCCUCUCGCACCCAACCCCCAAAGGUUGGCCGAAAACGGGAGGCACACUGAGUAGUUUUCGGAGUUGUGAAAGCACAAUGCAAAGAUCAUGUAGCAUGACGUAGAGCAUUUAAUAAUUGAAUAACUCGGAGUUUUAUUUGGCAUAGAAGUAAAUUCUUGCGCAUCCUCUCUUGUAUGCCAUGUAAUUUCCUUAAGUAAUUAGCCUGUUAUGUUUAAGCAGCUAGCCUUGCUUAGCUAGCAGUUUGCUGAGAGUGGAUCUCGAGCUUGUAGACGGGGCAUCACAAGAUGAGUCGAGGUUUCACGGAUUAGAGCGUGUGUUACCCAAGUACUUUAGCAACCGUUAAGAGAGACGGACAAACCGUAAAGCAGUUGGAACUAUGCGGAAAAGCAAAGAGCGUGCGUUGGGCACUCACAGUGCGCAACCCUCGAUUGCCUGUGUAGUGGACGGACCAAUCUGUAUAAACAGUUGGAGAUGUGAUCAGGGUGAUGGGCGAAAGUCGCAGAGAUAUAAAAGAAUUGAGGUAUGUGAAGAUAUACGGAAGCUGUAAAAUGUUUAAUUGAAUAUAUGACUUAGUUUGAUUUCGUGGCUAAGUCGGAGAAUAGGCGGGGUUCGUCCAUGAAGCGUGGUUGCCGUCGGGCACGUCGCUGGCAAGUCGCCAGCAGGCUUGGUUGAUGCCGAAUCGCUGCUGUCUCUCAGUCGUUAGAACGUUUGCCGGCCAUCUUGUGUCUAAGGUAGCGCGAGCCCAUCUUUGCCGCGCCACAGCUUUAUACAUUCGUCCGUACGUCGAUGAUCCCAGGUGCCCUGGUACCUGAUUCGAUUGCAGACAAAAACAUUGGCCAAUGCAAUGCAAUGGAACGCUCAUUGGCCAAUGGAAAUAAUUAGAGUACAACUGGCCGAUUGAACUUAAGAAAGAAAAUCAGAGAUAUGCUCCCUGUUUCACGUAUGGUCUUUGUAGAUUGAUUUUGUAGGUCGCAUUUAGACGAGCGCGGAGUCGACGCCGAGGACAGAUGAGUUGGUCCGGAUGCCUCAGCCGACGUAGAUGGGGUCCUGGGCGGUGGCCGGCUUGGUACUUGCCCCAUCCUCGGUGCGUAAUCGUCGUGGCGAAUGGCGCAUGAAACCAGGCGGUACUCGAUUGGAGAGAGAAAAGCCGUAUGCACCAAUUGUAAAUGAGAGAUCGAUAUACUGCAAAAUUGGACCGACCUAAUUCCAAUUCGUAGAACGACUCACCCGAUUAGUACUGCCAUCAAGCUCACUAGGAGGAUUCGGCGAUCACUCCUACCCAAUCCACCAACUAUCGGAUUUAGUGACCGAAAGUGCAUCAGGGGUUACCCAAGUGGUAGAUUUGUAGGCAGGGAAGAUCGUAAGACCAAAAACUCGAAUGAUAAUACAGAGACGCAAGGUUUGGACAAGUUCGGACCUCCGAAGAGUAAUGCCCUACGUCCUGUGUUCUGGUGGAUUGUAUUGCUGGCAUGGGAUGAGUUGAGGUGAGUUACCCUCAGGGGUGUCCCUAAUCAUCUUAUAUAGGCUGACGAUCUAAGGUUACAAGUCGGACUAAUCCUAGUCGGUGGCUACAUGAAAAAUAAUCUGAGUUGGACAACAACAAUUAUCCCGCGAUAUUCAGACUGAAUUGAUUUAUGCAGCCAAUGGUCCGAUGAAUGGUCCAUCAACUUCCUAUUGAACUGCAGGCCCAUUAUGCCCAUUGUCAUCAGCAGGCCCAAUUGGCCACUAUCCCCACUUAUUUCCAUUGCCCUGAACAUUCUCAUUAGCAUUUGCAUUGCUCUAAUCCUGCACAUUACCAUUCACCUGACCAUCCCUGCCCAUUAACAUUCAUAUUUGGCGAUCCAUUCCUAGGCUGCCCAAAACCAAAGAAUUGAAAGAGAUUUGGCUGUAUUUCAUCGGGACUAUGAGGCUGAGAUCAGAAGGAGCACCUCCCAACAUGGUUGCUUGAAAAAUCUCACACUGAGUUGUCUAGGAUUCACCCUCAAAACCCUCACCAUCAGAGCAAACAAUAAACUAAGGAAUUUCCUCCAGAUUAACCACUCUUGCUUUGACUAAAACCCUUGCUAAAUGAUUAAAGGUUUUACAAUAUCCUUAUGGGUCCAGAAAUCAUUAUUGAAUCCAAGAAGCAUAAGCCAGACUUCAUAAUUCAUGUUAACAGACUUAUUAUUCCAACCUUUAGUAUGCUCCACAAAAAAAAUUCUCGUAUCACCAUUGUUAUGUGGGCUACUUGCAAUCAAGAAAUCCCUAUCAUGAAAAUGAUUGAAGCGAACAAAGGCCUUACCAAAGGGCAUGGCUGAAUAGUGCGAUAGCCUAAACGCUUUUGAUUCCUUAGAAAAUCAUCGAACACUUCCCUAACAGAGUGGAAGGAUACCUGUUGUUCUGGAAGAGGCUCGAUCAAAGCAAUGGCGAGGUCACUGUUCCUGUCGCGGAGGCCGCCCAAAACGACCCUGGACAUCACCUUCCUAUGCGGAAGCAUCACUCGAUUGCAGUUUGGGGGCAUGAAUGGUGCAUGGUCAAUAAACUUGUAGGUCGUGAUUGCCCCGUGACAAUCGGAAUCUGCCAAAGGGGUAGGUAAUGUAGCAACGAUUAGGGUUUUCUCGGUGGCGGUGGGAGGCUGUGUAGCUGUUGUGGGGUCUGUUCGCUUCAGCUUAUAAGCCGGCUGAAAAGCUGAAACGGCUGAUUUGUUGUGAGAGGAAAACACUGUUUGGUGGCUGAUAAGCCGGCUGAAUAAGCUGAAGCGAAUAGGCCGGUGGAUAGUUGAUCAGAAGCGUGAUGCGAUGAGAAUGUAGCUUGGAUGCGGACGCUUGAGGCUAGCCGAAGCUCAAGGUCAUCAUUGCAAGGCAAGGCUGGAGGCGGAUGUGCUGCUGACGGAGCCGGCGAGGAAGAGAACUGGGGCAAGGUAGGCGAAGGGGCAUUCACUACCAAAGAUGAAGGGUCGGCCGUCUCAGGGCAGAAAUCGUCCCCAAACAAUUGACCGGUGCCAUUGACAAUUGGGACCCCAAAGAGCAUAACCUCAUCUGUCAUAUGCUGCUUGGACUUGAACCACCCUGCCGGAUUGGUGUGCCUCCACUGCAUAGGAUCAAUUUGGGAAGAGAAACCCUUUGCCGCAGCAGGAUCAGAUGCUCCACAAAGCAAAGAUGGUGUGCCUCCCCUGCAUAGGACCCUGAAGCAUGUGGAGCAUCUGAUCCUGCUGCGGCAAAGGGUCCUAGAGUGCGAAUUGGAAAAACACCUGAAGCAAGUUUGCCAGCCCACGACCCUUCCUGCCAUAAAGCCAAAUGAUUCUUGAUGAGCCACAUUAACUCCAGGGGCGCGAUUUGAGGGCCGGGAGCUAGGCAGAAAAGAAGGCCCAAGAUUGAGGCUCACAUCAACGCCAUUUGAAUUUGAAUUACUCAAUUCCCCUGUGUUCUUCGUUUAUUUCAUAUUUUUGACAGUCCCAAAAGAACUACGAAGAUCCGAAUCACUGAUGUUCCGAAAAUCCAAUUUGGAAAAAGCUGAAAUUCUCUUCUUCAUAGGGACACAAUUUGCACCAGUUAAAGGAGCAUCACUUUUAACUGCCUCAAUAAAAGAUUUAGUCCUCUUUUUAGGACCGAUUUCAACCCAGUGGAAAUUAGGCCCCCGAUCAGUGAGAACAGAAGAUCUAGCCACAGAUAAACCUUUUUCAUUCCAGAGAUGGAAGAAAAUCUUGAAAGUCGGACAAGCAAAGGACUUAAGAUCAUACACCAAAACACCAACAGCCUUGGGGGAGACACUGAAUUUGAAAAUGCCAUCUUCCAAUUCCACAACACAGAAAAGCUUCAACAAACCCCCAAGAACAGAUUGCAGAAUGCAACCAACAGAAGAUUCCAAAAGCUUAAUCCUUGAACGACUAAAAGCCGCAAUUAACCAGAAGUUGUCUAUCUCAUCCGGAUGAGAGGAAACCACCAAACCGCUAGUUUGAGUUCGUACCUUUGAUGAAAAAACGUGGCCCGGUUCCUGAUCCAGGAUAGAAGAAUCCAUGGGACGUCAGGGGAAAGACAGGAGAGCAAUAGAGAGAGAGAGAGAUGAACAUCGGGAGGAGGGUGGACGCCGGACCGGGUGGUCACCGGCGGUGGGAGGACCUGGAGGUUACUAGGGGGAUGAGAGUAACAUUUUAGCAACUUGUUGAAAACAUUUUAGUUUUCAAAACCUUGUGAAAGUUGUGAUUGUGUGAGUAUAUUCCAGCAUUCCACGCUGCAAAAGCUCUUGAGAGUGGUAUUUGGUUUCUUCGAUGUCUGAUGUGCUAGCUCGGUUCUCCUGUCCGAAAAACCGUAAGAAAAAAAAAGCCUAUUCACCUCCCUCAAUUCUCGUGGGAGUACAGUAUGUAUUUUAAUUUGUCCCUCAACUGUAAGGGCAUGUUCAACAAUUGAGACAGCUGCUGUCUAUAAGUGUUUUGAAAAUCGUAGACAGACUGAUAAUUGCUUUUUUUUGCCCUUUCAUUAGGUUUGAUGAAUGUGUCAUAGUAUUAAAUCCUUUAUUUUUGGGACAUAUCCACAACUGAGGUACCAGUCCAUAGGUACCAUCAGCAAGUUAAUUAUAUAGGAGUAAAGUGAAAUGGCUUAAUGGCUAUCAAGGAUUACAGUAAAACUAUAUGGCUUUUCAAGGUCCCUAUGCCUGUUAAAAUAGUUUAGGGCAUCUAUAGUAACUUGUUAACAGCAUAAAAGAUUGAAAAAAUUGGAUCCAAAACUAGACCGUCAGAGAUUUGGACUUAGGUCAACAAAAUAACUGCAGAGCCUGUACAAAAAUAAAUGCAGAACACAAAAUGCUAAACUGUACAAUAAAGGGUGCAACCAGUGGGAAACCGCAAAAUACAGAGAGACGUGUGGAAGGAAAAUUUGACACUAGAGAUAAAAGACAUCUCUCACUCAGCGUACCAACAGAAAGCCUUAUGGAUCUACCACAAUUCAAGAAUCAUUUUGUAUGAAGAACAAAAGAGGCCUCCCUGCAGCAUUUUCAAGGAUUUAUACAAAAGAGUUAACAGGUGAACAUAUCAUACCUACGAAUUAACAGGCUUUGCAGAACAAAUGGAGGACCACCCCAGGCUGCCAGACAUGAAGGACCUCAGCUAGUCAGCUCUAAGCAUAAUGCAAGAUAGUGCUACUGACAUUCUCUUUAUAAACACUGGAAUUAUAUGGCUGAUUGGCAAGUGCAUUCAAUAAAAAUGAAGUACAUUUGCGGAAACGAAGAUCAAGCUACCUUCAACAAAUGACAACAUCAUGAAAGCAUAUGGGUUUCAAGACUUGACGCCAUUGAAUGUAAAAUUCCAAUGGCUUAACACCACAUUUAUAACUACAGAGAUAUUGAGUCAAAUGGAUAAGAUUCUGACGUUAGACAAUGUAGAAUUAUCCUAACAUUACAAGCAGCAUCUGCCUUACCUACAGUGAUGUUACACUAAAUGACUGAUGCUUUGGCUAGUGGAACUUCAAUAUCAUCGUCCAGGAACCCUUUGAAUUUGAUCUUCCCCUCGUAUGCCCUAACAACAUCUGGCACGUCCUUCUCAUACUUCUCCACAUAGCUUCUAAAGAAAUCCUUGCUAGAUGCACGUAAAGGAGAGUACAGACUUAUGUCUCCCCGGAUCUUCCCUUCCCUCAUCAGCACGUUAAGAACAGCACAUUUAGGGAGGAUAUUCUUCUCCAGGCUCAAUGACAAUAAUUUCGGCCAUGCAAUCACCUGAGACAGAGCAAUCUUCAACUUGUCCCGGAAGAAGAGGAGCUUCCUCCGAAUCAUCUCAUCACUAAGCUCCAGUAACGGCGGCUGACUUCUGAAUGCCCCAACAACCUGGCUUUGAGAAAGCCCAAAGCUCUGGUAAAGCGCCAACCGACGCCAUCCUGUCCCCCUCUUGAAGUUGCACAUUGAAGAGAAGCACUUGACAAAGCAGGAGUCCGUCAUGGGCAGACCAAGGGCAUCAAGGUCCUCAAAGAUGCCGGCAAUGCGGUCGGGCGCCAAGCCGAGAACGCCCAUCUCUUUGAUGAGGAGCUUCGAGAUGGCCUCCUCGGAGAGACCGUGGCAGCGGAGGGUUUCCACGGCGGGGCGCAUAUGUUUCUCGAGGUCGAACCGGAAAGGCGUAGGGUAUGUGGGAGAUCGCAUUCGGAUGCCGGCGUCCGUGCCGAUGAUGCCGCGGAUGAAGUUGAUGCAGGGUACGAGAUGAUUAUCGAGGCUGCGCAAGAGGUGGUUUGUCUGGGUAAGAGCUGUGACGCCGACGCCUAGCGAGUCGAAGAACUCGAGCUUGGGCCGGAUGAUCUUUAUCGGCGUCAAGUAUUAGGAGAUCCGGGGAUAUGCUGAGCAACCGGGCGAUGUGGGCAUCGGAGGAGCCAUGGCGGCGGAGGAGGGCGAGUACUGCGUCCGCGUUGGCAGUUAAACGGAUGCGCCCUCGGGCGACGAGGGCGGCGGCGGUGGCGAGGGAGAGGCCGCAGGAGGCGACGAGGUAGGAGGCGGCGUCCGGAUCGGGGGAUCUCGCAAGGGGCACCGUAGAGUAGUAGGGAUGGAGGAAGCGGGCGGUGUGGGGCUGGGACUGGAUGGGACUUGUGCCGCCGUCUACCGCUGCGGUGGUGCCGCGGAUGAGGAGGGCGAGCCGCCGGCCGCCGGUUGAGGGAAACAUGCCGGGGUUCUGAAGGAGUGGCGGCGGCGCUGAGGAAGUGGAAAGCGACACUGGAGUGGAGUAGUGGGCGCAGGCGUCCAACUGGCCUCGAUUUUUUUUUUUUCGAAAGGACCUCGAAUUGUUGUUUGGGCUCGUUUUGAGAAGAUUUGGUGUUUGGAGCUUCAAAUGAUAUUUUUACUACUUGCAUUUUCGUAGUACCUGCUAGCUAUAAUUAGUUUAUUAGUAUUGUUUUUUUUCAGGACAUUGAGUUUAGUACACGCAGUCUUGAAGGAAUUUUAAUGACUUUUGUCAAAUUUUUGUAAGUUCCUACUUGAUUGCUAUUUUCAAAGUAAAAGAAAAACUACAUUUUAAGGGUAUGAACCACAAGAUGCAAUUCGGGUAAGUACAAAAAAUAUGCCUAAUGAAUACUAGCAUCCCUCAAGCUUUUCUUGACAUUUAGCAACGAUUUGUGAAACCUUAUCCAACAAAUUACAGAAAAAAAAAAUAAAAUUUACGCUAUUGUUUGGCCUUGGAGGGUGCCUUUUUUAUUUCUGAAGGAUAUAUGCAGCAUUGAUUUUAUUUUGUUCAAUUAGCUGUGCGUGACAUCAAGGUUCAAACAUCUUUAGAACAGACACGUCCUUUCAAACCUCUACCGAGCAGAGCUCUAUGGUAAGCACUCUUGUCAUUUCCGAAUAAAUCUCAAAUACCAUGCUCACCUGAGUUAUAUUAUAAAAUUUGAAAGAGACAAAUUAAAUUGGUCGAUCAAGUGGCGAAUAUCAAAUUUUUCUCCAUAAAUAAGGAGAAAAUAGGAGAUAAGAUGCCGCACGCGAAGAGGGCCUGAUUACCUACCCCCUCCUCCUGCGUCAGUUUCGAUCUACUUCCGCUGCUCCUGCACACAACAACGCAACAGAGCAGAGAGAGUGCGCUGAUGGCGAUAGGGGCGGCGCUGCGGGCGGCUGCCGCGGACGCGGUGGUGACCUUCCUGUGGGUGCUCUGCGUCUCCACGCUGGGGGCCUCGACGGCGGCGGUGACGUCCUACCUGAAGUUGCAGGGCGUCCAGUACGCGCUCCUGAUCACCGUCUCCCUCGUCUCCGUCCUGCUCUUCGUCUUCAACAUCCUCUGCGACGCGCUCGGCGGCGCCAGCUUCAACCCCACAGGCAUCGCCGCCUUCUACGCCGCCGGAGUCACCAGCCCCUCGCUCUUCGCCGUCGCGCUCCGGUUCCCGGCGCAGGUGCGUUCCGCUUGAAUUUGGAUUCGAUUCGAUCCGAUUCUAGGAUUUAGAAAUGUCUUCUUCAGAGACUGAUGCGGACUAGUAACUGAUCAGGCCGCCGGCGCUGUGUGCGGCGCUCUUGCCAUCUCGGAGCUGAUGCCGGCGCAGUACAAGCACAUGCUCGGGGGGCCCUCGCUCAAGGUGGAUCCCCACACUGGCGCUGUCGCUGAACUAGUGCUCACUUUCGUCAUCACCAUGGCUGUGCUCUGGAUCAUCGUCAAGGGCCCCCGCAACCCCAUAGUCAAGACGUUGAUGAUCUCCAUCUCCACCGUUUGCCUCGUCCUCUCCGGGGCAGCCUACACCGGCCCUUCUAUGAACCCAGCCAAUGUCAGUCUCUUCCCCCUUUUUUUCCUCCAUUUUUCUUCUUCUACUGUUUGUCAAACUAGUUCAUGAAUCGUAUUACUUUCCACUCCAUUAGUAGUUUCCACAAUCACCAUCGUUACAGCGAUCAAAUUUCAACGCCCAACUAGAAAAUAGCUGCGGCAUUUGGCCCGUCACAGGGACCUUUAGAAGGUUGAUUGUAUAUUUGAUAAAUAGUUGUAGGAUUUGAUGGCUUCCAAGAAUGUUACAUCAUGUGGGUAGUCUGAUCUAUACCAUUGUUUACUGAGAAAGGUGAAAUUACCUCAUGAUGUUGAGGUAUACUUUGGCCACUGGACAUGCACGGAUCUUGUAUUUUCGAGAUGCCACAUGGAUAGAUAGAUAUAUAAGAGAUCACGUAGUUAGAGGGAGCUAGAACUCUGUUGGAGUAGCAAGCUCAAAAUUUAUAGUAACCGUAAAUCAGGGGAAGAGGACUCAAUGCAUUAUGUACUGAAAAUAGAAAUUGACAAUGGGAUAAAUUAAAAACAACAGUUUGUAUGGUCCGCUCAUUUAGUAGGUAAGGAACUCAUAAAAUAGUAAAUUGAAGCCAAAUGUUUAUUAUCUGUUACAGUUUACUCCUCUUAAGCUCAGCUCUAAACAACAUAGAUAAGGACAUCUGUUUCUGUAAUUUCCUUUUCUCUUCCAUAACAAUGUUAGGCCCUGCAAUUGAUUUUUUUAUCAAUGAAAUCCCCGUUCAAUGUUAUUUGCAGCACCUAAAGGCAGAACACAGACACAAAAUUGAGUUUGGUGAUAUAGAACUGCAAAAGUGGCUAAAACUAUUGAACAAAAUGGUCGGCAUGUUACAAUAAGAAGGAAAAAGUGAGCAAAAUUAUUUGACCACCAAAUCAUUAUACCUGAUCUUUGAAGCAUCUUCUUGUCCUUUUUGAAGCCCCUGUAUGAACAAUUUUGCAAGUCAACAGCACAAUGUUGCGAUGUAUUUUUUAAAAAAAUUUACAGUUCCGAACUAAGUUAGCAUGGUGAUGAGAAUUAAAAAACAAAACACUAUUCCAGGAUAACUCCAGAGACAUAGGGUAAGUGUUUGCUAACUAUUGAGAAGGCAUGCAUAUAUAGCAUAUAGCCACUUUAUUUCCAUGUCUGAAUCUGAACACAUAUUUGGAUUCUUCAUUUGUGAAAUUUGCCAGUGUUCCUUUGUUCUAUAGCCUUUUUUUAGAGAGCAUGGAGUAGUAAAACUGGAAUGCUAUCUGUAAAUUAGAGUCACUGAGCACUGAAAUAGAUUGAAAUGGAAAAGUGAAAAAAUUAAUAAAUUGUAAAUUUCCAUUCAGUUUCAUCAAAAUUUACAACUACAAGAUAGGGAGAAUUUUAUCUAAUUUCUUCUAGAAAUCUUUUAUGUAUCCUUCAAACUAAAUUCAAGAUUUUUCGUCACGUAAGGAACCAUGCUUGGAGCAUGACAAAGAGCACAUACUCAUCUGCAAGGGACUGUAGUUUCUGCUUUGCCAAAAUUUCAAUGUUAAGAAAUCUCACGUUGUUCACUUUUUUGGAUCAGCCACUAGAUGGAUACUUGUACAUAAAACCCUGCCUUCUACAGGAGCGCAACAAUACACCAUGAACAUAAGUUCCAAAUGAAAUGAAUAUCUAUUUGAGGUGAACUUAACAAUGAUUACCGAAGAGAAGGAUAUAUGAAUAAUUUUGACAAAAUAUCUCGAACUGCUUGUUCUGAUUAGAAGUGAAUAUCUGAAUUUGCUGUCAGCACUGGAUAAGCACUGGAUUAGCGUUUGAAUAUUUCUGCUCCUGGCCGUUCAGUUUAAGCACUUUGUAGUAAAAUUUAUUCUAGUUUCCCUGUGUUUCUUGAACUUAUGAAUAUUGGUCGAAUAUUAUUCCGCAGGCAUUUGGCUGGGCAUAUGUCAACAAUCGUCACAAUACGUGGGAGCAGUUCUAUGUGUACUGGAUAAGCCCCUUUAUUGGCGCCGUCCUUGCUGCGUGGAUCUUCAAGGCUUUGUUCCUGGCACCGCCACCUAAGCCCAAGGCCAAGAAAGCAUGAUGAUAAUCAUUUGGUGGUGGUCUGGUGGACGCUGGAUCGGAAGAAACCAACAUUAAUUGCUAGAAAUAGAGGGACUGAAAGACUUAGUUCCUCUUGUAUUUAAUUACCUCAAUUUCCCCAGCAUGUUGUUAAAUUGAUUAAUGUGGUGACUCUGUUCAUACCAUUGAUUAGCAUGACAGUAAUCAGAAAUCGUGUCUUUGAAAAGAAAACAGAAAUUGCCAAAAGUCUGAUAAGCAAUUCUGCAACAAUUCAUCACAGGUGCAAAAAUGAAAAGGUCUACAUCGCUGACAUUAUGCAGCAUCCAUCACUAUGUCAUACGGGCUGAGGUAUGCAUAAAUGCAAUGACAAUGGAACCAGGCUAAUUUUUUUUAUUUUUUGCGUGGAACUGUCAGGUUUGGUUUCUUAGUUUUGAGAAUGUUCUGUUAGAGCUCUACAUGAUUCUCAUUCCUGAACUACCCUUUUUGGAUGAUUGAUGGUGUUUUUCAGUAGAGGUAAGUAACUCCCAGUGCCUCUCAAACGUCAAGCGCCCAGAAAUAUCUGAUUGAUGGUUGCUGUUUUUCAGUAGAGGUUACUCCCAGAAACAUUUCUUCUUGAACUUUGCUCAUCUCAAGCUUUUAUCAGUCUGCUACAUAUAUAAGAUAUGAUGUGCCCGUGCUCGUCUUGUCAACAGCCGAGAACUUCCAGGGUUAAACUUCAGUUUUACAUGUGUCUGAAUUUGGAUUGAACUAGACAGUUGGAUGCAUAAGCUAUGUUGUACUCUGUUUCGGCAGGUUUUGGAACUGCUAGCCGAUGAGUUACCACAGAAUUUCAGGAGAACGUAGGAGGACACAAUUGGGGCCUGACUUGUUGAACAUAAAAUUCUGUAUGAAUGAUCUUGUGUAGCCUGCCUUACUUCUUCACUUCCUUAUGUGAUGCCUUGAACUUCCCGGCCUUUGAAAACACAAGAAAUUACCCAUUGCAGCGAACCUAAGCACUCCUAUUCGUCAGUUGGUUUGCUUUUCACUUUUCAGUGCCCAUAGAGCAAUGUACUGUAUAUAGUAUAUCCACGCGACCUUGCUCUCCAUCAACAUUGCCAUUUGGUAUGGUAACAGAUGAACAAUUUAUUCAGACAACGACUGCCCAAAUCCAAGACCAUCUUCUCUGGUCACAGACGGACAUACAGUUACAACCCAAUCAGCAAGUCUCAGCAGCUUGCAUUGUCGGCUAGCCGAGGCGGAAGUUGUUGCAGUUCGUCUGCCGGAACAGCAGCGAGGAGCUGAACCCCAGCCGCGACGCCUCCAGGUCGAACUCCAGCAGGUUGUCCUCCAUCAUGUGGCCGCCGAUCACCACCGACGUCCUCGGCGCCUCGCCGCCGUCCACCACGCCGAGGCACAGCGCCCCGCCCUUGACGGCCACCAUCGAGUUCGCCCCGAACACCACCCACGACGUGGCGUCGGUCCCCAGCACCAGCUCGAUGGUCGGCACCGCGGGCCCCACGCGCGUGCUCCCGACCUUGCUCCCGUCGUAGCACAGCUGGAACGGCGCCACGGCCGGGGCGCGCGGGAUCGCCGCCGUCUCGGCCGCGAACGCGCCGGUGACGGCCUUGUAGAUGGAGCUCUCCAGCACGGUGUAUGGCGCCACCGUGCUGAGCUUGGUCCCGCCCACGCCCUUCUUGUCGAUGGCCAGCAGCGUCGCGUUCAGCGGCACGGCGCGGCCGUUCACCUUGAUGCCCGUCACGCCGACGAAGUACUCGUCGGACUUGUCGCCCUUGGUGGACACGCCCGCCGUGCUCACCGGGUUGACGAGGAGCGGGGUGUAGAUGAGCGACGAGUUGGAGAGCACGAACCCGGGCUGGAACGCGUAGGGCGCGUCGCCGAAGACGACGACGCCCGCGGAGCCCGCCGGCGGCAGGCAAAGUGCGAACUUGCGAGAGAACCGGAACGUUGCGGCGAGCUGCGUGGGCAGCGCGAAGCGGGCGCGGCUGAGCGACGCCAUCCCCGUGGCGCCCGCCGCGAGGCCCUCCGUCAGGAACGUGGCGCCGCAGGUGAAGAGGAACGCCGGCGCCGUGGCGAGCGGGCCGGGCGCCGGGCGGAACGUGGUGGGCAGCGCCAGCACGUCGGUGAUGAUGUUUCCGCCCGUGCUGACGUGCGUGACCGUGUUCCCGGGGAACCCGGCGCAGGUGUCGUUGAGGCAGGAAGGGCUGGGCGCGCCCAGGCAGCUGGUGGCGCAGGCCGCCGAGCGCGAGAGGCGGCAGGGUUUGGACGCGCACGGCACGCGGCGGUAGGUGGAGGAGGCGUACCCGGCCUCGCAGUCCACCCAGAGCGUGGCGCCCGCGAGGUCCAGCACCGCCUCCACAGGCGCCAGCGGCGUGCGCUGCCGGAACGACGUCACGUACUGCUGCGUGGCCGCGGCGUCCUUGCUCACCGGUAGCACCACGGCGCUCGGGUUGCCGUCGCGGGGGCCGGCCGCGCGGCAGGCCGACAGCAGGCAGAGGAAGAGGAGAGCGGCGAGAGGAGGGAGGCGUGCCAUGCUGGGCUGGAGGCGAUGGCGAUGUGACGUGGUAGCAGCGGCACGCAAGCAAGGAGUUUUAUAGCGGGAUGGGGAUCGGAGACGGGGAUGUGGCGCCGUGGCGGGGCGCGCGCGACACCGAAAUGGACCGGUCGUACGCGAUGGUUGGUUGGUGCGCACCAGCAGCGAGUCCACGGCGGCCCCGGCAGACUGCGCGUCCUCUGCAUGGGCGCAUGGCGGGAGCGAUUUUUGUAUGGGUGAGAUCUAGGCGAGGGGAUUUCGGCCACGAGAACUUAUCCUGACGCACCGACGUGGCGCCGGUUGUCGCCGCCUCUGACUUGGACUCUUUUUUAGUGCGGCUGAGCUGACGAGUGACGAGUCGCUGUCUUGUCUUCAUGGAGAACUGCGCAGAUCCGGGCAAACCACCGGCGAGCCGGGCUGGGACAGUGGGACAACGUGUGAAACCAUGGGAGGAAGUGUAGUUUUGGGGAGCACGGCGAGCGAAAAAGGUCGGCAGCUCGGCGUUCCCGGCACGCGGGAGACGCACCAGCUUUUGCGCACGCCGGCAGGGGAUGGGAUGGGGAAUAAUGGCCGGGCAGGGCAGGGAUGUUGGGUGUGCUGUGCAGAAAACGAAUUGGACUUGGACCACGACCACGCUGCUGCCGGCAAUGGGCAUCUGACCGGAGCUGCCGCGUGCUGCUGCGGCUGCCGGCAACGGGGGAAAUGGGCAGGAGAGGAAUCUGGGAUCGGGUUGGGCUUUGCAGGCCAGCGACUCACACAAAGACACCUGCCUGCCUGCCUGCCUGGUGGGCCGGAGCUACGAGCCUAUGAUCUGGGCUAGGAUUGAAUUGGCGAGGCCCAAACUUACCGCAACCUAAUCUUGCCAACUACUCCAUACAACGAUCCAUGAGAUGACGUUCUUAGAUACCGCGAUGCAAUCAUAUCCCACCCCUUAACUGAGUAUGUAUAUUUCUAGAUUUUCACAAUUUUAGCUUGCACAUUCAUAAUGAUACCAUGAGUGCUUUAGGCUGUUCCCAAGAUAUAUUUUCGAAAAUCUAGGUUUGUUAUUUUACCAGAUUGCGCUUCCAUUCGCAUCGCCCCCUUUUUGUGUCUAGGCCUCUUGUCUACCUAUUUGCUUUCAAAGCCGUGAUGCAUCGAGAGAUCUAGGCAUUUAGGUAGUGUGGGUAUGUAUGCUCUGGCGGGGUAGUCUUCUUUACCUAUAUCCAUAUGGAAGCAAGGCUAGUAUAGGAAAUUGGUACUGGCUAUCAUUAUUUGUCUUUGGUUCCGUUUAGCUUGCACUAUUUACUUGAUCUCGCACUUCUUUCUAUGAAAAAAGGAUAGCUUUUCUUUAUUCAAAGCAAAAAUAGCCCGGAUUUGCACAUUUUGUAUCUCACUGGCAACUGACCAGCCUCCUAGACAGAAGAGAGAGCCUCCUAGACAGAGAAAUUUCAGCGAUCGCUGGUGUUGGCCGUCAAAUCACCGCCGAAACUAGGAGAGAUGGAUCCCCAUCCUUCAAGGAUCAAUCUCCAAGAAGAGGAUCAUCACCAGGACAAGUUUUGUCACGGAGGACCGCCAGGAGACGAGGAGGCGAGCGAGGCUUGUCUCAAUCGCUCCCGAUUUCGAGAGGUGUGGCGGUUGUCGUCCUCACCGCCGCAACCUCGCCACCUCACCAUCGCUCUGGAAGAAUCAGAAUGAGAUUCGAAAUGGAAACUAGGAAGAGAUUCGACCCAAAGUGAAAUGCGAGAUAACUGAUGGAGAUGGUGGUGGAAUCAGGCAAAAUCAUGAACAGAUCCUGAAUGCAAUUCGAGCACCGUUGGGGGGCAGGGAAUGCAUGGCAGACUCGUUGGGCCGUAGAGAACAGGAACAAACCCAGCCCAAAACGGCCCAUUUUGGCAACUACAUUGAGGACCUCUUCUCUCACUCAUAUACACCGCCGCCACUCCCCCAUCGAUGUCUCUGGAUUGAGGCAGCUAGUGUCGGUGUUUUAGACCAGAAACCCAUCUAGGGAGUACCCAAUGUGGUCUUUUGUGCGGUGGGUGUCGUCGAGAAUCAAGGAGUCGAUGGUGACGCAAGGAACACGAUUUAGACAGAUUCGGGCCGCUAGAUCGCGUAAUACCCUAUGUCCUGUGUGUUGGUUGUAUUGAUCUUGUUCUUUGUUGUUUGGAGGGGGUCCUUGCCCACCAUUUUAUAGUCGAGGGAGCAGGGUUACAGGGCGGAUUGUGUAUGAGUCCUAGUCGAGUACGUUUACAGAGUCCAUGAAGCCUUCACGCCCUGCAGAGUAGUCUUCAUGUCCGAGUAGGUUCUGGGUACGUUCCCUUGAAUGGGUCCAUACAAGUCUUCUGGUGGGCCCGGGGGUGCCUAGCCAAUAAGCCCCCGAGUACUUUGUAGUCGAGAGGAACAAUUCCGAGUACUUGAAGAUGUCGCCCGAGUUCCUCCUGGUGCUCUUCCCGAGUACUUUGUAGUAAAGAGGAACAAUUCUGAGUACUUGAAGAUGUCACCUGAGUUCCUCCUGGUGCUCCUCGAGUACUUCUCGUUGCGGCCAACCUUCGAGUACCGGAGCUGUCGCGUGACUGGAAGGUACUCUUUGCAGUUCCCGAUGUUUGCUUCGAGUAGUCUUUGUCUUGAAACUUUUUUAUAUGGUAGUCGAUGACAAUCGCACUCCAUAUGGAGUAGCCCCCGAGCCUUAGGUUGAAUCGAAGAAUUAGGCUGAGGGUCAAACUUGUAAUUUCACUUCAACUUAUCUUAGUCUUCAGAAAAAGAAAACUUUAUCCAAUGAGUACAGUAUACGCAGCCCCCGAGCACUUGGACGACUACUUGUAGUCGGUGAAGGGAUCAAUGUCUUGGUUAGAGUAGCCGUUGAACACUAUAUUGUGGUAAAUCUGCAUCGUAUCUGAUCGUUGCUAGAUUAAUGGGUGGAUCCCGGAAAUGUUGCUGAUAUAAUAGGGGGCCCAGCGCUAAUUAUUAGCACGGCUGUUUUAGCAGAUCUGCAAUUUGCACCCCCUUUGCAACCCUAGCGCCGCUGUUUCUGUUUGCGCCACCACUGCAAUUGUUGCCCCGCCCAAUCUUUGAAGAGAAAUCGCUGCGGCCUUCUUCACCCCCUUUUUUCCUCGAGAUUAAUUGAUGCAUACCAAGAAGAUGGGCAAGAAGCCUGAGAAGAUCCAGGGGGAGGCCACAACCACCAGCAAGGGGAGAUCCAGAUCCAAGAAGGGCAAGGAGCCUGAGAUAUGGAAAUGCAUGGCAAUUUGAAGAACACCCCAAGAAGACGGUGAUGCUGGCUCACUUUGUCGAAAGGGGCAUGGCGGUGCCUACCUCUAACUUCUUCAAAGGUAUUCUUGAGUAUUAUAAUCUUUAGUUAGUCCAUUUGAAUCCGAAUGGUGUGCUGCAUAUGGCUAUCUUUGUACACUUGUGCGAAGUGUACUUGGGUGUUUUGCCUAGUUUGGGCUUGUUUAGGAAAUUGUUCCGGUGUAAACCACAACCCAGUGUGAUUAGGACAGAAGUCUUUGGAGGAGCUGAGUUUCAGUUGAGAAACUCGGGUGUGUAUCUUGAAUAUGACCUACCUGAUUCCCACGUUGAUUGGAAGAAGAGGUGGUUUUAUAUUGGGAACCAUGAUCCUGUCUUGCUAGUAGUCACCGGCCAUGAUCCGAAACAUGCAGACAACUGGGUAAUGGAGCCUGGGGAUACUCAUGAGAUCACCGACUUGUUGGUGUAGAUUUCCGACUUGAGAGCUUUAGGGUUGACUGGGAUCCAUGUAGCCGCCAGUUUCCUCAAGCGCCGAGUUCAGCCCCUACAACAGCGUGCUCAUUGGGGCUUCGAGUACACGGGUUUUGAUGACCCGUCGUGUAAAUCUUGCUCUAUUGAGAAAUUUAAGUCUUGAUGUGAUCGAUGAUCUUUCCUCGUAGUUAGGAAAACAAAUCCGGGUAAUCGAGUAGUUGUAGUAUCCGGUGUGAUCUUCAAUUAUUGGAGUUGCUCGUGAGGGUACUAUAGCUAUUAUUGCCUUGUACUUGAGAGGGUGCACGGGUACACUGUUCAUUUUUGUCCGUUGUGUCCAGUGUGGUCACAUGCGUGGAGUUAAGGCGUUUGUCUAGCCCUUGUCAGUGUCUGAGGCUAUUCGUCACGAGCGAGUAGUAACUGCAAGUAGUUGGCAGUUGCAGCCCUUCGGCUAUAAAUGAGCCUCUGGGUACUCGAUCGGGAUCAUGCCCUUCAGUAUAGCGAUGGCUUGCUUCAGGUUGCUGUUGUUUGAUAGUAGAGAGCUUCCAAUGAGUGUCCCGAUGCUAGAGAUUCCUCGUAGAUUAGAGCCACCUUCCCUCCACAGACUCUUACGCUUGUAGGGAUAGCCGCAAUGCUAGAAGAAUCCUCGUAAGAGGGUUUGCCGUGUGCCUCAUCUUGCAACUCGCGAUCCAGCUCAGUUCGUGCUGGAACUCGCCAGUGAAGGAUGAUGAGCUUCGCGGUCUUUAUCCGGCUUCCUGAUUAGAGGUGGAGGAGGUGUGGCAUACGGUAAGGAUCUGUGUGCUAAAGCUGUCCAUGGAGCAGCUUCGGGGAGUGCACUUUGUCUUCUUGGUGAUUUUGUUCCUGAUCUGCGUCGAGUAUUCAUCCUAUCGUUGUCGAGGGAGCGGCGGUGAAGGAGUACCUGGCGUUCCGGUUGUCAGGAGGAACCAGGGUACAACUGCCUAUUGCGCAGCUUCCUCGUGUGCAGGUUUUGCCUUUUGACACUGCUUGCACCUUGGUAGUCGAGCAAUCACCAUGCUCGUGUAUCCUUGUAAUAUAGUAAAAGCUUGGGACUUUUGUUCUAACUGCCAGUAGGUAGUUGCUUGUAGUCGUUGUUGUGCAAUUGUGUUGUAUUUUGUAUACCUCGACUUCAUUGGGUAGUCGAUUUUAAUCCUGCGGAGUUUCGUUAAUGCAAAAAAUGCAAGUAUGAAGUGAGUUUGAGUACUCCUUGGCUGAUGGUUGUAGCAGCCUUGUGCCUUUGAAGAACGAAGGACUAGCGCCGUAGCCGUGGCUUGUUAUCAUAGAGCGUUGUAGCCCAGCAAGUGGAAAGACUUGAGUUGUGUCUUUGUGAAGCCGCUUAGACUUGUAGAGACGAGUCGAAGAGAGAGCGUUGAAACUCGUAGAGCUGAAGAGCUUGAGUGACUGUGAAUAGCCGACGAGUUGUGAUAACUCGAAGAGACUUGAUGGAAUCAAGUCGAAGGCGGAGCGCUGGGGCUCGCAGAGCUGAAGAGCUCGAGUGGCUGUGAAUAGCCGAAGAGUUGUGAUAACUCAAAGAGACUUGAUGAAAUCAAGUUGAAGGUGGAGCGUUGGGGCUCGCAGAGCUAAAGAGCUCGAGUGGUUGUGAAUAGCCGACGAGUUGUGAUAACUCAAAAAGACUUGAUGGGAUCAAGUCGAAGGCGGAGCGUUGGGGCUCGUGGAGCUGAAGAGCUCGAGUGGAUGUGAAUAGCCAAGCGGAGGCAAAGAUAGGUAGUGUUUGCCAAGAACUUUGUUGUUUAAGAAACUGUGGGUGAAGACCCAAGUACAUAUCCUGUAGUCUGCUACGAGUAGUAGCGACACAGAUGCUCUAUAUUCCAAGAGUUUGGUACUUCUUCGCCUGAGAGUUCCUGUAGUCAGUACGAUCCAGGCCCUGUGACCUUGGAUAUGACGUAGGGACCUUCUCAUGGCGAGUUGAGUUUGUGCAGCCCUAAUGUGUCUUGAAUGCGUUUGAGGACCAUGUCACCCACGUUAAAGGAACAUUCCUUGACAUUACGGUCGUGAUAGCGUCGUAGCUCAUCGAGAUAUCUGACUGACUGAACCAGUGCUGCACAUCUUGUUUCUUCCAAACUGUCCAGGUCUAGGCGCAUUGUUUCCUCUGAUACUCUUUCGUCAUAUUGCUCAACUGCAGGAGAUUUCCAGAUGAUGUCUAUAAGGAGGAUGGCCUCUGACCCAUAUACGAGGAAGUAGGGAGAGUACCCUAUAGGCUUGCAUGGUUGAGUGUGUAGUCCCCAAAGAACAUUGGGUAAUUCUUUGAGUCAUUUGCCUCUUUUCGUGUUGUCGAUGUCAUGCAGCCUUUUCUUGAGAGCUUCGAGUAACAUACUGUUGGUACGCUCGACUUGGCCGUUGGCCCUUGGGUGAGUGAUGGAGACGUAUCGUACAUCAAUUCUGCUAUUCUCGCAGUACUCCUAGAAGUUGUGAUUGUUAAAGUUGGAUCCCAAAUUAGUGAUGAUCCUGUUAGGGAAGCCGUAGCGAUGUACGAUCUCAUCUAGGAAGUCGAGGACUCGAUCGGCCUUGGUGCAAGUGACGGGCUUGACUUCAAUCCACUUGGUGAACUUGUCGAUGCCUAUGAGUACUCAAUUGAACCCUUCUGGCGCAGUUGGGAGUGGACCAAUCAUGUCAAGCCCCUAGCAUACAAAGGGUCAUGUUGGAGGUAUUGUGAUGAGCCUAAAGGCGGGGACAUGCUGUUGCUUGGCGAAGAAUUGGCAGCCUUGGCAUCUACGGACUAGCUAUUUUACGUCGGCCAGUGCCAUGGGCUAGUAGAAACCUGCUCUGAAAACUUUGCCUACAACCGUUCGUGAAGAGACACGAUUACCACAUAUUUCCUUGUGAAUUUCUUCCAAGAUUUCUUGACCUUCUUCUCAGGUGACACAUUUCAUCAGUAUUCCUGAAGAUGCGCUCCUUCUGUAGAGCUUGUCUACGACUAGAACAUAGCUUUUGCCUCGUCACGAGAUUUGUUCAGCUUGGUCCUUGUCGGAGGGUAGCUUUUGUUCUUUGAUGUAGUUGAUGAACGGUGACCUCCAGUCAACUUCGAUCAUCAUGAUCUCUCGGUUGGGUUCUGGAGGUUUUGUGUUGGUAGUUUCUAGAUUAACUUGUUAUGGUAUGGAAGGCUUGCGAAGCUCGUGUACAAAAAUGCCUGCUGGAACUUCUGCACGGGUUGAGCCCAUUUUUGAUAACACAUCAACAGCUACAUUGUUGUCGUGGACGACACAGUGAAACUCCAGGCCUAAGAACUUGUUUUCUAACUUUUGAACUUCCUUGCAGUAGGCAUCCAUGUUUUCCUUGUUGCGAUCCCAUUUGUUGUUGACUUGGUUAAUGACGACUAGCGAGUCACCAUAUACUAGUAGUCGUUUGAUACCAAGUGAUAUUGCGAGACGAAGGCCAUGUAGAAGUGCUUCGUAUUCAGCUUCAUUGUUUGAGACUUUCCAAAAGAUCUGGAGAAUGUAUUUGAGUUGUUCACCUUUUGGAGAAAUCAAGAGUACUCCUGCGCCGGUACCUUCAAGCUUGAGGGAACCGUCAAAGUACACAACCCAAUGUUCUGGCCUUUCAACUGGUUUUGGUACUUGGUUUUCCCUCCACUCCACCAUGAAGUCGACCAAAGCUUGGGAUUUGAUAGCUAUUCUGGGUUUGACGUCUAGAGACAGAGCUCCGAGUUCUACCACCCACUUGGAGAUUGUACCCGUUGCAUCCCUGUUAUGAAGGAUUUCACCAAGCGGGAAGUCGGUGAUGAUGGAUAUGUUGUGUUCUUGAAAGUAGUGUCGCAGCUUCCGAGAGGUAAGCAGGAUUGUGUAGAGUAGCUUCUGCACUGGUGGCUACCGAGUUUUGGAGUCCGAGAGUACUUCACUGACGAAGUAGACGGGUCUCUGGACUUUGUAGACGUGGUCUGGUUCAGACCUUUCUACUACUACUGCUGUGCUAACAACAUGAGUAGUAGCAGCUAUGUAUAGGAGCAAGUCCUCAUUUGGAGAUGGAGCCGUAAGGAUUGGUGGUUUUGAUAGGAAGUCCUUGAGCUGUGUCAAGGCUUUGUCUGCCUCCUCUGUCCAUUGGAAUUUGUGUUGUCGUUUGAGUAACUUGAAGAAGGGUAAUCCGCAUUUUCCAAGUCUUGAAAUGAAUCGAUUGAGGGCUGCCAUGCAACCUGUAAGCUUCUGCACAUCCUUGAUGCCGGUUGGAGCUUACUUAUUUGUGAUGGUAGAGAUUUUUUCCGGGUUGGCCUCAAUGCCAUAGUGGCUAAUGAUGAAUCCGAGUAAUUUUCCCGAGGGUACACCGAAAACGCAUUUCGUAGCGUUGAGUUUCCAUCGGAACGCUCGUAGGCUUGCAAAGGUUUUUCUAAGUCUGCACUAGAUCAUCUGGAUUUCUUGUUUUGACGACUACGUCGUCUACAUAAGCUUCUACGUUGCGGUGUAGUUGUUUCUCAAAACACAUCUGGAUGGCACGUUGAUACGUCGCACCUGCGUUUUUUAGCCCAAAAGACAUUGUUUUGUAACAAAAUGCUCGAAACGGGGUGAUGAAAGCUAUUUUGGCUUGAUCUUCUUCUUUGAGGGCUAUUUGAUGAUAGCCCGAAUAGCAGUCGAGAAAGCAAAGCAAUGCACACCAAGCUGUGGACUCGACUACUUGGUCGAUCCUGGGUAGUCCAAAGGGGUCUUUUGGGCAAUGCUUGUUGAGGUCUGUGUAGUCGACACACAUCCUCCACUCAUUAUUCUUCUUGCAAACGAGUACAGGGUUGGCUAGCCAAUCAAGGUGGAAAACCUCCUUGAUAAACCCUGCUGCGAGUAGUUUGGCUAGCUCUUUUUUGAUUGCAUCUCUUCUGUCUUGGGCGAACCUUCGUAGUCAUUAUCUUUUUGGGGUAGCUUUGGGAUCGACGUUUAAUGAAUGCUCAAACAUCUCCUUGGGCACACCAGGCAUGUCAGCUGGCUUCCAAGCGAAGAUGUCGUGUUUAGCCCGAAGGAAACUGAUGAGCGUGCUUUCCUAUUUAGGGUCUAGCCCUGUUCCAAUUAGGGCUGUCUUGGAUGAGUCACCAGUCUGGAGAUCGACGGGUUUGAAGUCCUUCUCACUUGCUGGUUUCACCUUAGUCGAUUCUGACUUGUUUUCUGGGAUCUCGAGUUCUGUGGGGCUGGGUUUCUUUGAUGCUGUGAAGACUUGCUGCAUAGGAUUGGGUGCUUGAGAAGUUGCUGCAAUUUCGCCAGCUUCUGUGUCGCACUCAUACGAUCGCCUCAAAUCUCCACGUAGUGUUACUUUGCCCUUAGGUCUUGGCAUCUUGAGUAUUAGGCACACAUAGCGUGGUAUAGCCAUAAACUUGGCCAGGACCGGUCUUCCGAGUAUAGCGUGGUAAGAAGUUUCGAAGUCGGCAACCUCAAACCUGAUGUACUCGAUUCGGUAAUGUUCCUUGGUGCCGAAAGUGACUUGUAAGACAACUUGUCCUAAAGGUAUGGCAGCAUUGCCUAGGACAAUUUUGUAAAAUGGUGAGUCCAUUGGGGUAAGCAUGUCUGUGACAUCGAGAUACAUUUUCCUUAGUGUUUUGAUGAAAAUGAUGUUGAGUCCGCUUCCGCCAUCGAUGAGUACUUUGGUAAGUCUUGAGCCUGCGACAACAGGAUCGAGUACCAGAGGAAUUGGCUUGGUUCUGAGAAACUUGUCCAUUGGUCCUUUCUGAUGAAAGUUAUGGGUACCUCAGACCAUUUGAGUGGUGUAGGAGCUGCUGGCUCGAUAACCAUAAUCUCUCUAAGUACUAGCUUAUUGGACCGCUUGGACGCGGUACCCGGGAUUCAACCAAAAAUGACGUUGACCGUCUUAGAGGCAGUUUGGAACUCGCCUUCACCCUCGUGAGCUUCGUCGGCCUUGCCUUUUCCCUUAUCCUUCUUCUAACCAAUGUCUUCAGGAGGGGUUGGUGUGGGUAACUCUUGCAUUACUCGGUGCAUGCUGUAGCAAUCAAUCGCUGAGUGUUUGCUGUUUGGAUGCCAUGGGCAUUGUUUCUUGAGUAGCCCGGUGAAGGAGGGCCCGUUAUUGCGUUUGUGUGACCCUUUCUUGCUUGAGUUGGACAUAGCCGCGACAGUGUUGUCAGGUUUGCGCUUGCGGUUCUGAUUACCCGAGUAGUUGUUUCGAGUAUCAUUGUUGCGGUUUCUGUCUUGUUCAUGAUUAUUGUUAUUGUUGUCGCGACCACAGUUGCGAUGGGAGUCGAAUCUCUCACGCUCUUUGUCUUCUUCAUCUGCCCAUUGUUGCACCAUGAUUUUGAGAUCUUUGACAGUGGCUGGACGACGUCUGCCAAAGUCUUGGUAUGUUUGACGAUCAUAGAGGCCAUUUUGAAAGCACUCAAUGACGUCCCCUUUAGAAAUGUCGACUAUUGUAGCCUUCUUUUCAAAGAAACGACUUAGGUAGUCGCGAAGUGUCUCGCUUUCUUUCUGUUUGACUUGGCUCAGGUCAAUUUUGUUGCCUGGGCGAGACAUGGAGCCCGCGUAAUUAUUAGUGAAAGCCUUCGUCAAGUCUUUCCAGGAAUCGAUUCACUUGGGAUUGAGUGACUCGAGCCAUGUUAGUGACGCGGGUUCCAUGCAUAUGGGGAAGUGAAUGACAUUUGUAUCAUCAUUACCCCCAGCUGCUUGAACUGCUAGUGAGUAGCAUCGUAGCCAUUGGACUGGAUCUUGCUUGCCAUCGUACUUGGUGAUCCCCAUCGGCUUGAACUUCUUAGGUAGUUUAGUCUUCAUUACCCGUGUGGUGAAGGCGGGGAAGUGAUCAUAGUCAUUGGCUUCGCGCUCAUGUUCGCGACGAUGGUUGUUAUUGAUUACUUCUCUUAGGUCACUGAAGAUUGAGGCUUCGUGAUCAGCUCUGCGGUGGCGAGAGCUCUUUGCUGAAUUAGUAUAGCUAGCCUCUCCUACAUCCCUGUUUUGCCUUGGGCCUCGUGUCCAUCUCUACUUUGCCUUCGGCUAUGUUGUCUUGGCUGGUUGACUACUUCAAGACUGUUUCUUGGAGCCUCGUGAUUGCCACCAUGGACUGCAACGUCUCUGUUGCCAUCUUGGUGGGCUGAGUUGCGAGGAAUAGAUGGGAUCGGUGAUUCCUUGUCAAAAAGUUUGUAGGCUUGUUUUGCGAGUUGUGCUAUUAACUCGUUGUCCCUUUCCGCAAGUUGUGCUGUUAACUCGUUGUCUCUGUCGUGAGGUAUGAGAGUUGAUAUGAGAUUGAUUGAGGCAAUUGCUGUGAGUGGAGUGUUGUGCUCUCGAGCUUGCACUGCGUCAAAUGAUCUUUCGAGGUUCACGAUAGGAAUGUUCGUAGCUAGUAGUCGGCGACGAUCUGCUCGGGCAGCAUUGCAUGCUCUUCUUUGAUUUCUUUGUUCAGAGGUUUCAUCUUGCAAGGUGUUAGCUGAUGAUUCAUCUUGUGAGACAUCGUCGAGUUAUCCAACCCGUCGGGGAGUUUUUUGGUGGUUGGCACCAGUGUCAUUGUUUGGUGACGUGAUGACGAAGAUUUAUUUGUCCGGGUAGUAGCUUCAAGAGCUUGAUGUUGCAAUCUCCGUAGUGCUUCCUUCUGCAUGGGUUGAAGUAAGCGGGAUACCCUCUUGAUACGGGAGGUUGUCUAUGUGAGCGACAAGGCGCGACUCGUAAUCUUAGGCAAGGAACGGUGGCUUCAUCUGAGGCCAAUAAACGAAUCUACCUUGCGGAGUUGAAGUAAUUACCAAGCCUUAAGCUGGGCCUGAUAAAGGGAUCUCUUGGACAGAGUCCGAGUCGUAGUCGCAGUCCUUGACUGACCCAAGUUCGAUUUGGACUCGAGUGAGGAGUUCUUGGUGGACCGCGGCUGCAUUGCGGAGUCCAAGCAGGAAUCGACUUCGAUUUGAAGUCGACUUGCGGGAUGACUUGGACGUCAGCCUGUGCGGGCUAGUCCGAGUCGAGGUCGAGUUCAAGCCGUAGUCGAACUUAAUGUUGUUGACGUUGAAAUUUUAGAUUUUCUCGACGAAAUUCUCUGCUUCUUGAUGAAGAAAGUUUUCAUCGAGACGCUUCUUUUCUUGGUUGUGGAUGAUGCGGCAUUGAAAGGAUUCAGCGCCGUCCGCAAUGUAAGGCCAGGAACCGAAGACGAAGGUUGUGCCUGCCUCAAAAGUGAACGCAGGCUUGAUGAUGACUGAUGCCAUCAAUCUCGUGCGGAGAAACUCAGCGACUUCCCCUACCUGGCACGCCAGCUGUCGGUGUUUUGGACCGGCAACCCGCCUAGGGAGUACCCAAGGUGGUCUUUUGUGCGGUGGGUGUCGUCGAGAAUCAAGGAGUUGAUAGUGACGCAAGGAACACGAUUUAGGUAGGUUCGGGCCGCUAGAUCGCGUAAUACCCUAUGUCCCAUGUGUUGGUUGUAUUGAUCUUGUUCUUCGUUGUUUGGAGGGGGUCCUUGCCCGCCCUUUUAUAGUCGAGGGAGCAGGGUUACAGGGUGGAUUGUGUAUGAGUCCUAGUCAAGUACGUUUACAGAGUCCUACUCUAACUCGGUAGAGUAGUUUCCUUUUGACCCGACUAGUCUUCGGGGAGUCCAUGAAGCCUACGUACCCUGCAGAGUAGUCUUCAUGUUCGAGUAGGUUCUUGGUAUGUUCCCUUGAGUGGGUCCGUACAAGUCUUCUGGUGGGCCUGGGGGUGCCUAGCCGACAGCUAGGGUUUGGGACCCCGCCGCCGCUUUCUAUCUGGCGAGACCAAGCGAGGUGAAGAGAUUUGGAGGUCAAGCGAAGUUCCUCCGUAAGGUACACCCAUCAACCACAGACUUGAGGUCUUUUGUUGAAGCAUUCAAAUCUAGGAAGAUGGAGAGGAGAUUUCAGCAGUCCCAUGACGGUAGAGAUGGUAGAGAUUUGGGGCGUGAUAGUAGAGGUAUGAAUCGAGAAGGAAGAGGGGAAGAAGAGUACCGUGGUGCUCGAGAGCAAUGGUUGGGAGAGAUGAGAGAGGCAGUUUUGGUGGACUUGAAUCAAGAAGAGAAAGUUUCAAGGCUCCAAUGAAGGAGCAACGCGGAUUCUGGGAUGAACUUGGGGAGACAUAUAGGAAAGGUUAAGCUAGCAUCAAACACCAAGGGGAACCUGGAGAAGGGAGAGAUGUGAGACAGGUGACUAAGGGAGACCUGCGAUAAAAGCUUAACUACGAACAAGAAGAACGCAAGAGAAUGGCGACAUAGAACCCUCAGUAGAAUCAUUUUCUGCCAUGCAGACUUUACAAGAAGAGAAGAGAUGAAUAGAUAUCCACGAAGAUUAGGUAAAGAUGUAACCAAUGAUAGCCAAGCAGCAAGUAUGACGUGCUACAACUAUCAUCAGGUUGGUCACCAUAAGUCCCAAUGUCCAAAUCCUUCCUUCUGCUAUGCCUGCAAACAAUCUGGUCACAUAGAUACAAAGUGUCCUAGUACCAAAACCAAUAAGGGUAUGAAGUUGUGUGGUUUUGGGAUGCCUGGCCAAUUUUUCUGUAGCCUAAUUGUCCCUGAGGAGCAGGUAGAGAUUGAUAAUGCAAUUAGAGCUAUUGUCAUAAUGCUGGAGGGUAGAGGUAAGAAAUUCAGAAUCAGUACUGAACUGAAGUAUCUAGCAGAUGCAGAUUGGGACUGGCAGGUAAAGAGACUAACCUCCAACACCUUUCUAGUCACAGUCCCAUCCAUGGCAGUGCUGAACCUCUUGCGAAAUAUAGGGAGAAUCAGGUUCACAUGUCUUGAUAUGGUUGCAACUGUUGAGGAGACCAAAAUGGACCCUGAUUCCUUUGCUACCUUAGAAACUAUUUGGGUGAAAGCAGUUGGAAUACCCAAGGUGGCUAGGAAAGAAUCUUAUGUAAUGGAGCUGGCCUACCUAGUUAGAGACCCAUAGGAGGUUCACAUAGAGUCACUGAAUUGGAAAGAGGUAAGGGUGAAAGUAUCCUGUAAAGACCUGACACAUAUUAACGGUACUUCUGAAGUGUACAUCAAUAAGCAAGGGCAUAGGAUCACCUGAUCUAUGGUGGGCAAAGGACCAAUCAAACCAACCCGAGGACCUGAUGAUAAGAUGGACGAUGAUGGUGAUAUCACAGAUGAGGAAGAACCGACUCACAAGACAGCUACGGAUCCUGAUGGAGUCAAUCUUAAAAUCAGGAGCUCCCCAACCCAGAAGGAUUCAGAACCAUCUAACACAACAAAGGAGGUGGGUCAAACCAAAGGAAAACAACUGACCUUGGUUCAGGAGGAGGCAGACAAUGUGGAAGCCGGUAGACAGCAUAGUGAGGUGCUAGUAGGAGGAGGAAAUAUGGAAAGAGAGAUACAACUGCCAAAGGAAACUGUGGCGGAACCGCCCAUUUUAAACUGGCUUAAGUGCACCUAAUCGCUAUCAGAACAGCAAUUAUCCGAAACACACUUAAAACAGUGUAAGUCCGGUAGUCUGUCGAGUGUCUCUAGGACUCCUCGAAACAUCCACGACGUGAUCCAUAGCCAUACAUCAGGAUCACUUCCACGAUGGGACCCCACGUGUGGCCUGAUCUCCAUGUGAGUUUCAGGCUAUGCCCCUGCCAUUCUCCAGCACGUCAAGUACGGGUACGAAAUAUUCCCGAUCAGAGAGCCAACUAACCUACUGGGCUUUACUGGUCCCAUACCCAGUAAGCAACCAGGUAAAAAUCCCUUAAUCAAAGGUUAACACAACGAUCGGGCCUUAACCAAAUUAACUUAGCAGACAGAACUACCAUUUCUAGCUUAUGUCUGCAUUUCCAAUUUCCAGGCUAUUUUCCUUGACUAAUAUGUAUGACCAAAUUUACUUUAGAGCUAAGCAACCAAGUGGCUAGAAGUAUCUAAGCAUUGCUAAGCAUAGGAUAGUUACUAAUUAGUGAACAAGUGGCAAAGAUGUCCUCUAAAUAAGGUAGGAUCAUGCACAAGAGUAGGUUUCAAUCAACUCCUAGACUUAAUGCAUUCAUAAAGAAAAUAACCAAUAACUAAUAACUGGACACAUGAAAUAAUAACUCCAAAAUAGAUAGGCAUAGAUGCACCGGGGCUUGCCUUGAUCCACAAAAAGGUUAGCAUCUUCCAACGAUCCUGCUUCGCAAGGGAUCAACUCAACAAUCUCCUCAAACUCUGAAGGUUCUUCAGAUAACUCCAAGAAUUCCACUUCUAGAGCUUCAGUGUCUACGAUUUAGUACAUGCAGGAGUUAGAGAUGCAAACUUUUAAACACAUGACUAUACAACUUUCCUUCAUGAUAAAGUUGCAAGCCAACAAGUGACCAACCCAUCUUCAUGAUAAAGUUGCAAGCCAACACUAAACUACCCAUAAAGAUUAACCCAAAAUUUUUUUAAUUUCUUUACUAACCUACCUUAAGCCCUUUUCUUUUAUUUUAGAAAAGCAGUAUAAAUAGUUUCUAAUCUCAAAACUUAAUUCCUAUGAUUUAAUAAUAAUUUGUGAAUAAGAAAAUAUUAUUCAAAAUUUUAUGCAUUUAAUAAAGGUUUAGCAUUUAUCUAAAUACCUUAAUCAAAAGGCAUUAAAUAAAUACCUAAAAUUUUAUUACCUUUCCUUGGGUUUAAGAAUUUUAAUGCAUAAAGGAAAAUAAAACAAUCCUAAUAAAAUUGGUUUUACUAUUUUUGGACAUUUUUAGAAUUUCUAAUGAACUAAACAGUGAUAAACGAUUUUAAGCUAUUAUUUGUUAAAAGGAAAACUUAUGAUUAUCCAAACCCCCCUAAGAAACUCUUCUCACGCACCCUCGCUCUACCCCUCUCUCACUGCUUCGCGGGCCCGGUCAGCACACAGUACCCCUGGCCUUGACCGUGGGUACCGGCGCGGGUACGCGCCUCAACUCGCCGGCGGCGAGGUCUCCGGCGACGGUGACUUGCUGGCUCGACUCGCCUCGACGACGCACACACCGGUGGUGACGCUGAGGUGGCUCGACCGAAGUCGAUGGCGAACAGCGGCGGAACGGGCGGCGCUAGGGUUCUUCCGGCGGGCGGCUCAACGGCAGCAACUCCACGACAACAAGCUUGCGCAGCAGCUUCGCCUCGACCUUGGACACACGAAGCUCACCCAAAUCAGGGCGUUCCAUGGCCAGGGUAUAAAGCUCCACUAUGGCGGCCAUGGCGGCGACGGACACACACGGCGGCGACGGCGUUCCAGCCAACCUGGCCAUGCUUUAAGUCAACGAGCGGCCUCAACACCAUCCUUGGCUCACGAGAAGCUCACUUGAGCCCUUACCUAGUGACCCCAGCCCCAGUAACCAAGACCUGCACGGUGGCGGUUCUUACCAGAACGAAGUAGCAGCCGGGCUUAAGGAAGACGACGAUGACGGAGUGCUACGGUGGAGGGAGUGGAGUGGUGGCUUGCUGAGCAUGUAUAGGAGCUUCAAGCGGAGCUUUGAGUGGGCGAAAUCGAGGAGAGGAGCGCCAGAGCGGUGGUUUCGGCCGGCGGCGGUGCUACUCGAUUGGCUCAGCUUGCGACGGUGAAAAAUAGCAGGGUGAAACGGAGGAGGGCGAGAGCAGUAGAAGUAUGAGUUUUUACUGCUCCUAUGACAACCACGUCGGUGAGCUCCAGGGUGCGUGGAUACGGAUGUGGCUUGCGAGUUGCGCUGGCCGGCAUGCACAGGUGGCCGGCGGUGGCACGGCUCUGUGCCUGGACUCGACCUCUGUUAUUAACACAUGCGCACACUCAAAUUCUUCAAAGUUCAGAGGCUUAAAACUCCAAUAUCCCCAAUGUGACUCGUGAAGAUCCUUUAAGCAAACUCGUAGUGCAAACCAAGCACUUCAAUUGAUAGAUUGGCCUUAAACCAAAACAACUAAUCUGAGACCCUGAAUCUGAAGCUCCAAGAUUCGGGCUGAAACGACCAUUUAACUGAAUCAGACAAUUUAGUUUUGUCAGACAUAAGAACAGGGCCAUUUGCCCAAUUUUAGGCUCAAUUAAAAUAGCUUAAACUUGAUCCAUAGCAUCCAUCAUUUAUCCUUCUUUGUUCUACAACUAACCAAGGUUCCAUUUUGCACCUGAGCCCAUAUAUCUUCUACAAUGGAUUUCUCAGAAAUUUGCACCAAAAAUGGUAAAGUCACUCUACUUUCAGACUUAAGCAAAAAUUGCACCAGCAGCAAUUCUAGUCUGUUACUUGCUCACCUUAAGCUUCAAUUUAUAUUGACUCCUUUACCUUCCUUGGCCAACAAAACAUUCCAAACUCCCUUUAGCAAAGGUAGAGGAAAUCUAAAGUUCUACCUUUCAUAGAUUUACAAUUUUGACUGAAUCUCACUCCUUUCUUGUGAAAAGCAUCUAUAAAUUUUUUCUAAAUAUGGAACUUAAACUUAAACUAAACCUCCUCCUUUUGAAACCUUAUUACAUCUCCUUCAAAUUCCCAGCCAAUCAAGGGGAAUUUCUUUCUGAACCUGGCUAUUGUUUUGCCUCAUUUUAACAGCUAAGGCUUCGACAGCUUACCUUCAGAUCGACUUUGUGGCUGGAAUUCAAUAGAGGCUUGAUGAGGACCCUUAAACAAAGUUGUAGGAAAUUUUAGUGACUCCCUUUGCUACACUUGAAGUUCCUGCUGAUUUCGACCCUAAGGGUUCAAAAAAAAUUUUCCCAACCCAACUGUUACAGGAUUGCCAAUUUUCUAAACUAAAAGUUCAAAAGGUGGUUACUCUAUUUUCUGCACUCAAACUCUCAAAACACCCUUUAUAGAAGUUGUAGAGGACCUAUUCCUCUACAUUUUUCUUAUUCACCCGAAAAGUCAAAUCCUCCUUUUUUCCCCUCCAAUUUUAGCCCUGAAGCUGGCUACCUUUGUUUUGCCCUUUACUGAACUGGACUUGCAUUAGUUAGCUGUUCUUCUAAACAGAACAGUAGCACUUGCUCCAAAUUAAUCUUGAAUUUCCACUUGACACUUCAGAUGCCAACCAUUUCAUGCCAAACUUAGAGAUCAUGUUAAGCUUGAUAUAAAAGUUCCAUUUUGUCCAUAAAACCAAAGGUCCAUAUAGGAUUUCUUCAAAAUCUCUUGAAUCAAAAUUCGUUCCUUUUAGUAUUGUUUUUCAUAGGCAAUCAUUCCUAUUUUCAAGAGCAUCCUUCAUUUUGAUUUUUGGACAAUUUAAGGUCCAUUUGCUUCUCAAAUGGUCUCUUGAAGUUCCAAUUGUCCAUAAAGUCCAAAUCCACGCACUUGUCAUCUUUUUUUAAAUUUGAAUCUCAAUUUGACGUUUUUGUCAACAUUUGACUUAAAGUUGACUUUUGCCAAUAAACUCUCUUAGCACCCAAAUUUUGUUCUCAACCUCAAAAUAACCAUUCUUAAACCAUUUUAACACCUGGUUGUUACAGAAACCACCCUGGAGGCCCCCGAGAUGGAGAAGACAUCCGUAUCUGAAAUUAGCAAAAAUCUUGCAAAUGAGGUGGGGACAAAACUUGAUGACACCAUAAUUACCUCAGACAAAGAGAAGUGCGUAGGUGAAGUAGAGAUAUGAAAGAAAGAUAUGAACUCCAAGCAUAGGUCUGGGAGGAAAGGCGGAGAUGAAAUUUCUGCGUAGGAGAAUCCUACCCAAGCAAAAAGAUGCCUAGAAGUUGGACGUUCGUACCUCCCGCCGGAAGCCACAAGAUUUAGUUCAAGGAAGCCCAAACAUGGUGUACCAGCACUGAAGAUGGCGGAACAACUGCAGAUGAAGAAGAACCUUGAAGUACCAGGUAACCCCAUGAAACACACCCCAUCCUCUUUACAAGAUAUUGAAUCUCCUGAACUCCUUACUGUUGUGGAAAAUUGUGGUUUAGUGCUAGGUUGUGACACUAGUUCUAGGGAUUUAAAUGUUUCUUUGAUAAAGGCUAAAGAACUUGCACAAACAGCUUUGAGUAAGGCAACGAAGAAGUUCAAAAUCAAAGAGGUAGAGCAGGCUGAGAAGAUGAGAGAGAACACCACAGACCUUGCACAUGAGAAGAGUGUUGAUGAUCAAACGGUAGAGGUAGCACCGCACAAGACAACACAUCCUCCCACCUUUUGAGGGGGAGGAGGACAAACAAGAAGAGUUGGUUUUAUCAAAGAGGAUUCUUUUUGGAAUAUUAGAGGCCUAGGGAAAGUAGUGAGGAGAAGACAACUAGUAGAGUUAUGCCAACAACACAACUUUGACUUUAUAUGUCUACAGGAAACUAUCAAAGAGUCAAACACUUCAAGAGAACUGAACAACUUUAGUAGAGGUUUUGAGUUUCACUGGUUCUAGGCGCCUCCUAGAGGGCACUCCGGGGGAUUGCUCAUUGAUGUCUGGAAGGAAACAGUAGAGGUUCUUCAGGAAGUGGCGAGUUCUUUCAAAGUGUAACGGUGAAGAUGAAAGAUGAUAACUUUAAAUGGGAAUUGGUUAACGUAUAUGACCCAGUACAAGAUGAGAGAAAAGACUACUUCUUGCAGGAAAUUCAAAGCAAAAUUCAAAACUGCCAAUUUCCAAUACUGAUUGGAGGCGAUUUUAACAUGGUCAGGAGAGUGGAGGAUAAGUCGACGGGGAAUGUGAAUGUUAGGUUCAUGAAUGCUUUCAACGGUUUGAUCUUGGAUACUGAGAUGAGGGAGCUUCAUAGAAGCGGUAGCAGAUACACAUGGUCAAAUAUGCAAACCACCCCUAUACAGAACGUGUUGGACAUGAUUUUUGUGACCAACCCUUGGGAGGACAGAUACAAUCUGGUGAAAGUGCAAGUGAUAACCAGGAUUGGGUCGGAUCAUAAUCCAUUGUUCCUAAACAUAAGCAGUGAGCAGGUGCCACACCCCAGAUAUUUGAAGUUUUACCCCAGUUGGCUUAAACAAUCUGGCUUCAGGAAUUGGGUGAUAGAGAGUUGCCCCGACAAAUACAAACAUAAAGUGCUUGACCAUUGGCAUAUAGUUUCGAGGAAGUUGAGGAGUGCUAUGAAAGGGUGGGGGAUGAACUAUGAGAGUGAGCGAAAGAAAUAGGAACAUAAUAUGUUGAGAGAGAUUCGAUGGAUUGACGAGCAAGCUGAAUAAAAGGUGCUAACUAGCCAAGAGUGGGAGCUUAGAUAUAACUUGGAGAGAGAGCUCCUAGACAUAUACGCAACUGAAGAGCUAUAUUGGUAGAAAAGAGGAGGGGAACGAUGGCUCCUGGAAAGAGACAACAACACUGCAUAUUUGCAUAAAUGUGCUAAUGGAAGAAGAAGAAAAACAACAAUCAAUCCUUAGAAAAUGGAGAAGAGAUAAUCACAGAUAUGAGAGAGCUGAGAGAGCAUGUCACUGAAUACUAUAAGAAACUCUUUGGACAUGAAGAGGUAGCUGAUAUACACUUGGCGGGAGAUAUGUGGUUAGCAGACAAACAGGUGUCUGCAGAGGAUAAUUAGGAACUAACCAAGAGUUUCACCUUAGAAGAACUUGAUCAAGCGAUGAAAGAAAUAAAAAAACAGCACGACCUUGGGUCCGGAUGGAUUCUUUGUAGAGUUCUUUAAGGAAUUUUGUGCUUUGAUUUGGGAAGACAUCAAGGGAAUGUUAGAUGAUAUGUGGGAAGGUACCCUGGACCUGUGGCGCCUAAACUAUGGAGUGAUUAUCCUAAUACCGAAACUGAAAUUACCAAACAACAUUAAACAAUUUAGACCUAUCUGCCUUUUGAAUGUCAUCUACAAAAUCAUUACAAAGGUCCUAACCAAAAGACUCACAAAAAUUGCUCCCAAGAUCAUCAGCAGAAAUCAAACUGCCUUCAUCCCAGGACGAAAUAUUCUAGAUGGAGUGGAGAUCCUUCAAGAAGUUCUGCAUGAGCUGAAAACUAGACAAGAAGAGGGGUUAUCCUUAAACUAGACUUUGAGAAAGGGUAUGAUAGAGUUAGUUGGCAAUUUCUGAAAAAGGUGCUGAUCAGGAAAGGUUUCUCACCACAGUGGACUAACUGGAUUAUGCAGGUGGUCAGAGGGGGGAGAGUGGCAAUUGACAUUAACGGUGAAAGAGGAGAAUUCUUUAGGAGCUAUAAAGGCCUGAGGCAGGAGAUCCACUAUCUCCUUUACUUUUCAACCUUGUGGGAGAUGCUUUGUCAGUGAUGUUGAGCUCAGCACGUAGAGCUGGAGAUGUCCAGGGGCUGGUGCCGCACAGAGAGAAUUCCCUAUUUGACACCAGAAAAAUGACCCGUUCUUUUCUUAGCCCUCAAAAAAUUUUCGUUCCCUAUUUGAGACCGAGUUCAACUUUCAUUCCUUAUACCACAUUCUGUUGGAUUUUCCAUCCGUGAACCGUUAAGUGCCCUGUGAAAAGACGAUUUUGCCCCUGUGGGCCCCACCACCCUUCUCCCUCCUCUCCUCUCCUUCUUCCUCUGCUCCACACCGGCCUGCCGGCUGUCGUGCCCCCGUGGGAGGCCGAACCCCGUCGGCCACCGGGCCCCUUGGGAGGCCGCGCGCCACCGUGGGAGGCCGCUCGCCGCCGACCGCCGUGCUCCUCUUCGCAACUGCUCCUGCUGUCGUUCCUACUCUCCGGUGCAGCGGCGACGGGGACGACAAUGCGGGCGCCGGCGGGGUCAAGGUUUGGGUCCUCGUGCUCCUCUUCGCACUGCUUCUGCUGUCGUUCCUACCCUUCGCGGUGCGGCGCGGCGGCCCGACGCCCUGGGCUGGAGGCAGCAACGGCAGAGGAAGAGGAGGGGAAGGCGGGGGCCAAGGGUACCACCGAGGCGGGAUCAGCUUCAAAAGCGGCUGGGACAUCGUCAACCUCUACCUCGUGCUCUUCGCCAUCCUCGACGGCCUCCUCGGCUGCGACGGCGGUGGCAACAGGAAGUCCUCCUCCGGCGCGGCUUCGGCGGUGGCGGCGGCCAAGGGCAACCAGCAGGAUGUGUCUCUCGCGCAGCCCGCGGGGGACGUCACGGCGGCGAGGAGGGACUCGGGGGACUAGGGGGAGGGACUCGGCCUGUUCUUGCCCCGCACCAACAACCAUGCGCACACGGCGGGGAUCCGAUGGAUGAAGAGUAGCCGGCGGCACGCGGCCUCCCAUGGGGGGCGCGGCCUCCCAAGGGUCCUGGCGGCCGACGGGGCUCGACCUCCCACGGGGGCACGACAGCCGGCAGGCCGGUGUGGAGUAGAGGGAGAAGGAGAGGAGAGGAGGGAGAAGGGCGGUGGGGCCCAUAGGGGUAAAAUUAUCUUUUCACGGGGCAUUUAACGGUUCAUGGAUGGAAAAUCCAACAGUGUCAUAUAAGGAAUGAAAGUUGAACUCGGUAUUAAAUAGGGACCAAAAUUUUCUGAGGGCCAAGAAAGGAACGGGUCAUUUUCCUGGUGUCAAAUAGGGAAUUCUCUCUUUUAUUAGUUGCAUUGGACAUGGCACGGCAAAAUGCUAAAGCAACAUAUUGCACUUUGGUUAGGUAGGAUUAUAAGAAUAUGAUCAGUAGUUUUGUACAUAUAUGAUAAGUUCAAUUGCGAUACAUUUUAGUAUAAAUGGAAGAAAAUAAUGUCCCAGAAUAGAGAAGAAAAUCUUCCUACCGAGCAAAAUAUUUACAUUUGGCCAAGAUACUCAAUGAGAGAGUUGAAAUUGAUUUUCUAUUAGAAGAGUAAUUUUUUAAAAUUUAAAUGUGUAAAAAACUCAAACAUCUUCAUAAGUUUUUUCUAAAAAAAUCUAGACAUAUUUUGGGAUAAGAGGAAUUCUCCCACAAGAAAAUAAGCAGGGCUCGCGAAAACAAGCUCUCCAAACAUCCAAUAAAUCUAUUAUAAAGAGGUUUCAUAAAUUUUAUAUAAAUUCAUAUAAACCACGUCAUCAAUGACAAGAAAUUUCUGUCUUAAAACUGCUUCGACCAGUUAAGGGAAAAAUAAACAAAAUUGAAAGUUGAGGUACCCACGCUAAGGUCAGUCUCAAUGCACAAUUUUAUAGGGAUAAAACUUCUCUCUCGUUUCAUAAAAUUAUAUCAUUUCUCUCCACAUAAAAAUCUUGCUAAAUCAGCAAAAUUGCUAAUAUGAUAUAGAAAUUAAUACUGAUGAAACUCCCGUUGAGACUAACCUAAAAAAUCCUAGGGUUGAGGGAUAAAAAAAAUAGGUAAAUCGAUGAGUUAUUCCUUUUUAACUUUUGCAUCUCCAAACAGUUCAGUUUGUCUACCAUCUGUUUGGCUGGCACAAACUUUGCUUAAAUUACGAAAGGAAAAGAAAAAGAAAAGUCUCGAGAAUUCAGAUCGACGUGGGAUUCCGCACCGUAAAACCACUUGCAACGCCAGGUUGAGGACGAGCCGCAGAGCAGAGACGCGCAGCGAAGCAGCAGCGGCGACAAAGCCCUCCGUCGGUCGCGUCCGCCGCCGCCGCCGCCGCUCGCGGCCCGCCGCUGCCGAUCGGACCCCGUCGAGCCGAGUCGGUAAACCCUUCCCAAAUCUCCAACCGUGUCACCUGUCUGAUCCACAUCCGGACCCGAUCUGAGAGUCCCCGCGCCUCCGCAGCGCUCUCCCCCGAUCCGGGCGGCCGCGGCGCCGGCAUGGCGCGGUUCGAGGUCAACGGCAAGUCGGUGCAGGGCGUGGACCUACUGCGGCGGCGGUACUGGGCGUCGCGCCUCGACUUCUGGCCCUUCCUCGCGCUUUACGCGCUCUGGUUGCUGCUCGCCGUCCCUGCGCUCGACUUCACUGACGCGCUCAUCGUCCUCGCCGCGCUCUCCACCGCCCACAUCCUCGCCUUCCUCUUCACCGCCUGGUCCGUCGACUUCCGGGCCUUCGUCGGGUACUCCAAGGCGAGUUGUCUCACAUGCUCCCAAACCCAUCUAGCCAGCAUUAUCCGUAUCUGUUUGGGCGCUUUAGAUUUUAGGUAUGAACGACUUAGCUUGGUGAUGGUGCAGGUCAAUGAUAUCCAUGCGGCUAAUGCGUGCAAGGUGACUCCUGCAAAGUUCUCUGGGUCCAAGGAGAUUGUGCCCCUGCACAUUCAGAAAAAUGUGAGUGCAACGUUGCUUAGAGCUGGUGGUGGCUGAGAACUUCUGUUACUAAGCUUGUUGAUUGGGUGUCUGUUCAGGUGGCCUCGUCUUCAGCUGCAGGAGAGACAGAGGAGAUUUACUUUGACUUCCGGAAGCAGAGGUUCAUCUUUUCGGCGGAGAAAGAUAACUUUUUAAAACUCCGGUACCCAACGAAGGAGCCGAUUGGCAAUUAUGCCAAGGGCACUGGUUUUGGAACUGAGGCCAAGAUUAACACUGCUGUGGACAAGUGGGGUAGAAACAUGUAAGAUGCAUCUUUGCUCCCUAUUUCAUACUGGGCUUUCAGUAGUUUAGCUAGAGAGCUUUUAACUGGUAGUUGCAUAAUCGAUGAUCACAUAUACCAAACAUGAGAAACACAAGUGUAGUUUAAGAUGGUAGGGGACUCUAGUUUAAUGUUUUAAACGUGUGCAAUUGGAGAUAAAAUUUGCUCCAUCCAGCACUACACCUUAAGGAAAUUCACAACUCAAACUUAUGGGGAAUCCAUCAUGAGCAUGGAGGAAUAUUGCUGACCUGCAAUGCACAUUCAUAUCUCAUAUCAUCCGAAGUAGAUAGACUUGAACCAAUUGUGGACUAGCUUUAAAUGAGUAGCUGAAGGGAUUUGUGCAUACAUGGAUAUGCCAACAUAACUUGUUACUAUAUUGAAUUGUAUCAUACUUCAUCCAAUCACAAGUACUUGUCUUUUUGCACAAACUUACCAUCAAACAUUUGAAUAUUUUGGCUAUUAAUAUUCCUAGUAUUUAGAUUGGAAUCUUGAAAUCAUCUGUGUAAUGGAAAGGGCACUGACAAUGUUACAAUCUUAUUGGAUUUUAUAAAUAAGUACAAUAUAUUCUAAUUUAGUGGUCAAUGUAUUUUGGAGACCGUGCUAUUGCCAAAAUGGCAUGUAUUUGUGAUUCUGGACACCAGAGGGAGUAUUAUAUGGUAAUAUCUGCAACAUGUAACUGUUUUAAGUCCAUAUUAUAAGGAAUGGAAUGCAAAGGAUCUAUGCUGCAGAGAUGAUCUCUUAGUAGAACCAAAGUGAGAACAUGCUAGGUGUCUAGGGAAUUUUAAUUAUGGACUGUGGACGUGGGCGCUUCUGAUUAUGUAUGUAUCAAACAACCAAUAUACUAGUGACAUUUGCAUCAAAUUGAACAUAAUAGGUUUGCAAAUAUGGAAGCUUUUACAAUACAUUCAUCUGUUUAACAGCAAUGGCUAACAAUAUUUAUUUUUCCUUUCUAGAUUUGAGUAUCCGCAGCCCACAUUUCAGAAAUUAAUGAAGGAGCAAAUCAUGGAACCAUUUUUUGUUUUCCAGGUUACUUUCUUGUAUCUCUAUACUUAUUAUUUUACCCACUUAUAUAUCUUUGAUGACAUUGAGCUUCUUUAUACAGGUUUUCUGCAUUGCUCUUUGGUGCCUGGAUGCGUAUUGGUACUACAGUUUGUUUACACUUUUCAUGCUUUUCCUGUUUGAGUCUACUAUGGCAAAGAAUAGACUGAAGACAUUGACUGAGCUAAGACGUGUGAAAGUUGAUAAUCAGAUUGUGUUGACCUAUAGAUGUGGAAAGUAUGGCUCCUUCAUUUGAUUGAAUGCUUAUCUGUUUCAGCAUAUAUAUACCAUCCUAAUUGUGAGUUCUUUCUUCAGAUGGGUUAAAAUCCCUGGAACUGAACUACUACCUGGAGAUAUUGUGUCAAUAGGCCGCUCAACUAGUGGUGAAGAUAGAUCUGUACCAGCAGAUAUGCUAUUGUUAGCUGGGUCUGCAAUAGUAAAUGAAGCUAUUCUUACAGGAGAAUCUACUCCACAGUGGAAGGUUUUCUUUCGUUUUCCCUUGGAUGUAGUUAAUUAGAAAAAUCUCGUUUCGUCUUGGAUAAUUUGCACUUUCAACUCUAAUUUUUAAAAUUCCAAUGUGGAUGUGGUUCUAGUUUGUGAAGAGUCAUUUACUGGACUAUUACAGUAUGCCUUUCUUGUGUUGCACAUUCUGUUUAAAUACUUUACAACAGUCAACAAGUUUGCUUGCAUAUUAAACCAAAAAAUCAAUGCUUUACAUGUAACUCAUAAAAUUGUCAACCAAGUUACUGGAGAGCAUCUGUUCCAAGGAUAUAAGUACACUGGAUUCAGCAAUAAAAUUUAGAACUCAAAUUUUUAAAAAAGUGUUACUUGAUGAAGAAGAUAUAUGUUAGUUUCUAAGCAAUAUUUUUAUGUUGCCCUUACUGCCCACCUUAGGAGGAGACUACAUAUGGAUUGUCACAAAGCUACCACAAUGGUUGGGAUAUCAUCAGAAUGGCUGGAAUUACCUGGUGUUUUUAGUGUUAGAACAAAGCCAUUUUUAAAUUCAAUUGAUUUUGCUAUCUGUAGUUAAUAGUUCAGUCAUUCUGGCUAGAAACGGAUGAAAUUAACAAUGUGCUUCAAAAUACAUUUUCUUUGUUAUUUCCAAAACUCUAUUGUCUAACUUCCCUGCUCCUAUUCUUGUGCCUUAACUAUAUAAUAUAGGCUCUGAUCAUACAUCUACUGAUAGGUUUCAAUUGCUGGCCGUGGUCCUGAGGAAAUGCUAUCUAUAAAGCGGGAUAAGAACCAUAUCCUAUUUGGUGGCACUAAGAUAUUGCAACACACUGCAGAUAAGGUAGAUACUUCUCCUAUGCCAGCUAUCUGUGCCCAAUAGAUUUCUACCAUUUCUGACAUUUUUUUACUUUGUACAGAGUGUAAAUCUUCGAGCACCUGAUGGUGGCUGCGUAGCCUUUGUAUUGAGAACUGGAUUUGAGACUAGCCAAGGGAAAUUGAUGAGGACUAUCUUAUUUUCAACUGAGAGGGUAACAUCCUUUUCUUCAGUAAUGAAAUUAACUUGUAUGAAGGCAUGAAAUUCUGACACUCACAUUUAAUGACAUAACAGGUUACUGCAAACAACAAGGAAAGUGGCUUGUUUAUACUCUUUUUGCUCUUCUUUGCAAUUAUCGCGUCUGGUUACGUGCUUAUGAAGGUGAAACCAGAAACCACUAUCUAUACAGUGAAUCAUUGUUUUUAUCCUACCAUUCAUUGCCUCUUCUUGUCUUAUAUUAAACUAUCGUUUUAUCUUGUGUAUAGGGACUGGAGGACCCGACAAGGAGCAGAUACAAACUUUUAUUGAGUUGUUCGUUGAUUAUUACUUCUGUGAUACCCCCUGAACUGCCAAUGGAGCUCUCCAUAGCAGUCAACACAUCUUUAAUUGCAUUAGCUCGGCGUGGUAUUUUCUGCACAGAGCCAUUCAGAAUACCAUUUGCUGGGAAGGUUAGUAAGGAAACCUUACCAAGUCACUGUUUCUUCUUUCUUUACAAGCUUUUAAGAGUUCUCUUUGAUCAGGUUGACAUAUGCUGCUUCGACAAGACGGGGACUCUGACAUCAGAUGAUAUGGUAAGUUAUGUGCUUAGUUUAUUUCCUUAUUUAAGCCAAUAUGAGGGGGGGUUCGAAAGCUGACCAACCCUAUUUUUCAGGAGUUCCAAGGUAUUGUUACUUUGGAAGGUGAUGAUGAGCUAAUAUCUGAUGCAAAUAAGCUGCCCCUCCGAACACAAGAAGUGCUUUCCAGUUGCCAUGCGUUGGUAUUUGUUGACAACAAACUGGUAUGGUGCAAUUAGCUCAUAACUUACUGCUUACAUGAAGGUGUGAAGUAUAAUCUAGUAACCAUGAAAGUAUAUUCCUUUUUGAUUGAUGGUAUCUUGCACCUUAAUAAAGGUUGGCGAUCCCCUUGAAAAGGCUGCUAUAAAGGGCAUAGACUGGAUCUACACAUCUGAUGAGAAGGCCAUGUCUAAAAAGUAAGCUGUCAUAUGCAUGAAUAUGUGUGCAAGUGAGCUUAUGAUUGAGUGAACCUGAUGUUCAUGGAUUUCAAUGUCAUUGUUUUAUCACCAAGAAAGAAUAUCUUGGGCGGUUAUUACUCCUUUCCUUGCUCCACUGCAAGCAUUAGAUAUUACAUUUAUGUGUUAAUUCGUGUUCUCUUUGUUGCAGGCCAGGUGGUCAACCUGUACAGAUUGUGCACAGGUUCCAUUUUGCUUCUCACUUGAAGAGAAUGUCUGUUGUCGUCCGUAUUCAGGAUAAGUUUUAUGCUUUCAUUAAGGUAAAGAAUUCUGAGAUCCAAUCAAAUUUGUCUCAAGGUGUGACAUGAAUUGUUAACAACUUGUUAAUAUAGGCUUCCUAUUUGGGAUGUUUCCGAACCUGUAUCUUUUUGCCUUGAUGUAAAUGUGAUCAUAAUUGUAACAUAAUAAUAAUAUAUGGUAUUCUCUAUUGUUCCAAGCCACCUGUAUCUUGGAGAAAAGAGAACCAAAAUGAUCUUCAUAGGGUUUUGAUACAUUGAAUAUUACCGUUGGAGGUUAAGACAUCUUUAUUCCAUAUCGUUUGAAUGGAAAAGGGUGGAAAUCUUCAUCAGGACACUCCCUAAGGAUUAUCCACCUGAUCUGUUUAGAGUUCAAAGCUGAGUUCACCUUGGUCACCCACAGUUCGAAGCAGUCUUUGAAAAGGCUUAUGUCAAAUUGACUGUAUUCUCUAUUAGAGUAACUAUGUUUUAUAUAUACUUUUAUUUAUUUGCUUGUGUAGAAACUCCAAUGGGACCCCCCCUCUUAUUUCAACUAACUAAAGGAAAUCAUUCUCUAGAAUUUAACCAAAACUAAAAGUUGUUUUGGCAUAGGCACCUGAGUGAACUAGUGAUACAACCAAUGCUCCAUUUAAAACUACUGUUGAAUCACUCUACGUUAGAAUAGCUGUGCUGUCAUUCAAUAGUUCUGAGCAGUACCUUUCUUUUAACAGGGAAAAUAUUGUAGCUGGCAAAAAUGUAAAAUCACAAUAUUUCUUGAGUUUUAUAAUUCAGAAAUCAACCAUGAUAUGAAUUAAUUUUUAGUUGGCCCAUAAGAACUAGUCAGUCAUUUUUUCUGUGGUUGAGGAUGCUAUGAGAUUACUGUCAAUACCUUUUUCCAUAUCUUGAUUGAUUUGGUCUUCUUUUUUCUAGAUAUCUAUGUGUCUUAUACUUUGUGAUCUUCAGGGUGCACCAGAGACCAUCCAAGAGAGAUUAGUUGAUUUACCUGCUGCCUAUGUGGAGACAUACAAGAAAUACACGCGGCAGGGUUCUCGAGUCUUGGCUCUUGCAUAUAAACUGCUUCCUGAGAUGCCUGUAAGUUUCUGUUUUAUCAUGUCAUUUGCCUGUAGCCAUUCCCUACUGUUCUAUUAUUAUUUUGUCAGUGUACUUCCAUAAAUUUCCUGGGCGAGAACAAAGCAAAAAACUUAUUGAUUAAUUGAUGCAAAGGGAUCGUCCAAAUUUCAACUUUCCCAGCGUUGUGCUUUUGUGAUAAUCCAAUGAUGCUCCACUUGCGCGCAGCUUGUGGCUAGAUGAGAAGCAAUUAUUACUUACUGGAAAUUGGAGCCCUAUGUUUUUCUAUUAAUAACUUUGAUAAUGCUGAUUGGCUAGUUGAAAAGGUAGCUGUUAAAAUAAUUGUCGCUGUGCAAAAUGGGAUAUACAUUAAUAGGAAAUACAUCAUCAUCCGAUUUCAAAAUUAUCCUAUUUUAUGCAUUUGAUAUGUUUGACUCUUGUACAAGAUAUCCGUCACAUUGAGCUAAUUUAUUCUCGAAAGGCCAGAUAAUGGUACAUUUCGAAAUAAAAUACAUUUCCCAAGGUUUGUGGUUCACUGGCUUGGGCUCCAGAAGAUAGAUUUCACAAAGCAUAUUUCAUUGACUGCUUGCCUUAAGUGACUUUAAAUUGAGUUUAUCCCCUGUACGUACCUUGGGACUUUAUGGCUAUUUGCAUCCGUUCAUAUUCUUUUGUCUUUCUAUGAGAUGCUAACUGAUUAAAUAUUACCUGAAAUUACUCUCAAACAGAGUUUAUUAUCUGCCUGCGUUUAACUUAUUAACCUUUGAAUUUUACAGCUAUUUUUCUAUGAAAAGUGUAUCCGGUUAGAGUGACCUCUUGGUGUUUGAAUAACAGGUUAGUGAAGCUAGAAAUCUGGAAAGGGAUCAAGUAGAGAGCGACCUAACAUUUGCGGGUUUUGCGGUAUGAACUUUUCCCUCUUAUGCAUAAUUUUUUAUUUUGAAAUUCUCUGUUACUAAAGUUAGUUGACAUGUUUUUCUUAUGUGGCUGUGUUGGGUUGGACUCAGGUCUUCAAUUGCCCUAUAAGGAGCGACUCUGGUUCUGUCUUACAAGAACUGGGACAAUCUUCCCAUGACUUGGUAUAUCCUCCUAUUUAUCCUGUAACCAUUUAUGAUAAUAAAUUUCACUGUACUGGAAGUUUGAUUUCAUGCCAGUAAUGUGAUACAUAUAUACAAAGUAGUGCCCAAGGGUUGCAAACAUACUGUACUCAUAGCAGCAACCUGUGAAGAAUUGUAAAUGACAAUUUUCUGUUUUAUAUGAUUAAUGUACUUACUGGCUCCCUGAUGUUAUUAGGUCAUGAUCACUGGAGACCAAGCGUUGACUGCCUGCCAUGUUGCUAGCCAAGUACAUAUAUCUUCCAAACCUGUUUUGAUCUUGACACGGAUAAAGACUGGUGGUUUUGAGUGGGUUUCGCCAGAUGAAACUGAUAGAGCUCCUUACAGGUAACUGUUAAUAUGCAGUCUUUAGCAUUAUGGUUCUUUACUGGUUCUUUUCUAUUGAGUUCUUACCUCAUUUCUUUCCUGCAAAUCUUUACCCUGUUCCAGUGCAAGUCUUCAACAGAUAUUAUAUUGCUUGCUUUAUUACCCACUAUGCCACAAGCAUUGUGGCUUGGAAACUAGUUUUUUAGAAAGAUGAUAAUUGUGUCCAUUUGUCCAAUAAAAUGAUUAUUCUUCAACUUUUCCUCAAGUUGCAAGUAAAUAGUUUUUUUUGUGUUAAUAUCUCCGAAAUAUUGUUGAUAUAUUAAGUCUGUUGUUUAUGAUCUCAACUGGUGUUGUAACUACAUACAGUCAUGGUUUUCUUGUGUCCUGUUUGAUGUCCUGUAUAAUGUUUUGUAGUGCUGCGGAGGUCGCAGUGUUAUCAGAAUCACACGACCUUUGCAUUAAUGGGGACUGCUUUGAAAUGCUACAAAGUACUGAGGCUGUUCUCCAGGUUAUUCCUUAUGUGAAGGUAUGUGUGCACAGUUUACCUCCUCUGUACAGAAUAUGAAGGCUUUCAUUUUCGUGCUCAGCGGUUCUUUUAAUUGUCGUUCUUUUAGGUUUUUGCACGGGUUGCUCCAGAACAGAAAGAACUUGUACUGACUACAUUCAAAAGUGUUGGGAGGAUGACACUGAUGUGUGGAGAUGGAACCAAUGAUGUUGGUGCACUGAAGCAGGUGAUUACCUGUCUUGUAUCCCACUUAGUUUUGUUCAAUUUACAUAGAAAAAAAUACUUUUAAUUUCUCUGACUUGAUUUGACACAACAACAUAUUUUGGUUGUUACCCAUGCCAAAUUGUGUAGAGACUUUUCAGUUUUCACUACAAUUUUUUCCUUCCAUUUAUUUUUCUCGUUUUUAUUGAGAUGGCAUCAUGGUAAUACUUGCCACCUGAUUAUGUAAUAUUAGUAUAUUACCUCCGGUCGGAAAAAAAGAGUCAUGUUUGACAGGAUGGUUGAACUGGUGAUAAGCAAAAUCCCUAGGUCGGAACAACAUGUAUUUCCGGCUGGAGGGAGUAGAAUGUAACUGAAUGUUCUUUACACAUUUUAUUAAGAGGUGGCUUAUAUAUAUUAUAGCUUAUGCUGGAAGGAUGGCAGCACUUAUGGAAGAAAUUUGAGCCAGUAAUAUUUAUGUGAGUGGCAGAGGUCCAUGUUACUUGAAUACUAAUAUGCAGAUUGACCGAUAUUACCCUGGUGUUUUGUUCUUUUCUUAUUGUUGGAUACUGUGAUAACUAAAAUGCGGUAAUAGUGAACUUGGGGGCAACUGUAUCUUCUACAUGAUUUUGUUAGGCCUUUUAUUUUUCUAGUGGCGCUUUGAAUUUGUUUACUGGAAAGCAGCACUCCUUUUAUCCACCUUAUGAGAUUAUUUGAUGGAAAUCUGUUAUUUUUUCUCAUUCCUUUCAUGAUAUUCUUUCAGGCACAUGUUGGUAUAGCUCUUUUGAAUGCUGAACCAGUUCAGAAAGCCGACUCAAAAUCCAAAGCUGAAAGUAAAUCUGGGAAGUUGAAAAAACAGAAGGCUGCUAAUGAAGCAUCAUCACAAGUGACUCCAGCAACUAACAGUCCCGCUAAAGCAUCGAGCAGCCGCCCCUUGACUGCUGCUGAGAGGCAGCGAGAAAAGCUGCAGAAGAUGUUGGAUGAAAUGAAUGAUGAAAGUGAUGGCCGUUCGGCACCAAUUGUGAAGCUUGGGGAUGCUUCUAUGGCUUCACCUUUCACAGCAAAGCAUGCCUCUGUUGCUCCCACUCUUGACAUCAUCCGCCAGGGGAGAAGCACCCUAGUCACCACACUUCAAAUGUUCAAGAUUCUUGGACUCAACUGCCUUGCAACAGCAUACGUUCUCAGUGUCAUGUACCUGGAUGGUGUCAAACUCGGCGAUGUUCAGGCUACAAUAAGUGGUGUUUUCACUGCAGCCUUCUUCCUCUUCAUCUCCCAUGCUCGGCCACUUCAAACGCUGUCCGCAGAGCGGCCUCACCCUAACAUAUUCUGUGCAUAUGUGUUGCUCUCCAUUCUUGGCCAGUUUGCCAUGCACAUACUCUUCCUGAUCACAGCCGUCAAUGAAGCAUCCAAGCACAUGCCGGAGGAAUGCAUUGAGCCUGACUCGGACUUCCAUCCAAACCUUGUGAACACAGUUUCAUAUAUGGUGAACAUGAUGAUCCAGGUGGCAACCUUUGCUGUAAACUACAUGGGCCAUCCAUUCAACCAGAGCAUCUCCGAGAACAAGCCCUUCAAGUAUGCUUUGUACGGAGCGGUUGCUUUCUUCACAGUUAUCACGUCGGAUAUGUUCAGGGAUCUGAAUGACUACAUGAAACUGGAACCCUUGCCAGAAGGAAUGAGGGGCAAACUGAUGCUGUGGGCAAUGCUUAUGUUCUGCGGUUGCUACGGAUGGGAGCGGCUUCUACGAUGGGCGUUCCCAGGGAAGAUGCCAGCAUGGGAGAAGCGUCAGAAACAGGCAGUUGCAAACCUGGAGAAAAAGCACGACUAGAGUUUUCUCUUCCUUAUUGGUUCUCUGCACAAUUCAUUCUUUAUCCUUUACCCCUAAAUGGCCAUUUCUUACCAGGCACCAAUCUUGUCACUAGUGACUAGUCAACUGAUCAUAUUUUGGCAUAGCUGCAAUCUAAUCUGUAGCUUAGGGGAAUUUUGAGUGUGUAGGCCCUAAAGAUAGGAGGAUACAGGGUCAGCACUUUACAUACUUGUCAGGAUCAGAAAUUUCAGGUACUAUAUAUGUGUAUGCAAAUAUUAGAUGGCAUGAAUAUUGGUUGAUGUACAAUGCAAAAUACAGAUAACAUGUGUUAGGCUUUUACUGUUAAAGCGCUGAUAUUACUAGCCCAUUUGAGGCACAUCGCAGUAUCGAUUGUCCCAAACUUGUAUGCAAGAUCUCUUUCAUGGGCACAAGAAAGUUUCCUUUGUGAAGAUCUGUUUUGAAGGCAAGUGCCAGCAGACAGCACGGUAGUGGAUUGAUUGGUUGCAGACAGCACGGUAGUGGAUUGAUUGGUUGCAUACUGCAGUGCGAACUCGCAUAAGAGCAAGUUUAAUAAUGCAGCUAGCAAGCGGGCUGUAAGAUUUCUCUCAGCCUUUUCCUAGCCCACUUGUACAAUGGUUAGCUCUUCACCAUUAAUACAUGAUCCACAAGUCAUUCUCACAAAGUUUCUUGGUUCCUGUGCCCAAGUCGGCUGUAAGCUUGUAGUCCGCUUCUCCUCUCUCACCUCUUCUCUCUCCUCCACGUCAGCAUUCAGCUAGCUUACAGCCCUUUAUUAUACUUACUCUAAGCAGUUGCGCGUGCUCGUCUACUUGAAACUUGAAAGGCUUGGAGCUUGGUUAUGUGAUCCACUAUAGCAAAUUGCUCGAUAUCAUGGAUUCUCCUUUGGAAUCCCUUUUUUCUGCUCUGUUAAGAUAGAAGAAUGAUUUUUUUUCUUGGCGCAAAAUGGAAGUACAUCACAUUGUUCACUUCGUUUCACGUAUGAUUAUUUAUUCGAUGAAAGAUUUAAUCAAAUACGGAGACUUCCGAAAUGUUCAAAUAAUCACUGAGCUGCUCAGUCUGAGCACGACCCGCUUUAAGCAGCAAGACAGGACGUCAAAAACCGUAUAGGAAUUUUCAUUAAAGGAGAAAGCAUUUGGAGUCCGCCCUAAUCGCCGCCGCCACACCCUUCUCUUCACCGCCACCUCGAUCCCCCUCCUCUGUCCCUCCGGCGGCCUCGCCGGUAGGUGGAGGAGCGGGGAUAUGUUCUCUUCACAUAUUAGUUUUUUUAGGUCUUUUCAUCUAAGGUUGGUUCUCUAGGCGAUAUCGACGAGGUGGUGUCGACGAUGACGUUUUGGAAUAAGGUCUCUUCGACCUUUCUCUACCUCGACGAUGUUUGAUCUAGCAUCGUCGAAGGGCCAGUGAGAGUUGGUUCUGCCAGAUCGGUAGGUUCUCUUCAGAUCUUUGCAGUUGGUGUGUCAAUGAGGAGAUGUAAUUGGUUGUCUUUUAUUGUGGUGACUUUGACCUCUUAUUUCGGUUUGUUCUGCGAUAAGAUCUGAUUUCUUCAACCCUCUAUUUCGGUGGUGAUGGAUUGCAAGCCUGUGUUGCUUGGGAUGUUCCCCCAGCAGAUGUUUUUUCAAUGGUUUUUAGAUCUCGUUGUUAGGAGCAAGUGGUUCAAAGUCUUGUACGGUAAGGGUGUUUGCAUGUGUCACUUUCCCUUGCUGCCUUUCCACCUUUCCAGUAUAUUUUUUAAGCUCCAGUGGAAGACGACCAGAAAGAUCUUCGGUGUAAUUUUAUUUUUUAAUAUCAUUUUGUGUCGAGUUGUCCUUCGUUUGUACCUACUAUUGUUUUCCUUUUAUAUCAAGCAAAUAUAAGGCACCUAUCAAAAAAAAUAAAA